UUUUUUUUUUUUUUUUAUAUAAAAAAAUUAUUAGUAUGGUUAAAUGGUAUUAAAUAAAAUGAGAUAAAAAGAGAAAAAAGAAAUCAGAAAAAUGUGGAUGAGAUGAAUAUAGACACACCGUAGGGCCUUAUAAAUUUGGAACAAUAUGGGAUUUCUAUGCCAAAAACAUGCCGUGUGAUGAAUGUGUGGAAUAAUCUACUCUUUCUAUUAAAUGUAACAAUAUCAUUACAUCAUUCCCCACCUCUAUAUUCACCACCAUAUUCAAUAUACUAUUUUUAUUUCAUAAAUAUUACUGUAAGGGUAAGGAUGUAUAUGGAAUAGAUCAAUGAUAUAUGGUUCUAAUUCUACGAUCAUUAAUUGGUUAUUGGUUGAGUUAAUAAUUGGGUGCAAUAAUUUUAGAUGAGAAAUGUGAAUAUAUAAUUAGAUGAUAGAUGAGUAAUUGGGGAAAAUAAUGAGUAGGGGAUUUGAGCAUGUGAGGCACAUGGUUUUGUUUAAUGAGAGUCUAAAAAUAAUGGGGGGAAGUGUGUUUUGUUAUUACACUCCCACACUCUCUCUUCAAACCCAAACAACCCUUUUCUAAUCACAUCUCUCUUCACUCUUCUUUAUUAUUUGGUAGUCAUCAACUAUUUUGUUACUUUUCUAGUAUAUAAAUAUGAAAAAAAAAAUUGGAUGUUUUUUAGAUGGUAUAUAGGUUGUGUAACUUAAAUAAUUAUCCUCUUUUACAAAAAUGGACUAGUAUAUAUAUGUUUUUACUAUAAAGAAUACAUGGUUGCAUUAUGAAUAAUGAAAAAUACGAUAAAGUAGUUUGAAGAAGACAAAAAAAGGAUUAUUUUGGUACAUUAAGGCAGGCAGUAGGAUCGAAAUGGAUGAAGGAAAGCAAUGUAGUAAAUUAUAGAAGAAAUAAUAAAAUUGAUUUUAUACUAAAAAUGGGGUGAUAAAGUUAUUUUUAUUGGUAUGGUAAUAAAUUGAAGUUGUUGAAUGGAUCACAAGUAAGAGAAGGAAAAGUAUGAGUUAUUCAACCUUCCCUCUAAUCUUUUUUUGAAUGUCACUUUCUAUUCUUUUAUCAUUAUAAUUAAUUUCAGUAUCAAUUGGCUUUGAUUAUUGAAUCUAGAAAUAAGAAAACUCAAUUAAUGUAAAAAUAGAUUAAAUUAGAAAUGGUAAGAUAAUAAAGAUUGUAUAGUGUAUAAAAUAAUUUAAAAAAAUAGAGUAAAGAAAAAGAAAAGAAGAAUGAUGGAGUUUGUAUAAUGUGGAAGAGCAAAAGGAAGGAGGAGGAGGUAGGGCAUGUGGCUCCCACGUGGAUAGCCAGGUAAAGAAGAGAUGGGCCCAGGAAAAGUUAGAUAUGGCCAUUUUUGUCAAAGGGAAAUGAAAGAAGAGGAAGAAGGAUCAAACUAAACUAAGGGAUGUGCCCUCGAAAUCAAUGCUCUUCUCCUAACAUCUCCUCUCACUUCACUCCACAUUUAAUGCUAUACCCUAAAUAUCCGGAAUAAACCAAUGAAUCCAACACUCCUAUUUCCCCCCCACUAUUUUCUCUUUUUUUAUUUACCUUUUUUUCCCUAUCAUAUCUAAAUAAUAUAUGAAAUUGUUCAUUUAUAUAAGGAAAUCUUAAUAAUUUAAUAAAUUAAAAAAAAAGUUAAAUAUCCAUGCAAAAUUUACAAACUAAACCCUUCAACAAUUUUGUUUAUUAUGAAAUUAAGAUAUGUACUCUUUGUUGUCAUAAAUUAUAACCUUGAAAUACUCAAUAUAGCAAUAAAAAUAAAGCAGUAUCUACAAAUUUAAAUCUCAAUCAAUCAGUAGACUAGUUAAUUAUAGACAAAUCUCUAAAAAAAGUCAUUUUGAUUAAUUGAAAACGUUAUGUUACCGUUUAUAGGAAUAUAUAAAAAUGUAAUAUAACUAAUAAAUAUAUAAUAAUUUCUACAAAUCUCUAAAAAGGGUAAUUUAAGCCAUUGAAAACAUAAAGUUUGCUAAUUGUUUAAGCGUGAGGAUAAGGCAUUUAUUACAAAUUUUAAAGUUAAUGUACAAUCAUUUACUCCAAGUUUAUUGAUUUUAUUUAAUGAGUGAAAUAAAAGCCGAAGUCAAAUUAGAAUUUAAUUCAAGAGAAUGGUAAAAAAUAUAAUGUUGUCUAUAAUAAAAUAGUAGUGCCAAAAAAGGAAAGAAAAUAAAAUUGAAGAACAGAGCUAGAGAUGGGAUAGAUCUUACUCAUAUAGGUAUUUUAGUUUAAAUUUUCCCUUCUUUUUUCAGAAAAAUAACAAUUUGAGUUAUUACUAUUUGUAACUCAGUAUCUAAUAGUACACUUGGGGAAAAAAGGAAAAUUUGAAAUUAUUAUUCAAAUUAACGACGUUUAAAAAUGAUUUAAACUUUAAUCGUCAUUUCGAGUGGAUAAUAAUACGUGAACAUUUUUAUUUUAUAUAAGAAUAAGAGUUUAAUAAUCACUUAAUUACAUGGAUGAAUCGAAGUUAUACUUCAAAAUAUGUAUUUAUCAAAUAAACAUUAUAGGUAAAUUAAUAAAUCAAAUGAUCAAAAUAGUUAUUUUUUAAAACCGCAGCGAGUAGUUUAAAAUUUUAUAGAUGAAAAUAGCUUUUCAAACAAGGAAUAUUAGUUAUAUAUAUUUGCAAUUAUCUACCUCUAACAAUUGAAACAAAAUAACGUUAAAGAAGAGGAAGAAAAGUGUACAAAAUGGAAUGCGAAGUUAACUAAAUUUGCACAGAGAAAUACUUUUUCCUUUGGAAAAGUAGCCAAUCUUUUUUUUUAUAUAAUAAUAGAGUUAAUGUCACUUACAUUUUUUAAAUUGUAAAAAUAGCAAAUUACCGUUCGAUAACAUCAAUUAUUAGUCAUAUUUGUCAAAUUUACCAUAUGAAAAAAAAAAGAGGUUAUGAACUGUUUUUUUCUUCUAAUUUUUUGUCAUCUAAUGUAAUUUCUUUUUUAUUUUAUAGGAUCAAACUUUUAAAUAGAUGUUUCUAUUUUUUUUAAUUUUUAUUAUUUCAAAUACAAAUAUUUAAUGUUUGGACCAUUUGAAUUAUAUUAUUGUAUAAUAAAAAGUAAUGUUUAGAAGGGAUUUUAAAAUAUUUAAUGACUUAAAAUUAAAUUAAUAUUUAACUUGAUGGUUUUCACAUUAUCUUUAUUUCAUCAAAAUUGAUUAUAAAUGAUUAAAGUGAGAUAGAUUUUAUGUGAUUUGAAGAUCACUCAAGAGAGUACCUUUGAAAUAAAAACAAAUUGCAUCUAAGAAAAAUCUAACUUUAGAUAACAAUAUAAGUGAGUUGAUACAACUAUAUUUAAGGGAAUUUAGACUAUAUCCAAAUAAUAUUGGGAAAAACACAUAUUAUAUAGUUCUGGUAUUGCUAAUAAUAUAUGUAUCAAAAGAAGAAUUGAAGUUGGGUUUUUUUGUACGUGGAUGGCUCAACGAGAGAGAGACCUCGUCUCAAUCAUUUACUUUAAUAUAUUAAUAAUAAACAAGUAAACAGAAAGAGAAUGCAUUACCUAAAUAAAGCCAAAUUUUGUGACAAACCAAAAUACACAUUAAACAAUGAAUACAUCAUAUUUGUGAUCACUACCUUCAUUUUGAUAUUAUUUAGUUUAUCUUUUUAUAUCCUUCAGCUAAUUUCCUUUUUAUUGUUUUCACUAUAAUCAUGGAUAAGACAAUUUCUGUUAAGAGUUAUUUUCAACAGAUUAUAAUAAUAAAUAAUAAUAUAGUCAAUUAUGAUUAAGCUAUGUACAAGAAAAAUUGGUUUAUUUUUAAUAUGAAGAUUUUGGGUGUAGGAAGACCAUAUUAGCCUUUGAAAUUUGAUGUCAAAAUGUCACCAGCUGUCUUCAAUUACGCUAUCUUUUCUUUUUUCUUCUUUAAAUUAAUUUUAGAUUUAAUUAUUUCAACCCUUUCAAUGCCUACUUUACAGAGAAGAGAGAACCCAAUGAUUGAGAAAUUAAAAUUCAGAAUUCAUUUUAUUAGCAGAAAAUGUAUAUUAUGUUAAAUAGCACUUUGGCCCUUACACUUACACCAACCUUCUAAAUCAAAAUUUUGAAACCAUAUAUAUCAAAUUGAAAGGAUUUACUGGAUCUUGAAUUGGAACUAAAUUCAAAUUAAAAGUGUGGAAUAUAUUACAAAUCUAAAAAAUCAAUUAAGAAUUGUAAAAUUUAGAAACUUAUUAAAGGUGAUUUGGAGCAUAUUAAAAAGUUAUUAUAUGGCACUAAAAAUGUAAAACAAAGAGUUAUUUCUUGUUUUUAUUUUAGAGAAAUAAUGAUUUGAACUAAAAUGAAAGGAAGAGAGACACAUAUAAAUAUAUUGUAAAAGAGAAAAAUAAAGAAAGGGGUUGGUCGAGAGGGCAACGUGGGUGUGUGUUGAAUUGAACUUGAAAGCGACGCAGAAACCGCGGCAGUGUUUCUCUCUUUCGCAAUUCAUUCAUUUAUAUCUCUUUUUCCCUCUUUCACUUUUCUUUAACUAUUUUCAAUCAUUUCUAAACUCUCUUCUUCUCCGGCAAUAUGCCCCGUCCUCCUCCCUUCUCCGACCAUCACCCUCUCCUCUUCAUCUUCCUCUUCCCCUUCCUCCUCCUCCUCCUCCUCUCUCCCUCCUCCUCCGCCUUCAAGUUCAAAGAAGCUCCUGAAUUCUACAACUCACCCAACUGUAUCUCCAUUCCUUCUUCGCCUGAUCACCUCCUCUGUUCCGAUCAGGCCGUCCAUGUGGCUAUGACUCUUGACGCCGCUUAUCUCCGUGGCUCAAUGGCUGCCAUUCUCUCCGUUCUUCAACACUCCUCUUGCCCACAAAACAUUAUCUUUCAUUUUCUCUCCUCUGCCUCCACCGACACUCACUCCCUCCGUUUCACCAUCGCUAACUCCUUCCCUUAUCUCAAAUUCCAUGUCUACCCAUUCGACGCCGCCGCCGUUGCCGGAUUAAUCUCCACUUCCAUCCGUUCUGCUCUCGAUUCCCCUCUCAAUUACGCUCGCAACUACUUGGCUUCCUUAAUCCCUCACUGUGUCAAACGCGUUGUCUAUUUGGACUCCGAUUUGAUCCUCGUCGAUGACAUUGCUAAACUUGCUGCUACCCCACUUGGGGAAACCGCCGUUCUUGCCGCCCCGGAGUAUUGCAACGCUAAUUUGACAUCCUAUUUCACACCCACUUUCUGGUCCAACCCUUCUCUGUCUUUCACCUUCGCCGGACGGAAUGCUUGUUAUUUCAACACUGGAGUUAUGGUCAUAGAUCUCCAACGUUGGCGCGCCGGCGACUACACCGCUAAAAUCAUUGAGUGGAUGGAGCUCCAGAAACGAAUGCGGAUCUACGAGCUCGGGUCUCUCCCUCCAUUUCUCCUUGUUUUUGCUGGGUAUAUAGCUCCGGUGGAUCACCGGUGGAACCAGCACGGCCUUGGUGGUGAUAACUUCAGAGGACUAUGCCGGAAUUUGCACCCCGGUCCGGUGAGUCUCUUGCAUUGGAGUGGAAAAGGGAAACCGUGGGUUCGGCUUGACUCGAACCGGCCUUGUCCACUUGACGCUCUUUGGGCUCCUUAUGAUCUUUUACAAACACCCUUUGCACUUGAAUCUUAGUUUCAGAAAACAGGGGAAUUACAAAUUAAAAUUACAGUUACAGUUACAUCUUUGUUCAUAUGGUUUUUUUAGAUUUAGAUUAGAGGAGAUUUAAGUAUCGGUAUCCCUCAAUCUUGUCUAUAAAGAGAGAUUUUCCCACAUCUUUGUUGUACGUUAAUACAGAGAAAACACCUUAUUAACAAAAAGCUUCGUCUUCUUCAUUAUUAUUAUCAGUAGUAGUAUUAUUAGAGUUUCCUCUGUUUUUUCUGUCAUUGAGAUUUGCAGUUACUUGGAGAAGAAGAAAAGAUAUUGAUGAUAAUGUUGAUGAAUCGUAUUAAUGGGAGUUUAAACGUAAAUUUGUACUUAUAUUCUGUAAUGUAACCGAAAAAAAUGAAGUGGGAUUUGGCUGUAAAGUUGUUGUUCUAAGGAUAUUAAAAAGAUAUGAGAAUCAAACUUGAGUUAACUGAAAUCAACGAGCUCUAAUGGGGCUAUGGCUAUGGCCAAUUUCAUCUGCUUCCAAAAGAGAAACCCAUGAUUUUUCUACCUUUUCUGGGGAAGAUUCAGCAAGAACACAGAGAUUAAACACAAUUUCCGCCAUACUUGGCCUUGACAGAGGUUCAUCUUGUGUACAAGCCCUCGCCAUUACUGCUAAGCUCAAAGCUCCCUCAAUUGGGUAACAAUCCUUUAAUUUUGAGUCCAUCCAAUCUCUCAACUUGUCUUCUCUUCCUUCUUCAUUAUCUAGAACAUCUCUUAUCUCCUUACACAAAUUCCCAACUUCUUCUUCUUCUUCUUCUUCUUCUUCUUCUUCUUCUUCUUCUUCUUCACCAUUUACUGUACAUUUCAGAGCUUUUUUCCCUGAAAGCAGCUUCAAAACCACAACCCCAAAAGCAAAAACAUCGACUUUCGUGGACAGAGAAUCGACAGCAGGUCUUGCCUUAGCAAGAUUUGAAAUCUUUGCUCUGAAUCUCAAGUCAAGAAGGAUGCAACUUGUUUUGAUAUCUUGAUGAACUAUGCUUGGUUGAGUGUGAUCAUGCAUAUAUUGCAACCCAUUAGCCACAUCCAAUGCUAUGUUCAACCUUUGGCUCCAUGUGAGAUUGCUUGAAGAAGCUUCGGAUGAUGAAUAAAGCCACUUAUCCAAUGACCCAUUUUCAGCAAAUUCAUAAACCAAGUAAAAGUUCUCCUUAUCAUCUGAUGAGAACCCCACCAAUUUCACUAGGUUUAUGUGAUUGACUUUCUGUAAAAUCAUCAGCUCUUCUGUUGAAUCUGGUUUAGCUUCCUUUAUCACUGAGAUUUGUCCAUUGAUUAUGGCUUUGUAUACUGAUUUUCCAAUCUUAAACCCCUCAUUGAAACUCAUUGUUGCAUCCAUUAUCACUUUAUAAUCAUACAAAAUUGGCCUUCCCAAGUAAUCUGAAACCACAGGAGGAGGAGGAAGAGGAAGAAGCUGCCCAUUCUGUUUCAUCUUCAUUUUAAUUGAAUUUCCCCAAAUGGGUAGCUUCAUUUUCUUGUAAAUAAAGAAAACAUAAGCCACCAAGAGGAAACCAACACCCAAAGCCACACCACCAACAACGAUCACAAGAUGUUUGAUUUUUUUCCUCUGAGGAGGAGACUGAGAAAGCAGAGGAAGUUUCGAAAGGGGUAUAAACAAAGCCUCACCAGCUACGAAAUUCGUCAAUUUUACACCCUUUACAUCUUCCAAAUUUGCAUCUUUUGAUACAUUGAAAAUCGAUCUCACCCCAGAAACCACAUCAGUCAAUUGCCAUACAUAAGUAAUAAAAAAUUGAAUUCCCUGUUCUAAGUUUUCCUUAGAAGGGCACUUACAAAACAGAGGAAAAACAGCUUCAACUCCCACUGACAAAUUGUUUGGAUUUAGAGAUGGGUUCAUUUUUACAACAAUGUCAGAAUCGCAAAGAUGCUCGAAGAAAGAUGUAGAGACGAGAUAAAAGGUAUCACCCUGGUUGAUUUUGUAAGUGGUAUUCGAAAAGAAGAAGCUAUUAUUUCCAUUUGUAGUGGAAUUACAAGUUACAGGAAUGAACAGAAGCUGCCCAUCAAACAAUGGAGUUUUGUCAGAUUCCAAGUUGCUGGCUUUCGCAAUCUUCAAAGCUUUGACUCCAAACAAUUUCGAUAUGCUGUGAAGAUCGAAGAACUGUGAAGAUUUUGUAAAGUAAGAGACAUAAGCAUCACACGAAGAACUUGUAAUCUCUGCUCUGCCAUGAAUGGCUGUAAAGCAAACAAGAAGUGUAAAUUGUAAGAGAAAAGAAGUUGGCUUUGCCAUUGGUUUGAUUGCUUGAAGCUUUGGGAUUCUGUAUUUUUGAAUCAAUCAUAGAAGUUUUUUUUUUUUUAAUUGGGGGUUUUGAUGAUUAAUAUCAUGAGCAGGUAUGAUUGUUGCAUCACAAAGUUGGAAAAAUUCAACCAAAAAGGUUAUGAAAGUAACGAUUUAUUUAGUUAGUUUAAUUGGGAGAGAGUUAUUUGAGACGGCUGAAUGCCUUCGCGAUGUCUUUGGUACCAAAGUUCUUUGAUUAAAUUAAGCAAAUGUUUUUUUAAUUAAUGAUGAUGUGAAGGGUAAAGCGAUAGGAGAGUUUCAAAGUUUACUUAGUUAUAUCUUAUGAUUAUGCAUUUAAAAAACAAAGCAACAGAGAUAACAUAAAUGGUAAAAUAGUAAAAUAGACUUAGACAUUUACGGAGUUCGCUACGUUCAUGAAAGAGAUAUUGAUUUAUUAUUGAAAUGAAAUCGAAGAUAAAAUAUAUUGCAAAGGGUUUAUAUAUGACAUUUUCUAAAAUUUCAUGUUUAUAAUUGUAAAUAACAUAAAAUACAAAUAUAAUUUAGUUAAUACCAAUUGCAAAUGCGUCAAUAGCUAGAUAGUCAUUUGAAACAUUAACUAAACGAUUCAAGACAUUUCAAUACUAAGAUUAAAAAAGAUGGUUCGGAAAAUUGUUUAAUAUGGACCAUGGUUAUUUUAUAAUAAUUCUUCGUUAAAUCAACAUUGACUAUAACCACUAGUUAGGUUCGUUUUGACAAAUAACCAUAUUUAAAUCUUUAAAUGUUUGUUUUUAUAGAAUUUUCACACAUCUAUAUGGACCUAUAUUUUGUAUAUUGUGAAUAUGACAAAAAAUUAGUAAUAUCAUACGGCUAUUUGAGAGUUAUCGACUUUUAAAUUGGUUACUUUUGCAAUUUAGAAAAUGUAAUGAUACAAACCUUAUUAUCAUAAUUUGAUAAUAAUUUUUUGUGGUGUUUUUGGAAGCAUCUUACCUUUUGGGUUUUAUUUUAAUAAUACAUUACAACUACAAUAAACUGUUAUAAAAUUGAGUGGUAAUGUAUAAUUAAUUGUUAUAUGUUUGUAUAGUCAACUAAAACGAUUGAAAGUUUAGUUGUAUAAUUUUAUUUUAUUUUUAAACUUUUGUCCUUGGUAUAAGAUAAUGAUUCAACAAUAUUAUCAAUUGAUCAUCCUUGUAAUAAAAUAGCAUGGCGUAUAAUUUCUAUUGGAUUAAUAUAAUUAAAAAUGUAACUUUUUGGUAUGAAGUCAUCACAAAUUAGAAUAUGCUUAGAAUGUAAUUGAAAUUCAUCUUGCAACUUCAAUAUUUAAAUUAAUUAAUACGUAAGUUCAUAUAAUAACUCUACAAGAAACCCUAUAAUCAAUUAGUAAUGCUCCAAUUUUCCAAGUCAAUAGGAAUAUAAGACAUCACUUAACUUCUAUGAAUCAAAAUUAAAAAUACAAUUUUCCAAGUCAAUAGGAAUAAUGCUCAUUUUCUUUUUCCCUUUGGUAAAAACUAUAUAUAUAUAUAUAUAUAUUCAUCCCAUUUAAAUUAAAAGUGAGAGCAUCAUUAUUUUAUAAGACUUUUUUUUGCUUAGUUGGGGUUUAAGAUUGGAUUCAAUUUGAAUAAUAAUAUUUGAUUGUAAUAAAAGGCAAAAUUUUAGGGGACAUAAAUUAAUUACAUUGUCUUAAAGUAGAUGCUCUAUUUAUGAUAUAAUUGGAUCAAUAACUUUUCUUUCAAUUAACGUUAGAUUGACUUCCAAUUUUGAUUUUCGUUAAAUUUCGAAAACCGAGAUAUAUUAUAUUCUUCCUCCUUCCAUAUCAUCAUUAACUCAUUCUUUAUGAUUUCAUGUUCUUUCUAAAAUCAUGAUUUAUUUUUUAUACUUGUGUCAUUAAUGAUCUUAAUUAAGGUUACUAAACCAUUAUUAAGUAUGCUAACUAAGUAUACAUUUUCUGGUUCCUAUGUGUAUAUAUAUAUAUAUAUAGUUUAAUUUAUUCUAUCAACCUUAUUAUUUCAUCUUCUUACCUUCCAUUUUCUCAAUAUCAACUAUUUAAAGAAUUAAGUUUAAUAAAUGAUCAAUUUUGAAAAAUUCUUUUAAAUAACAAAAUUGCUAAAAAUAAUUUUAAUUAUAACAAAACGUCAAAAUCUAGGAGUAAUAAAUAUUAUUUGUUCAGAAGGAUAUAUUAUAGUCUAAUUCUAAAAUUUAAAUUAGACUUAGUUUAACCUUUUUUUUUAAAAAAAUAGAAGUAGAAGUAGAAGAAGAAGUGUGAACUGAAAUUAAGAAAACAUAUAUAACAACAAUAAAUGAAAAUGAAAUGAAAUGAUUGCUAAACAACCAAAAUUAAGUUAAAGUUUUCUUUUAGUUAAAAAAAUAUCCCAUCAUGUGGCUUUUGGGCAGUGGCAAUGUGAACCUAAGAAUUUGAAUUUGUCAAUUAUGAAAGAAUUUCUUUCUCUCUUUCUCAUAUGUCUGCUCCAAACCAACACUACUUUAUUGGACAUUAUCAAAGUGUAUGAUUUUUUUUUCUUAAAGAAAAGAAAGUGUAUGAUUAUUAGUUUCUCAUGAAAAAAAUAUUACAAUAGAAAAAAUUCCAAUGUAGCUCAAUAGUUUGACGAUGGACUAUAAUAUCUUAUCCCCCAAAUCAAUUAAUAUUCGAAUUGUUUAAUACUGCCAUUUGUUUUCUUUAAAUCAUUUUUUUUGGUUUGAAGGAUUAAUUUUAAGCAAAACAUUUUGGGAGUUACAUGAGAGAUUUUGUUAAUAUUAUUUCUCAAAAUUUGAUACUGACUCAAGUUUUGAUAUAAUUUCUAUAUGUCUAUGGUUUUUUUUAAAUAUAAGGCCCUCUUGUAUUAAAAAAAUGGAUCUAUGGUUGAAGAUUGAUUUUUUAAAGAAUAUGUUAAUUGACUUUACAACGAACUAUCACUAUGUAUGAUUCUUAUAUUAGUAAAUUAGAAGAAAGAUAAAAUUACAAUAUGUAUACCUAUACUUUUUGAUCAUGAAUCAAUCAAAAGUAAAUGUAAACAACAUUUGUGGAGAUAAUAAGUUUAAAUAUCCCAUUUUAAGAUAUAAAACUAUGUCAAUUAUUUAUACUUUAUGUUUGUUAAAGGAUGCUUGUCUAAUAUUAAUUUUUAUUUAGAUUUGCUAAGAUAAAAAAAGGGAUGAAGUUUGGAAAGAAGGAAAGAAAGGAAGGAGGGAGGGAUUAGGAGGGAAUCUUUGAUAAAAAUGAAGAACGCGGUUUGUUUGCUCACUUUUAUUAAAAUUGACUUUUUGACUUUUUCAGUUUUUGAAUUAAUUUUUGGAAAAGUAGAUCUCUUCUGCUCUCUUUCUUCAUUCUUUUUUUCUAUAACAAUUCUGUCGGUGGAUUCAAUUCUUUUUCUUUUUCCUUUCUUUUUUGUUACCUUAAGGGGUAAGAAACUCAACUUAUUUAUUACAUCGUUAAUACCUUCUUAUAUAAUUCUCCUUCAUUAAACAUGAACUAUAUUUAAUGUUUUCACUUUUAAAAAUAGCUCUCUUCUUAAACCUUUUUUUUAAAAUGCUAAAGAAAAAGAAGGAUGGUUCGGUGAGGGGCACCCCACUGGGACAAAUUGGACCCGACGGACACGGACCGUUAUCCUUCCACUGCAAGGAGAGGGAAGUUGACGUUGCUCUGUGAAGCCAGCCUCACGCGUUCUCCCCCGCUUUACAAGCCCAUGGUACUUGGGCCUCCGCCUAAGCUCCAUGGCUUUCUCCAUGCUUGAAACGGGCGGCCCAGAAUGAAGCCACGACAGAUCCAGCCCACCAGGAUGAAACCUUCCGUUCCAUCAAUAUAACGCCCCCACUCGGGUCAUAAGCCAGCGCAACCGGACUCGGCGAUUGCUUAGGUUGGGAAUUCGUUGAAUAAAAAGGAGCAGCCUUUUAUGUGUUUCGAUGUGGGAGAAAUAGAUAACCCUAAUUAGCUAGAAGUUACCUUAUUUCAACAUAAUUCAAAACAAUGGUGACCUUCUCAAACUAAACACAAGCAUUUGUGAGUGUAAGUUUACAUUUUGUUAAUAAUAACAAAAGUUUGAGAUAUAAGUUUAGUCUCUAAACUUUCAAACAUACAUAACAUUUGUUUUUUUUGACAAAUUCAAUUUUUUGUAAAACUAAUUGAUUUAUUAGAUAUAUAUUUGAAUUUUAUGUGUUUGUAACUUUACCCUUUCAAGAAAUUCUUGUUCCAAAGUAUGAUGAGCUAAAAGAAAUUAAAUUCCAAUUGACUAAAUUUCUAAUUUUCGACCUUAUAGGACCAAAUAGAGACAAAAGAAAACGUUGAAGUAAAAUCUAAAUUUAUAAUUUAAUCUUAAAAAUUAAUAUUAACCUUUGUGAUGGGUUUAAAAUUUAAAUUAUUGUCCAACUAUGAUGAUACUAUCACUUAAAAAAACAAGGAAAAAAUAUAAAACAUAUUGUCCAAUCUAAAAUUGAACUAAAAACUUGAGCCGGCAGUGAAAUUAAAUUUACGAGUAUGCUGCUUUGCAAUUUUACAAAAAAUUGUAGUAUGAGUAGAGGUAUGAACGUUUAAAAAAAAUACUUGAAACUUCAACCGAUGAAAAAAUAUAUAGACAAUACCGAUCAAGCUUAUUUUAGCUUUUCAUUACUCUUCUGAACAAUGAUUAUAGUAAAUAUUAAAUCUUUGUUGCAUUAUGUCCUGUUUUUGGCAACUUCACCAUGCCUUUUCAUCUCUAAAAGAAAAGAAUAAUUGGAAGUGAUCGUAAAGUGUAAUGGCAACAAAAUAACUUAUUAGUUAAAGCAAAAGAAACUAAACACGUUUCCCUUGGAUAUCCAAGCAUUGAACAAACAUGGCAUCAUAUCUUUACAAAUGAUAUCAAAUCCCAGUUACACGGUUCCGUUAAAGACAGCUCUGAUGCAAUUCAAUCAAAUUCCAAGCUAAUUCAGAUCUACACAAAACUCCCACAAAGGACAGAAGAAAUCAGGCCGUCACUUCUACCUUCUCUUCUUUCUUUCUACUUUCCUUUCCUUCGUUCUUGUUGUUUUGUUGUUGCUCGGCCAUCUUUUGCGCUCGAAUCAUGGCCCGUCUUACCUGAGGACGCAUCUCUCUUACAUUACGAGGUGGCAUGAUAUAGGGCUCCAGUGGACGGUCGCCAAAAGGGUGUUCAUCUCCAGCAAAAAUUCUCAGUUUUCGAUCUCUAUCCUGCAUUAAAUAGAAGUUAUAAUAUAAAUACCCACCCUGUAGUGUACAAUGGCGGAUGAAAAAGGAUGAAGAUUUAAUAAACAACUGACGUAGUCCUCCAUUGGUAACAGAAGAUCUUAAACACCAAAUAAAUUUAAGGACUAACAUCACGCAGUUUAUUUUUUGGAAGCAUGCGUAACACAGCUUUACGUAUGACUUCUGUAGGGUCUCUGGUCAUCUGUUCCCUCAAAGUUCUUUCCUUCAGGUUCCCAACAUACCUACAAGGCCACGCAUAGUUGAAGACAAAUAAUGAAACACAGACCACAUCAAACUGUUACUAUAUUACCAAAGCAGCACUAAAGUGAUCUCCUUCCUCUACUUUUCUGCAGAUAGAAAUCAAGCACUUGUUUGGAUUGAAUUUUUAAGAUUUUAGAAAAAGGUUUUUAAGAGAAGAAAAUUCUUUUUUAAGUCUUAGAAAAGUAAUCCAAAUACGCCUUCUAAGUCAUUUAGAUUUAACCAAAAGUUAAACCCCUCUUUGAUAACCAUUUGAUUUUUUGUUUUUGGUUAUCUAAUUUUUAUCAAUGUUCUUAAAAAGCAAGUAGUGGUUUGAAAACUAAAAAAAAGUAGUUUUUGGAGAAGUGUUUUGUUGGUGAAAUUUGGCUAAAAGUUCAACUCUGAUACUUAAGAAAUUGAAAAUAAGAACCAAACAGGGCCUAAAAUUUCGACAAACUAAUGCCGUUCUAAUUUUGCCUCAAAUUUCAACAAAACAAAUGCCAAUGAAAUCUUAACUGAUGAAAAUAGAUUAACGAACUUUAGAGUACGUGCCAAUGACCAAUACUUUUUAAGUAAAACUACAGAAACAUAUAGUACUUACCCUGUAUGCCAGUAAUAAACUUUUUUAGUGAGUUUUCUUCCUGUGACAGCGAUAUCCUUAGCAUUAAGCACAAUGCACAUAUCCCCAUCAUCUCGAUUGGGUGCAUAUGUUGGCUUAUCCUUGCCUUGAAUCACAGUAGAUAUUUGAGAUGCCAAUCUCCCAAGAACCUGGUAGAAAAAGUUAGAGCAUCUUUCUUUGUUUCUAGCAAAUAUCACUACUCUUGAACAUUCUAUCUCAUAAUCUGAGGAACCUACUAUCAAGUGAAGAGUUAAUAUUGCAUUCUAACCUGGCCUUUGGCAUCAAACACUCUCCACCUCAGGCCUUCCAAAUUGAUGCGUUUCAAGCCAGCAAGUGCUUUCUGGAACAUUGUUGAUGCAUAGCAAUGUUAAUGGUUUAUGCUUGUAUAACAAAAGCACUUAUUCAAAGAACACGGGGGAAAGGCUAAGUAAAAUAAGAGAAAUUAAACCGGCUAUCAAUCUGAUCCGGAAGACACAAGGGCAGACCAAACUCAUUGAGGAUAAAAUCCCAACCACUAUAAACGAAAGCCUUCCUAUUUCAUUCUUACAUAAGUUCCUGGCUGAUAACUUAGAACCAAAUAAAAAAUUUCUUCUCAUUCUAAUCAAAUAAUCCAUAUAACAGCAGAGAAACCUAAGUGCUAAAAUAAACCCGCCCAUAUCCCAACAUAACUUCCUUCAUUAUCCAUGGAAACAGGCUCCUUCAAUCAUUGGAAAGUCCUUAGAAGUGCAUCAACACAACAUACAGUUUUUAAGUCUUCACUUCUCCUUCUACACAAUGUAUUCAUAUAGCAAGGAGAAUCUCCUGGAAUUUUGCCUACAGAAUUUAUACCAUCAACGACAAUCACAAAAUGAAUUUUGCUACUCCUUCAAAUAGCUUACAAGUUAAUAUUGGGUUUGCGGGUAAAUUCCUUUGCUCACCUAUAGAAGUGGGAGAACUUAUAUUCUAAAAAGUAUGCUAAGGUCCUUUACAAAAGAGGGAAAAGAGGUCAAUUUGUCUAACUACCUCUUUUAUUUAUUAACAAUAGGUAUUUGCGGAAUCUGAAUCUCUACAGCUCCACUCAUAUGAAACCAGUCUCAAAUUUCUCUAAAUCACAAAUUACUUCAAAAGAUAAAAAUCUAGCAAUUAUUAGUGUCUUGCUGCUUAUCACUGAUGAUAGUACAAAAGCUUUGGAUCCUUGGAGAAGACAGGUACCAAGCCCAGCCAAGGGCCUUCUACAUUCUUCUGCCACUUGUCGAUUAGAUAGUAACUUAAGUCAUUGAAAACAACGCUGGCUUCUUCAGCUACUAUAGAAAUUUUCCUUCAUGAAUCAUCCAAAUCCUACACGUAUUCUCUUUAAUAAUAGAAUGCCAAAUAGUCCUUUAUAGAAUCUCCAAAACCCACUUGGAGAAAGGCCCUACUCCUUUUUCUAAAAUUGCCUGUGCCAAAAUCCCCCCUCAUCCAAUUUAAAGAAACUGGCAGGUGUUAUCAAUAAAAACGAUGAAAAACUAAAUAUAUAGAAAACCAAAAUUCAUAAGAUAGCUUAAUUUUCAAACAGUGCAUGAAGAAAAUAUCAUUUAAUGGCUAACAUAAAACACCAUGGGAAGGCAUGUUCGAAGUCUGUAACACUAAGAAUGAUCUGACAUAAGGAAAUCUAACCACCUUACCCUAUAAAGACGCGGUAAUUACCCGAAUAAAAUGUAACAAUAAACACAAUACAACAGUUUCUAAAUGUUCAGAACGUAAACCCUAAUCAAACCUAGCAUAGAAAUAUUGUUCUUCUUUAUUAAUUCAACGUUUCUUAUCAAAUAAAGUUCAGCAACAGGUCCACCUGAGUUUCCAAGCAAACAGUUCCCCAACUGUAGCAUAAAAGAUUUCCCCAAACUCUAGCAUGAGAUUGUGAAACAAGAGCUGAUAGAGUAGACAAUAUCAUUUUUAAAACCAACUGACCAAGAACACGCAUAACCAAAAGCACAACUUAAAUCUACAAUAUGCAUUCCACAACCAUUUCGUAUGAUUAAUAUGUAUUGGUGUAAAAGUACAGAAGGCUUGCCUUCAUGUUGCCAGUGAUAGAAGUAGCUGCUUGGCUUGCCAUUUCUCAAUGUCCUACCUUUUCACUGUUCCGCAUCACAACAAGACAUUUAUCAGUACCCUCAACUAAUAACAAUUAACAUCAAAACAAUUUUUCCAAUAUUUUCAAAUACAAAUUUCUUCACCCACAGAGCAACUUUUUAGUUCCAACAAGUUAUUAUUAUUAUUAUUAUUAUUGAUUUAUAUAAGAUUAAUAUGCUCCUUGUCAUCCCUCUAGCCUGUGAUUACACAUUCUCAAUUUUAUGUUAUCAUUUAGACUGGGGGUUGAAAAAAAAAUUAUAAACAAUUUUUUUUUAUUUUCUUCUCUGUGGGUGAAGAUAACCAACCAAUAAACAAAAAAAAAAUCUAAAACCUUGGGGAUCUGAACAAUAAACGAAGGCGGCGCGAUCUCACCAACGGCGUGGAGGGGCUGAACCUCGGUGAUUCUGAGAGAGAAAGAUAGAGAUAAGUAACUCAGAAUGCUCGGAGAGACGGAAGGAGCAGCGGGGAGUUCGUGGGAAGAAUAUAUCUGCGGCAGCUGAGAGUGCAGUGUGCGAGGGCAGCCGCUGAGCCGGAGUCGGGCAAGAGCGGCGGCAGUGUGCAGUGGCUGAAAAUUGGAGGGAGGGUUUAGAGCAUAGAGAGAAUUUUAAUAAUUAACAAAACGAAAAAGGAGUAAAAACAAUUAGCAAAAUUAUUUUACACACACCCAACAUUUACCAAACUAUUAUUAAUAAUAAAAUAAACAUGAAAUUUCACUCUAUUUAUAAAUAUUUUUUCUCUUAUUAAUUUAAAAACGCUUCAAAAAUACCAAACUUACCUCAACUUGUACUGUGGACAAAUUUAUAUUCAAAAAAUUAUUUGGACAAUUUUCUUUAUCAAAAUUUUGGAUUUUUUUGUCAAAUUUAUUAUUUUUUACUAUUCAUUCAAUUAAUUAAGAAAAAGUUAUGGAACCUUCGUCUCUUCCAAUCACCUUUUUUUCUGUUAGGAAAUGUCUAUAAUGUCUUUAACAUUCGAAUUUUUUUCAUUAAUUUAUACAAAAUAAGUCUAAUAAAUACCAUAACGAACAUAAUCGAAUUUAAUUGUCUAAUAAUGUAUACUCUUUCAAAUUGAUAAUCACCAUAGAUUGAACUCAUUUCAUGAUUUUUCAUCUUGUUUUAACCAUCCAAAUACUUGUGUGCUGCACAAUGUUCAGAUAAUCAAAAGCUUAUCUUUAAAUAUAGAAUUGGCAUUUUCCCCAAAAUUUGAAAUUUUGUACACACUAAGACGUAAGUACUAAAAUUAUUACAUUGGUGGGAGAUGGACAUAUAAGAAUAAAAAUGAAGACCAAAGAGAUGGAUCAAUCGAGAUUCAAGAAGGCAUCUCCAGGCCAAGUACACAAAAGCUCACCCCAGCCCCAGGCAUUCCGUCUUCCAUAUCCACACUUUAAAACUCAUGGAAGUUCACAGUAAGAUGAAAAGUGUGGAAUUAAAAAAUGAACCACAUGAUGCAUUAAUCCCUUCUUAUAAGCCCAUUCUGUCGUCAUGGGACACGGUAACUCUUGUUGCAGACAAGGCACUGCAAGGCCAGAUAUCUCAUCAUAAAAGCUUCCCACUUAUAAUACUCUUGUUUUUGUAGAAAGUCAGUCAAUUCUUGAGAAGCAACUUGUUCACUUUCUUUAUCACUGCCUUGUUGAAAUUGCUUUCUGAUAAUGUUAACAACUGGUUCAGUAACAACAUCACCUGGCUAUUUUUCAUAAUUGCAUACCUUGGUUUAAUUCUCCCCUCCAAGCUGUAACCAAAAUAUUGGGGGAAUUUGAUUAGCUCUGCUUUUGAGUAUCCCAUGGUUAGAAAGAAAUCCCAUUUAGGCACUAAAUUAUCAGCUAAGCUGAAAGAAUACAAGGCUGCAUAUCUUGAGGUCAUGGUUCCAACAUCCUCCAUGCUAUAACCUCUCUCCAAGAAAAAUUGUGUCACUGGUUUCAAAUUAGCCUCAAUACUGAGACCGAAUGUCUGUGGGCAACGAUACAGAAGGACAGCAACAUCGACUCCCAGAGUGUGAAAAUAUUCGGCCGUGGGCCUUAAUUUUUCCUCAACACUAUAACUUGUGAUAUUUGGACAACGGGUCAAUACUUUACCAACCCUCUCCUCUGAGAGUCCCAAUUCAUAGAGGAAACUAAUAGUUGUCUCGACCUUCUGUUUGCUGUAGGUGAGAAUUGCUGGAAAACGGUAAAUCACUUUCGCCCAUUUUUUCUUGUCCACACCCAAAUUUUCUAAGAAUUUCAUCGUUGGUUUUAAAUUUUCACUCAGACUAAUUCCACAUAACUGAGGCCUCUUGUAGAGGAUAAUAGGGAUAUCAGAUUUUGGCACCCCAAGAUCAAGAAAAAACUCGAUCACAGGCUUUAUUUUUCCCUCCAAGCUGUAGUAAGCAAAAGAUGGGAAUCUGCGAGUAAUUUCUUUAAUCUGAUCAAGAUUUAAGCCAUGCUCAAUCAGGUAAAGAAUCUCUGGUCGGAGAUCUCCAGUAGGACCUAGUUCACUCACUCGAGAGAUGGCUUUUAGCUUCUUCGUGUCAAUUGUUGAAUUUGAGACAGGAACUGGUGUAGCAGUCUUUUCCUUAAUAGAAGGGCUAGGAAAGUUUUCCACAGCAUGCACAAGAUGAGUCCCAUGCUCUUCAAAAAGGGACUCAAGAUAAGGAUUCAAAGCAUCUCUAAUUUCAAGUGUCGUCAACUCUCGUCCUGCAUAGUCAUGUGAACUAGGUUAUAAUUUCUGGCAAUGCCAGUCUACAUCCAACUAAAUCAAAUUCAAUGUGAUCGGUGAUACAAGUACAUUGAAGUCGAACCUACUAGAUACCGAGAUUUGUGAAUCAAAUGAAGCCUUAAGAGAAGAUGAUCGAUGAAGCUAUCGGACUUGUUUAUUGUUCUUGCAGCAAUUGCAUUGCUUAGACCUUGCUUCUUUAAAAACAAGGUUAAAACUGCCUUGGCCUCUUCUUUUUCUGCUGUUAGAAGGGCUGGAGACACUACCUUUAAGUUGGCUGAUCCAUCUAUCUCAGAAUCUGCAUAGUAGAUCAUCAAAACACAGUACUUAGCAUGGUCAAAAGACGACCACACGAAUUCAUCAAGAGAUUAAACAGCCACAAGAAGUUAAUGACAACUCAACGAAACCUCAAACUGAAGCACUAACCAGAUCUUGAUCGGCAAGAAAAGAGUUUCCUUUGGAACGAAACCUGAACCCUAUAUAAAACAAAACUUCUGGAUGACACAUUCUCAGCAUGGAGAGAAUUGACAGAAAAAGAAUCAAAGAAAGGGAAGCUUGUGCACACAUUAUAACUCAACACUAUUCACUGAAUAUAUCUCGCAACAAACCAUCGGGAGAAAAAAACAUGCAAAUCUGUUAAAUAAGAGAAGAUAUAUUCAUUCAAGCUAAAAAAUAACGAGUCCAACGGUACCUUUGAGUAGUGAUGUGACUACCAUUUGGCAAAAAGGAGAUAGGGACGGGGGCAGCUCUCAUCUCUAAGAAUUGGCGCAAUAAUUCGAUCAAGCGUAAAGCACGGCCACUUGUGCAAUCAGCCGCAGAGCUAGUUAAGAACCAAAAAGAAAGAAACUCCAUUUACAAAAUCCCCCAGGAAAGUGAACCCCUUCCAUUACAACAAAAGCAAUAAUCAUAGAAUGUGAAUAAAUGCUGGGAACUACCUCGGCCAAAUUUGACCCCACAGUUUCAUUACUAGCAACAAAAACAUGAGCUUUACAUCUUUAUAUACGAAUCACUAAGCUUGCCUUGGUUUUGGGUGUUUCAAAAUUUCAGACUUGUUUACUAAUUCUUUGUGCAAGUGUCAAGUGUCUUCUAAUAAAAAAUUGCAGAAGAGAAGGGAUGGAAGCCACUUACCAAGAUUGAAGCUCUGCGAAAAUGGUAACGAGAAAAUGGGUGGGAGGAUCGAAAUAGAAGCUGAGAGACUGAAGAAGAAUGGUUGAGAAGGAGAAGAAGGAGAAGAAGGAGAAGGAGAAGAGCGGUGAAUGAAAAGAGAGAUUAAGAUUGAAGGGCAGAGAAGGGAGAAAGAGAGAGUGAAAGAAACGAAGGUAAACCAAAGUAAGAGAGUCGAGAGUGACAACACACGUCAUGUGGGCUACAUUUAGAUAAUUAUAUAUACACACAUAUAUCCUUAAAAGAAAAAUCUAUUUCCCCUCUGUCCAAUAAAAAAAAACAAAAUUCAUUAUAAAUAUUUUUGUCAAAUUUUCUAUAAAAAUUUAAGAUUUACAGAAAAACUAAUAAGUAAUCAUGAAGAUACUAGAAUAAGGUCAACAAUAAAUUAUUGAUGGUAAGUAAUGAACAAAUUUGAUCUUCAUUCAAUUUAUAUCGAUCUCAACAUCGUUGUUCACAGUAGAAACUAAAUCAUUUGUUAGUGUAGAGAAAAAAGACUUGUAUUCUUUGCUCUAGUGUGAAAAAAUGAAAAAACAAUUGUAGUUGCUUCAUAAUGAAAAUUGGGGCAAUUGGGAGCCGCCAAUGAAGAGUUAUUCCAUUACUCAAACUUGAAAACUUCUCAUUUGUACAAUCUCUACAUCUUUGGUUUGAUUACCUCAUCAACAUCAUCACCAAUUUGUUCUAAACAAUACCAUAUUAAAACAAAGAUUGUCCCUUUUGGACUACUUUCUUCCCACUCUUCUCUAUAUUAAAUUUCGAAAUGUCAUCUUUUCCUUCUUCCAAGUCAACCGAAGAAACAAUGACAGCACUGCCACAUCCCGCGUUGCUUCGUCUUCCCAGCGCAAGUUCAAGAUCCAAUACACACUUCUUCUCCUUCCUCCAUCCAAUUUUGACCUUUUCCAAUAUAUAAGCACUGUUUUUUAACAAACCCCAUCUGAAAAUUUCCCCCAAUUUCAUCAUGGAUUCCUUCCAAUUCCAUUUCUUCACCGCUUCUCUGUUUUGCUUCUUCUCUUUCAUUGUUUCUCAGCAACCCUACGCCGGAUCCACCACCGCUGACUGUGCCGUCACCCACAGAUCAACCGGCAAUUUGGGUUACUUUUGCAACACCCCCAAUCGGAAUUGCCACUCCUUCCUCACCUUCCGAUCUCGGUCUCCAUUUAACUCUGUUUCCUCCAUUGCUACUCUCUUAGGUUCCGACCCCUCUGAGCUAUCUCGGGUCAACUCCGUCAACGCCUCCGCCACUUUCCCGCCGGAUAAAUUGGUGCUUGUUCCAACCACAUGCUCCUGUUCGGGUCAGUUUUUUCAAUCAAAUGUUUCUUUUACAACACGAACCGGUGAUUCUUACUUUGUCAUUGCAAAUGAAACCCUGCAAGGUCUCUCCACUUGUCAAUCUCUUAUAUCUCAGAAUCCCAAUGUUAGUGUCACGAGUAUAAAGGGUGGGGAAAGAAUUCUUGUUCCUCUUAGAUGUGCUUGUCCCACCAAGAAUCAGACUGAUAUGGGUUUCAAUUACCUUUUGAGUUACUUGGUUGUAUUCGGUGAUACUGUUUUUGAUAUCGCUCAAAUAUUUGAAUCAUUUGGUGCGGAUAUGGGGAUUAUUCUCGAUGCCAACGAGCUUCAAGGAAGUUCCUUCGUCAACCCUUUUACAACUCUUUUAAUUCCCCUUAAAACUGAGCCGUCGAGCACUGGAAUGAAGGAGCGUAAUUCAUCCCCACCACCGCCGCCGUCUCUGCCCACUUCUCCCUCUCCGGCCUCUAAAAGAACAUGGGUUUAUAUCCUUGUCGCCGUUGUCGGAGGAGUUGUUUUAGCAGCUGUAAUUGGGGCUGUAGUUUUCUUUGCGUGUGUGAGGAAAAGGAAGAAGAAAACUGAGCAUACACCUAUAGAAAUUGAUAGCUUUGAAUCAACUGAGAAGACAUCAGAGAAAAAGUUGGAUGGAGAUUCUUCUUCUAUCACCUUGGAUAGUAUAUCUAGCGUUGUUCAAUCUGUUAAAGCUUACACGUUUAAAGAGCUGCAGGAUGCAACUGAUAAUUUCAGUUCAACCCAUUUGAUUAAAGGGUCUGUUUAUCAUGGCACAAUCAAUGGGGACUCUGCCGCUAUUAAGAAGAUGAAUGGAGAUGUGUCGAAACAGAUCAAUUUACUGAACAAGACGAACCAUACGAAUCUCAUUCGCCUUUCCGGGGUUUGUUUUGAGGAAGGGCAUUGGUAUCUUGUUUUUGAGUAUGCUGCCAAAGGUGUCUUGAGUGACUGGAUUGAUUCAAAUGGUAGCAAUAAUGACAGAUUCUUAACUUGGACGCAGAGAAUACAGAUUGCGGUAGAUGUUGCAACGGGACUAAAUUAUCUCCAUAGUUUUACAAAUCCGCCUCAUGUUCACAAGGAUUUGAAGAUGGAUAACAUACUUCUUGAUGAUGAUUUCAGAGGCAAGAUCUCAAACUUCAGUCUGGCAAGAUCAGCAGGAUGGGAAGAAGGCGAGUUUACAUUGACAAUGCACAUUGUUGGAACAAGAGGUUACAUGGCUCCAGAGUAUCUCGAAAAUGGUUUGGUGUCUACAAAGCUUGAUGUUUAUUCAUUUGGGAUUUUGAUAAUCGAAAUGCUUACCGGGAAGGAGGUUUCGGAGUUGCACAGAAAGGAGAAUCUGCAGUUGACUGACCUUCUUGAGAAGGUGCUUGAUCAAAAAGAUGGGAAGGAGUAUUUGAACCACCUGAUGGACCCUUCAUUAGAAGGCAACUUUCCCACUGAACUUGCUGUUCUUGUGAUGAAUAUCGCCAAGCUAUGCAUGAACAAGGAUCCGUCUCAACGCCCGUCCAUGGAUGACAUUGUUCAGUCCCUCUGUAGAAUUUUGAGCAGUUCUUUGUCUUGGGAAUUGCCAAACACUUCUGUGUGACACAGCUGAACUCAUAACAGAUCUGAUCAGAAAUUCUGUUUUUGUCGAAUUAGAGCCAUUCAUUUUAAGUAUAGGAUCUUAUACUUCCCACAUUGUAAAUCAUGUCUGAUUCUUCUACUUCAUUUUUGUAAUCCAAAGCUGUAAUAUCGUUUAUAUCUAUAUACAGCACAUCUCUUGCAUAUAUUGAAGCUCUUUCAAGGAAAAACAAAUCACCUCUUCUAUUUGUCUAUAUAUAUAACAAACCACACAAAUUAUCGGUUUGCCUCCCCGACUUUCACAUUGCUACGUGUUAGUUUUACGUUACUCUUCAUCUAAAUACUAUCUUCAAGAGAGUAAAUGUGGAAACAGAACAGGACUUACAUUAGAAUAGCUUCCAUUGCUGCUGACUGAAGAAUCCUUGUUCUUCGUAGUUCGUAGUGAUAUCCAUGACUGGAUCUGCUACUUCUCAAAUUGAAACUUGGUCUUGAGAUUGAGAUAAAGAGCAGAGAUAGAGAUUUAUGAAUAGUUCAUCUGAGUUCUUGUUCUUAAUUAUUUAUAUUGAUGAAGCUUUAGACUUUAAGGACUUUUUGACUUUAUCCGCUUGUAGAGAUUCCCUUUCCACAUCUCUUGUAGCUGCAGAUACUUCAUCUCACAAACUGCCAAGAGGCCAAAACCUUUGACAAAUACUUUUUCUUCUUUCUUCCAUGACGUAUGAAAUUUGAGGGUUCUUCAAACUUAUUCCCAGCUUUAACUAAUGGUUAUACGUAUGUAGUUCCUACCUUUUGUUAAAAAAUUGAUCAAUCUCUGAGUUUCGUAAUGUGAUUUUAUAUAGUUCCUUUCGUCUAACACAAGUAACAAAACUAUAUCUAAACCAUGAAAUAUGCCUAUUGAACAAAUAUUAGAUGAUUUCUCAUAAUAUAACAGACAGAUGAUUAGAAAGAAGUGGAUUACUAGACAAAAUCAAAGCAUGAGUUGUAUACUUUUCUGAACACCUGUACUAAACUUUUCAAAGUCUCAAGUACAGAAGAAUCAAACUCAAUUUAUACAUCAAAAAACAACUUUUUUCAAAACACCUGUACUUGUGACUUUGAAAACACAGAAAGUCUAAAGUUUGGAAAAGGUCAAAAUUUGGAAAAACAUGGUGCCAAUAAUUCAUUUCCACAUUUCAUCAUCAGAGGGUUAUGAUUAAAAACUAAUCAGAUAAGAACAUUUAACUGGCAUGACUAUCCAUUUUAUUACAUGUUUUCACUUUUUACCAACGUCGUACAAUCAAUCCCCGUGUGUUCUUUUCUACAAUAUCAACUUUCAAACUGGGAAAGUUUGAGUGAGUUUGAUAUGAUCAAGAGUUUUCUUCAAACCAUACUUGGAAACUGCCUGCUCUCCCACCCUGAACCCAUCUCCAUAGGCUUGUGAAUCAUCCAGUUCGAUUUGGCGUAUGAAACAUUCGCCAAGUUUCUUCUCUAUUUCACUCAGUUUCUUGUCCUUGUUUGAACGUGGAGGUCGCAGGGAAGAAGAUGAACUAGCAGCACCCAUGGCAGUUUCAGAUCCCACAUUGAUUUUGGAUUUCAGCCACAUGUGAGCUAGGACUUGGCAGAUACCUUCUUCAAUUUCUGGUUUUAGAUUCGGAUAACCUUGAAGCCUUAACCAAGCAUGCAUCAUCUCAUGUGCUAGAAUGGAUCCUGUCAACAACCUGUGUAAAAGGAAAUAUGUGUGAAAUCAAUCGCAUGCACUUACUUUCAAAAUGGACGAACCAUUUGUGAAGAUAUGUAAAGGUCUUAGUUGUCCUAACAAAUAGUUUCGAAAUUGUGCCCUAUACUUAACUUGCGUAGAUUAAGUCCUUGGCUACUGAACAAAAAGUGCCAAGCCUUUGAAGACUUAGUUAUGAGAUAUCUGGAUGGUUGGAGGAUCAGGAGACACGUGAUACGUACUUCGAAAACGAGAUAUUAAUCAUAAAAGUGAAUAAUUAUAUAAAAAAAUGCUCGAUGAUCUUUUGUUUGAGAAGAUGGUAGGAAGAGACAAACAUAAUCAGACAUUUUACUAUUUCAGUCUAGACGUAAACAAAAUUAUACUAUCGCGAAGAUACAUAAAAGUUUAUUGUCCUAGCAAACUAUGACAACCCAAAAACUUAAACUUAACAACUUUCUUAUAUGUUCUGAACAAAUAUGGUACCUGGGAAGGCCAUAUAGGAUGAGUAUAGCCGUAACUUCACAAUUACGAACAAGUCUGCGUUGCUUUGUGAGUAACUCAAGGAUUGAACGACUCCCAAUAUGUUUCAUCUCAUGAAUCUACUAGCAAUAAUGAUCAUGAUCAAAGCAAUUCAAUUCAGUCAAAUUCAAAAACAAUUAUUUUAAUAAAACGGUCUUAUAUAUUGAGGUUAAAUAGAGAUAAAGAGAUCGAAAUUCUAACAAUUGGAAUGGUUUGCUCUUCUGACAAGCAGAGCCCACGAGUUUCGGAUAAAUGGUGAUGUCCCUGAUCCAAACAAACGAAUAAAGGAUUGGUGUGACAAAAAGGGUAACAUUCCAUGAAGAACCAAAAGAGAAGCCUCGGUGUCACUUACAUUCUUUUCCCCUUCCAUGGCAUUGUUCAAUGCUUCCCUUUCAACCAUCCCCAAUGGAAUUUCUUGGUUAAGUUUCAUGUUUAAACUUGAGAAGAAUUCUUGUAUCUCAUGGAAGAGAGGCUGGCACUCAUUGGUGUCCAUAAUCUUGAAGCUAGAACAGUUUGGACACAAGCUUCUGCCAUCUUUAAGUAGAAUGUAGUUGAUUCCUUUUGGCUGCAUGAAAGAGUAAGCUCACAUUUGUGAGUAUGGGACAGAGAGAGAAAAGAAAAGAGAGAGAGAAUUUACCUGUAAUCUUUCGCAACUAACACAAAUGGAAGUUCCAUCAGUUGCAUGGGAAGGGCAAUGUUUUUGUUUCCAAAAAGGAUGCUCUCGAAAUUCAACCACCCCAUUACUAUGUGGGAUCUAACAGAAAAAACACAAGUGAAAAAGAAAUGCAGAUGAUGAUGGUAAAGAACAUUCUGCUGUGAUAUCAUCGACUUUGGGCUUACGUCUACAUAGUUUUGUUUUUGAAUCACUGUGCUUGAGUGACUAGUACUGAUGGUUUUUUUUUUCUUUUUUUGAAAGAAACUGCUUCAUUGAGAAGAAAAUGAAAUAAAUACAAGGGCACACAAAAAAAAAAUCCACUAGAAAGACCCAAGAAAGAGAGAAAGAGCUCAAACCUAACUACAAAAGGGGACUCCAAUCCAACCAAAUCAAACCAAGGCCAUACUUACAAAAGAGCCUAUUAACGAACAUUCACUAGGAGGUAUUAAACCUAGCCUCCUUCCAUACCUCCUCACUCGAUCUCUCCACCUCUCUUGAAAUUCUGUUAUUUCUAUCCAUGUACCCCAAAAGAACAGAUAAAAGUUUAGCAUGCUGUAGCACUUUGUUUUUCUCACAAAAAGACGAAAAGAGGAGCACUUCUUCAACCACCUCAUGGAUUUUUUUUCUUACUUGUACAUCUAGGCCAACUAAGUUUUAACUGAUAUGGUACUAUGCUUGAUAUUUUGAUAAGAGAAUCGAUAUGCAAACAUCAAAAUCAUUGAAGACUUGAAAUUACUUACAAAGUUGUUGCAUACAUAGCAUUUAGAAUGCCUCAAAUUCCUUGGACAAGAUGUGUGAUAAGGUCGAUUUUCAAACAUGCAUAACUGUCACAAAUCAUCAGACAUAUAAUCAUCAAAUUUAAGGAUAGAUUACUUAGGAUUCCACAAAUUUAACAAAGCCCAAGAUUUCUUCCCUCCUUUAAAGCUACCUCAUCAUCUUUGAUUAGUUGUUUGCAAGUAUGACAUACGAGACAUUCUAUAUGCCAAACAAUACCAUUAUGUUCGAAAACAUGUUCGCGUAUGCUUAUCUCGGUAUUGCAUCUAGCACAGAUUAUCCUGCAUAAAACAUGCUGUGUCAAAAAAACCACACGAUUAAGUGGUCAAGUUAAACAUGCGUGUGCAUUUCCGUACUAAUUAAGAUGAAGCCUAAACAGGCCAACCAUUGAUAAAACGAAUUUAGAGAGGACAGAGUUUGCAGAAAUUCAAAAGCAAGAGACCUGGUAAAGUUAAAUAUGACAAGUGGAAAGUUUUACUUGGAUGCAGAGGCCAGAAAAGGUCGAGAGGAAGAAGCAUGUGCACUGUUAUUUGAAAGAGAACACUCCAUGACUAAGCUCAGUUGCAUUGCAUUGGCGAGCUCCUCAUCUUCUUCAAUUUGGGAUGUGAUGACUUUCAUCUUUUGUUUCUCUAAAAUGAUAACAUUAUUUAUCAAGACCUUGAACAAACUUUAAUCUACCAAGAUAAAUGCAAAAAAACUUGAAUCUUUAACAUCAUCACUUACCAAUGAUCAAUGCUUCCUGCUUUACAGCUUCCAUUUCUGAGAGCGAUACUGCCUUAGCAUAAUCAACUUCCUCUUGAUCAUCAAAUACGCCACCCUACAGUUUAAUUAAUACAAUAUAACAAAACAAACCACCAUGUUACUAUCAAAAAGUGCCUUCCUUUAGUUUCAUUGAUGUAGAACAAAAUUUGUGACAAAACUGACUUUUGAAAUCAAGACAAUUUCAAUAAAUUAACUCUCGAGAACAACUCGGAAGAUGAUUUCAAAAGUAAUUUUGCAAGCAAUAGAUUUCAGAAGAAAUGAUGAAAAAAAAAGUAAAUAUAUAGAAAGUGUUGCUUAAUUUUACAUUUAAAUGUUGAAACAGGUGCAGAAGUGAGAAGUUCUCAUGUCCACUUCUGCCGUGAUUACUUCUUAAGGCACUUUCAAUAUUGCUUGUCCACUCCAUAGUUUCAGAUGAAAUCAACCUGCAACAAUUCACUAUUUUAUUCAUAGUAUAAAAAAAAAAUUUGAAAUCAAAUCACCAGAUUAAGGAUCUAAUCUCAUUUUUUGAGUUUAGCAUUUAAAACAGGAAUCAAACAAAUCUCAUCAACUUUUUGUAUCUGGUUACACUACAAAUUAAAAAUCAUGACCUUCAAACAUAUUUAAACACAAAUCAAAGUAAUAUUGCCUAUAUCCCUUCACAAUCUAUUAUGUUUAAUGCCCUAAUUGCUGUCUUAACACUCUCUCAAUAUUUCAACACCUUCACUGUUCUCAUAAACAAGACAAAACAAAAAGAUCAUUCAUUAGAAGUACUUCAUAUACAACAAAAAAAAAAAUAGCCCCUCAGUUUCUUUCUAAUAUUUUCCCUUCAAACCACUGUAAAAGUUUCUAAAUUGAUAAAAAAAAAAAAUUCAUAUAAACCAGAUUACCCCCCAACUUGUUUCUUUCUUCUUCUCUUCAGUUAAAGCAGGGGGAAAUGAGAAGAAAAAAAAGGCCAAAACAUUGCCAAGAAGUGAUGUUUUUGCUUAUUUUCUACUUGCCCAUAUAAGUUAAACUUGAAAAUUCAUCAGAAAUGAAAGAACUUUAUAAGAAAAAAAUCAUACCUUCUUUGCUUGAAAUGAAGAUUGAGAUCCUAAGAAGAAGAGAUGAUAUUUAAAAGAAGGUGAUUUCAGUCAAGCGAAAAGAGGGAGAGAGAAAGAAAGAGGAAAUGACUGAAGAAUCUCAAUCAAAGGUAGAGAUUUGAUAAGUUAUAUAUACAAAAUGAGAUCAUAAAGAAGCCAUAAAACAUGCACAUAUGUCCAUAAACUCAUUGAUAAAAAAGGAAACUAGAAAACACAACUAUGAAAAUUAUUUACUUUUAAUAAUCUCAAGAUACAAAUAUGAAAUACUUUCGUUACUUAUCUAGUACAUCUAACCGUAUAAAACUACCGGCGGCCAAAUAAUUUAUUAGAAAGAGAUGGCUAAGAGUAAUAAUUUUUUCAAUGGAAAGAGUCUGUUCAUGGACUGAGAAACAUAUUGAAAAGGAGGUGGGGUAAUGAAAACUACUUGAUUAUUUGUAUUUUUGUGUCUUUUUUUCAAAAGGGAGGGAAAAAGGAGGAAAUUUGUUAAUAAAAGAUAUCCAAUUAUGAGAUUCCAAAAGCUGAGUUUGCCAAUUGAGUUUGGUUUGGCAAAGGACACUCUCACUUACUAUAAUGAAGGUUCCUGGAUGAUGCCUAAAGCCAUACAUAUGAUUUUGUUAUUUUCCACAACUUCAUUUCAUUUGUUUUCUUGUGUUGUGUCUGCAUUCUCUUCCACCAAAAUGUGGAUGAAGUGAUAAAAUUUCACUAUAAAAACAAUAUAAGGAUUAGAACUUCACCAAUAAUAACUUCAACCAAGUACUAAGUCAUUUGAACAAUGUUUAGGAUACCAAUUUGAAAUUGAUUGAUAGCUCACUUGGGAUUUAGGACAUGUGUUAAAAAAAUGAGGAUAAAUAUUAUUUUAAACCUCCAUUUUGCUCGUACAAUUUACAACUUAAUUGUUAAAAUAAACAGCUCUUCCUCACCCCCUAAUGUUUCUAAAGACUUCAACAAUCGACCACUGCCUCCAAUAAUUAACUACUUCGACUACCUUCAAAAUUUAGGGAGAUCAGUAUGUACAAAUCUAUGAGUUUGUUGGUAGGAUUAAGAAUUUGACAAUUUUGUAAAUUAUUAAAUGUAAGCAUUUUUAUAAAGUAAACAUUGUUUAAAGUAUUUUGCAAACACAACAAUUUAAAACCAUGAAAAAAGGGACUUGUGAAAAUUAUACAAUGUUAUAUGGGUUGGGAGGUCCACAUAGCCCAAUAGUAUUGGGUCAAACAAAAAGCCCAAAUAAAUCAAAAUCUUUAAAUUGUUAUUUCCUAAUUCACCCUCCUAGGUUAAACCACCAAUUAUUUCCAAAUUCACUCAAAUUUCAAAAUCAAUUCCUUCAACUCUAGAAAUUACUAGAAUCUUUUUUCUUCUCUCUUCAACAUUACGCAACUAAAGAAUAAAUGUAGAUGAAAACUGAUAUAUUAUGUACUAAAGUAUCGUACAUACAUCUAUGUACUUUAAAUUACAUUUUUUUACUCCAAAUUAACUAUUCAAAGAAACCUUUUACACUUGUCUUGAACAUUUUCUUUAAUAGCAAUCCAGGUAAGGGAAAACUCAACACCACAAAUGUGGAUUAUCAUACAAAAUUAUACAUAUGAAGUGAUACACACGAAUGAAUUUAAAAUGUUUGUGAGGAUGUAUAUAAAAUGUUGCAAUACAUUCAUAUAAUUACUUUUUUUUAAAAAAAAACAUAAAUAUCCCAGAAAGAAAUCAAGUCUUUUAUAUGGAUUAUUUAUGUGUUUAGUUUCCUUUUCUAAUACAAUUGAAUUAGAAAAUUUUGAGUUGGAAUCCUCUUCAACCCUAAAAUAUUUUUAUAAUUUUUUUUUUUUGUAAAAGAGUUAAAAGGAUUCGAAUAACAUACAUCUUGAUCGUUAAUACAUUUACACAUCGACUAUGCUCACUUUAAUAUCUAUAAUGUUAAGUUCAGUUGACCAUCUACUCAUAUUCAAAUUUUAUCCCCACUAUUUAAAAAGGAAAACAUGGGAGGAAGAAAAAAAGAUAACAUUAUAAAAUAAAAAUGUAUUGAAUAUGAUUAUCUUCGUCAAAAAAUAUAGAAAAAUAAGGAAGGGGUAGUUUUAAAAAAUAUCUACAAAAUAGACCAUAUUUGCAAUUUUUUCAUAGAGUUGUAUUUGAAAUUCUAAUAGAUGAAUAAUGUUUAUAAUGUCAAAUAACAUAGAAGAAAAAACCACUUUAAAAUUUAUUUUUAGCACAGUCUGUUGAGAUCAUAUCAUUUAUGACUAUUUCCGAUGUAAAUUAUAUAUAUAUAAAAAUGCAUUAUAAUGUUUGAGAUAAAUAUAAAUAGAAAGGAGAUGAUUAUUAGAAGAAAAAAAAAAGGUCAUUGAAUGGGUUGAUGAUAAAUGAAAAGUAAUUUUUGCAACUUAAUACGUAGAGUUUGGAGUGUUACAAAAAAAAACGUGUUGUAGAAGUAAGUUAUUGUGUAUUUAGUUAUUUAUGAUUAGAAUUGUGGCAUUGAAGAAAUAUAUAAAAUCGAAAAUAGGAAGAAAAUGAACAAAAAAUAGAGGGAAAUUAGAGUGAAUAUGGUUUGAUGGAAAAAUAAAAAAUGAGAAGGUUUUGUUUGUAUGUUAAAUCUCAUUUAUAAUGGAGUGUAUUUCAUAAAGACAAAAUUGAAAAGUUUGUGUUAUUUAAUUUACUUAGAAGAAAAAAAAGGGCAUUGGUUAGGACAGACUGUCACCUGUGGGUUAGGAACACGUGGCAGGGAGGAAAAGAAGAGCCAAUCCAUUUUGGACCACGGUCACCACGUGGACACGGGGCCCACAUAGUGCCGGCAAUGCCCAGGUGGAAGAUAUAUAUGUGUAUCAUCACUCCUGGACCACAUCAUCAUCUCAAAGGGAAAUAAGUAGUGGUCGUUUUCCUCCACGUGGGCCCACAUUUAAAAGGCCAGCCAGCCACCCAGGCCCAACUUUCUCUACCUUCGAAUAUUAUACCACUCCCCCCCUCUUCCCACUUUUCCACCUUUUCUUUCCAUAUAUUAUAUUCCCUUUUUUUUCUUCUUCUUUUUAUAUAUUUCACAAUAUCAACCUAUAUAUACCCUUUUCAAUUCUCUCAAAUAUGUAUUUUAAUAUUUCAAUAUAUAUAUCAUUAAUUCUCGUCUCCAUGAACAAACAAAUUUGAUCAACUUUUUUAAAAUGGAGUGAUCAAUUAGUUUGUUAGCAUCGUCAUUUUUUUUUUUUUGUGAGGCUUCAUAAAUCUCUAUUCUUUCUCGUUAUUGUCCUCAUUAGAGAAAAAUACACGCAAAAAUCAAGCGUUGUCAUUGUCAUAUAUGAAAACAAAUCAAAGAUCUAGAGAUAAGAGAGGAAGAAAUAGAAUGAUAGGUGUGAUUAGAAAUGAAGAAAAAUAAAUACUAAAAGAAUAUAAAAUCUUAAUUGUUUUUUUUUUAAUUUUAAAUACAGUAAUUAUAUUCAAAAUAAUCAAUUAAAUAUAUAAUAACAAUUUUAAGAAAAUUACAAAUACAAACAUUAUAAUUAUUUUUUGUGGAAGGGAUGAAAGUACAUUUUGAGGGAUGUUUGAGUUGAAUAACAUUAUUUGUGUAUUGAAGUGUAAGAGAGUUUGGAAAUAAGAAAAUAAAAGAUAUAUAUUAUGUAUAGAAAACAUGUCCGAGAAUUUUGGUCCCCAUGUUAAUGUAAUAGUAUGAAGAAAGUGACUGAGGGUGAGAAGGACAUGGAGGCCUCUUCAUUUCCCUCACAAAUUCCAAUACAAAACACAAUUCACUAUCAUUUCACAUUCUUCCUAUUAUACUUCUUUUUCCCUCCAAAUUCCCAAUUAUUAACAAAAUCUUACCCUUCUAUGAUUCCAUUCUCACACAUUACUAUUCUUUUCGAUUUAUGUCUAACCUAUCUAUUCCAUCUUCUACAAUCUUAAUAUUGGAUUGAGACAAUAUAUUAUAAUAAUAUCUUCAUUACCGAUUAAGGUCGAUUUCAAAUCUUUUAUGAAUUGAAUUUCUUUUUUCUUUGCAUGAAAUUCCGUUCAUAAACAAAAAUAAACCAUAUCAUAACAAAAUUUAUAAUGGCAAUAACCACAAACAAAGACCUUUAGAACUAAUGAUAAGUAGUUCACACAUGCAUAAACUUAUCUAAUUAAUAAAUUAAUUUUCUUUUAAUUUGGAAAAGAGUAAAAGAAUAUUCAUGAUGCUCACAUCCUAUAUACCUAAGAUACUCUUCAACUAAUAAUGCAGAUUUUUUUUUUUACCAAGUCAUCAAUCAAACAAUCCACAUUUGUGUUGACUGGGCUAUAUAUAUACUUUUAUUAGUACACCUAAUGCAAUGUCAUAUUUUUAUAAAUUAGUUUAGAAAUUUCAUCUGCUAGGACUCAAGAUGGUGACAUCAAAAUACAUUUCUUAAUUAUCUUCUGCACAUACUUUUCCUUUAUCUAAAUUGACACUCAAACUUUUCAUUUUAUUUUGUUUAUAUAUUCACAUAAUACACAACAAGACAAAUUAACCAAUUUUUUUUAUUAAUUGAAUCAAAAGCUCAUUUGAUAUGGUAGUAUAUUAGAUGAAGAAGGUCACUUGUUCAAAUUUUUGUAAUAGCAUAUACUAAACUUUUCUUUAUUUAUUAACCAAGUUAAUAGGUUUAUUGGUGUUUAUAUAUACUCGAGUUGAAAAUUUUAAUCUAUAUAAGUUGUAUUUGAAAUUUGUAAAUAUAAAAAGAAAAGGAUAAAAUAGUAUAUUAAAGGAAUUUUGUAAGUUUUGUUUCAAAAAGGAAAUACUCGUACUAUAUACUAAAGUAAAUUCGACUUUCCAAUUUAUACAAACUUAAACAUAUGGUCAAAAUGUUAAAUAUAUACAUUAUAAAAUAAUGGGUUUGCACACGAAUUCAAAACUUUGAUUUGUAACGUAUUUAAUUUAAUUAUAAGGCAUUGUCCUACGCAUUUUUGGACCACAUGGUAGAAAUUAAAGGAAUAAAUAAUAAUGACAUUUUCUUUUUCUCUCUUGGUUGUGGAGCCAAAACGUUUUGUGUAUAUAUAUAUAUAUUAUUGACCUUGGAUACACCUUUUUUAAGUAUUGCAUUCACACUUGGUAACUAUUAUUUGAAAAUAAAAUGUUUCACAAAAUGAUUUUGAAAAAAAGAUUGAUCUAAUUGCAUGGAAAUUUUAUAUAUCGAUAUGCCAAAAUACAUUUUACAAUUUUGUUUGUUAUAUAUGUUUUCAUAUUCUGUAUUGUUUUGACUAUUAAAUAACCUUGUAAUUAUACUUUUAUAUUCUUUUUUAAAAAAUAAUAUUAUUUGGUAGAAAAAAAAAUUACUGAAAAAUAUUUAUAAAGUAUAAACAAAUUUGAAAUCUAUAAUUGUUUGUUAUUUAAUCUUAGUUCAUUUUCUUUAUAUUAAUUUUAAAAAGACGAGAGAGGAGAGAAUAAAAUUGAAGCAAAUAGUGAGGAGGUUGCUUAGUAGAGGAUCCAUAUGGUUAGGUUAUUUAAAGGUUUAUAAAGUGGUAGUUAUAGCAUAACCAUCAUUAGGUAAGCCUCACUGUUUCUUCCCCCAGAAAGAUAAACAUUUGAUUGUUUUGUUCAUUUCAUAUCCAAACAAGCAAUUUCAAUUUUUGUCUUUCUUUCCGGUUGCAUUUAUUUCAUUAAUAUGUGUCAUCAUUUCAAACCCCUUCCCUCAUUACCAUCACUUUUAUGUAUUUGAUUUAAUUAACUCUAACUAACACAUAUAUAUAUAAUUUAAUUAAGCUCAAUGCCAAAGAUUAUCUACUUUUCCAAACUUUAUAAUAAUAUGUGUGUCUUCCAUUGGCUAUUGACAUGUGGCAUGUGAUUUUAUAUACAUAUAUUAAUAAUCACUUGAUUAACUCACAUAAUAUUCUAUUUAAAAAUCUAUUUGACUAAGAUAUAAAACAAACAAAUCUCUUUUGUUUUCUUCUUCUUUUUUCUCAUUUUCUGUCUCUUAAUAUGUCUACCUAUGCUAGCAAACAUAUAUAAUCUUUUUAAAAACCCAAACCAUACAGUUCACUAUAAUAAUCUUAAUCUCUCUCUUGGAAAUUAAAAUUCAUUUUAACCUUCACUAAAACCAACAAACCCAUCCAGUUAAACACUAAUUUAAUUUAAUUAGGAGAUUACUGUUCGGUAACCAAAAAUCAGAUUAUAUGCUCAAAUUUUUAUUCAUAAAAUAUAUAACCAAACAAAUUCAUAAAAUUUAAGUAGAGAAAGAAACGAUUAGAUUAAACAAAAACUAUUUAAACCCAAUUUUAUUUUUUUCUUAACAAAAAAUCCGUUUAUUUAAAACAAGGCCAUGGAUAAAAGGGUUUCCAUGUUUAAAUUAAAAUACACUUACAUUUCUUGAAUUUUUUAAAGAAAAUUUUUAUUUAUUGAAAGUUGUCAUUUAAGGACAUAAUAUCUAAAGCCUUGCAAAGGAAACUUUGUGUUAAGUACAAUUUUAGAAUGAUAUCUAUCAUCUUUUAGUUAAGGAUAUUUAGCUUAAUCAAUGGAGUAGUGUUUAGUUGAUACAAUACUUUGUUUGUAUGGCUUAUAUUAACUUACACAAACUAAAGUUUAAACAAUCGAUUUAAUUAAUUACUAAUAAAUAAAUCGAGUUUUCUUGAUAUGCCUUUCCAUCAUUUUUUUUUAUGUAUUUAUUGACUCCACUCUCUAUUGAACCUUCCUCUAAAUAUAUAUUGCAAAGUCUAUAACAACAAAUGCAAUUUAUUACCACCACCCUCCAGUCAAACUUAAACUAGUGUCUGUUGCUAUUAUUUAGAAAAUAAGUGUAAUAAUGCUAUUAUUUAGUGAGUUAACUAUUGUUUUGUUUAUGUGACAUUUAGCUUAACUAGUCAUCAUUAUAUGUAUACACAGGAAAUCCAAAAUUGGAUAUAAACAAAGAAUUGUUACAUAGAUUGCCAUGAGUAGCUUUUAAAUAAUCACAAGCUACUUUUUGUUUUACUACAACAAUAUGAUUAUUAUUAUGAAAUGAUAUAUUUGAUAUUAAACAUCUAACCUCUAUGAAUAAAUAGAGAUCAUGCCCAAAUACAACUUAAUUAAACUUACUUUGCCAGAGAAAUCAUCAGUCUCGCUCAACCCUUCACUAAAACAAAGUAAUUAAAUAUUUGAAUAUAUAGGGUUGUAAUAAACUCCCAUUAGUUAUUAUUAUUAUUUAAAAAUUUAUUGACGUUAACUUAUCAUAUAGGCAACAACCUGGAGAUUUAAAUGUAGUGAUUGACUAGUGAAUGGCUACCAUCAAUUAGUUUUUCCAAAUAAUGCACAUAUAAUAUAUAUAUUUAUAUUAUGUAUAUAAAUAUUGUAAUUGGUAGAUAAAUGUCAAAAUACUUGGUUACAAUUAAGGACGUGAUUUUGUUAUAUUUGUGUUGUUGAAUAAUAUUGGUUCCUCGUACCUCAAUCAAAUUUUGUAUACAAACUUCACAUCUUUUCUAAUCAUCAUCUUCAUUUCUUUUAUUAUCUCUCUCAAAAUUGAAUAUUUGUUUCUCUCCACCCAAACAUUUUACUAAAAAAAAAAAUCUUCCACUUGUCACCAACUUCCCCACACAAAAUAUCAUUAUAUAAUUAAAAGCUUAUAUUAAUUAUUACAUAUCGCCUUUCAUUUUAAUCAUUCAUUUUAUCUACCAAUCUCUUCCUCAACCAACACAAUUUAUUUUCUUUCAUAUCCUCUUCACAACCAAUCUUUUCUAUACCUACUUUAAUUUACAUUCUUUAAGCAUUCUUCGUUUUUCAAAUUUAAAUUUGUACUAUAUUUGGCAUUAUUAUUUCUUUUUUAAGAUUAAAACUCUAAAUUGUUUUUUUUUAUAAAAUACAAAAAUGGGAGGAAAAUGGAGAAAAAUGAGCCUACCAUAUCACAAUCUAACUUCCAAUAACAACAAUAACAACUACCCAUAUAUAAAAACAUCAAAAUUUCAAAUUAAUAUUAUUUUUAGAUAAUAAUUAAUAAAGUGAGCCGAAAAAGGGAAAAGAAAAACCGUAAGCAACCGACCGAGAUUAGAGAUGGCAAUAAAAUAAGCCAAUAAAUGACAUACACACGUGCGUACCGACUUUGCACGUGAUGUGGAGUAUGAAAAAUUUUCACUUUUUUGUUUUAAAUAAUAAUAAUAAUAAUAAUUAGGUUUCUUUUUUGAAAGCAUAAUGAAAUUAGGUAUUGGCAAAUGAUGAGGUGUAACUUUCAAGCGUGUGAAGGGAGGGUGGGAUUCACGUGAAGGCCCUACCCCAAAGACUUCACACGUGAGAUUCCAAAGGUUGGGCUGUCAAUCAUCAAUUCGGUUUUUGCAGUUGCUUCUAAUUUUUUCUUAUCUUAAAAUAAUAAUAAUAAUAAAUCUCCUUUUUCAAAAUUUUAGUAUAAGCAUUCUAUAAAAAUCUUACGUCAUUUCCUUUCUAAGGAAAUAAUUAAUCUUAUUCCAUUUCCAUUGCCAUUUCAAAGAAUAAAAACCAAAGGGCAUAUGGAAACCAUCAAUUUGAAGAAAUUUUCAAUUACUGUGAAAUUAAAGAAAUUAUCAUGUAUUAAUUAAUGUUUACAUUAAGUAAUUAAAUUAUUUCUACGUAAUUAGCAUCUGAAAGUUUCCACCAUCCUACCCAUCUUCUCAGAAAAAUAUAUAUAUUAAAAUCUUAUUUGAAUCAUUUUUUUAAAUUUUUUAAAAACUUAUCUAUGUUUUGUUUCUCCUUUCUAUUUUUAUAUUUCUCUUAACAAACAGUAGAAUUUGGCUUAAAUUUUGAUUUUUUCAAAAAUAAAUAACAAGACAAAGAAACUAGGAUGAUGUGAUAGUGUUUAUAAAUUCAAAUUUCAAGAACAAAAACACAAAAUCAAUUAGUUAUCAAAUUAAGCCAAAAAAUACUAGAAAUUAAUAGAAAACAUAAUGAGACUAGCAGUAAUGCUACUUUUUUCCUUAAUAAUUAGAAUUAUACUCUAACCCAUCAUCUUAAACUUUGAGUUGUCUAGUACAUUCAAAUUCUAUUAAAUAAUUACUAGCCUAAUUGGAAUAACUUGUGAAAAAAAAGACUAACAAUGUUCCCUAAAUAUCUUAAUUGAUUGUACAUAACUAAUUUGGGGGCCAUCAUAUUUGAUAUUAAUGAUGAACACAAAUAUAGGAGUUAUUAUUUAUUUGAAUCAAUGAAUGAAAAACUAAAGUUUACUAUAGUUAAGCCCUUUAGAUGUAGAAGCAUAUAUAGGUAAGAAGAAAUAAAUGUAAACAAAGGAUGUACCACAUCAAAAAGGGUGAAGGCAUCUCAUCUCAAAACCCUAAAAAAGGGCACUUAUAUGUUUGCUUUUGGACCACACAUACAUGUCAAACCAAACCCAAUCUUUGUAUUAAUCCUAACAUAUAUAUAUAUAUAUAUCAUAUGCCCUCGUGCUAAUACUUUUAUUUUUCAUCCACUCAAAUGUAGCUCAAUUAUAUAAGAUAUUUUUCAUAUAUAUUAAAAGAACAUUAGUAACUCGAAAUUGUUGAAAUUAAGCAGGUAUGAAAUUCAAAAUAAAAGUAAAAAUAAAAUGGAUUUUUCCAACUAUUUCAUUUUCCAAAAUAAUAAAUAGCAAUGUUCAAAUGAGGUAGGUUUUCUUUUUUGCUUACUAAUUAUUUAUUUUUAUUUUAUGGUGAGGUGAUACUUGUCAGUUUAGUUCACUUCUAUUUCUACCAAUAUUUUACUAGGCUUCCUAAAGAUAUUAGAUAUUAAUAUGUAAGACUGUGUAGCAAAAGACCAAAACACCCCUAUCAAGAAGAAUUGGGUUAGAUGAAAAAUGAAGGUGUUGAGAAGGGUAUAAUGGUAAUUGAGGAGGAGCUAAAUUGUAAUUGGAGGUUUAAGGGCUUUGGGAUGAGUAUGUGUUGUCCCCAUCUUUUAUUAUAUUCGGUUCCCAAAAGAGGUUUGCUAAAAUGACCAUCACGGGUCCAAUUUUAAAGUGGUAUUCUUCCGUAAUUCUAAAUAAAUAUCAAUAUAUAUAUAUAUAUAUAUAUAUAUAUAUAUAUAUAUAUAUAUAUAAUCGAAAUAGAAUUUUAAAUUUAAAUCAUAUUUUCCCACCCAAGUUUUUUACAUUUUUCAUUUUCAAUCAUUGUACUUUUAAAUUUUGGUCCCAAAAUCAUUUUUCUUCUUCUUUAUAAAGGGCAAGGCAAAGGAAAAAUUAAAUAAAAAAACUCAAUAAAUUAAGUAUUGUGAACCAAGUUAACUCGUUUUUUGUUUCCAUGUUUUUAAUUUUGUUAAUGGUUUAUUUUGCUUGUUAGGGUUAAAUGUAUUAUGUGAAGCAAGGAAGGAUGCUCAAACAUCAAUCUAGAAACUAAUCAACCAAAAUCAAGUUAGUUUAAAGAGAUUUCAUACUACACUAUACAAUACCAAUGGUCAAUACUUUGAAAAAGUUGAAAGUUUAUAUAUGUGAAUUGAUUGAUGCCAAUUUGACAUAUACACCCAUAAUUUCAAACAUAUCAAUUAGUACUCGCGCUAUCUUAAAAAUGUUUAUACUACAUACAAUAGUAAAAUUUUAUAACAAAGGUUAAAUGUGUAUUCAUAUGUUUAUGUUAAAUGUUUAUACUACCUACAAUAGCAAAAUUUUAUAACAAAGGUUAAAUGUGUAUUCAUAUGUUUAUAACAUAAACAUAACUUAAUUGAUGUACAAUAUAUAAUAUAAAUCAAAAGGUAUAAAGUUAAAAUCCCUCGUGUCACAUGGGAUUAUAAAUGAACUAAAAAAUAGAUUAGUAUACCUAAUUUAAUACAUACAUGCAUAAACUCAUAAGUAGUUUUUGAUUAUGAGUUGAACUUACUUUAAAGAAAAUAACCGGCUAAUGAUAGUAUUAACUUAACAUUGAAUCAGGGCUUAUUUAGCUUGCUAAUUAAGAUGCAGUCUUGAUCUUACAACAGAAUAAAGAUAAUCAAGGGUAAAAUGUUUAAGAAAAUGGGAGAAGUUAUCCUUAACAUAAUUAACAUUUUAUUUUUUCAAUGAAAUUAGAAUUUUGAUUCUUAUCUCUGUAGCUAUUGCAAAAAUUAAUCUAAAUAUAAAAAAGAGUUUCCAGAGAAAUGGUCAAAAAUAGAAAAAAGAAAAUCCAAAUUAAACAAAUUAUCAAUGGACUAUCAAUUUUUUCUUCCCAAAUGAAUAUGUUGCUUGAGGUAUAAUGAAAAGAAAAGGAGGGAAAAAAAAGAGUAAGACAAAGAAAUAAAUGAAACAAAUAAUUAUUGAUGUCAUUAAAUAGAAAAUACAUUGGAAAGUGUGCUCACACACACACACUCUCUCUCUCUCUCAGAAAAAAAGAAAAGGAAUGUUAAAACAUUACAAAUUUUUAUUACAUUUUUUCUCUUUCCUGAAAAUAAAAUAAACAAACAAAUUCAAAUGAGACAAAUGGAGCAGGAAAAUUAAUAAAUAAAUAAAAAAGAAAAAAAAGGGAAGAUGUAAAAAGAAAGAAGGAAAUGAAGAAGAACAGCAACCCUCUUUUUUUUUUUUGUCUGUGUGAGAGAGAGAGAGAGAGAGAGAGAGAGAGAGAGAUUUUCAGUGAGUUCUUCCUUCUUCUUCUUCCUCAAUUCUUCCCCUAAUUUUAUUCUCUCUCUCUUUUUUCUCAAUAACCAAAACAAAAAGAAAAAAGAAAAUCCAAUUAAUUCUCUUACAACUUUGUCUCUUUUUCCUCUACACUCUUCCCAAUCCAGCAGGUACUCAACUCAUCUCUCUUUUUUUUUUUCUUUUUUUUUGUUGUUGUUCUUGUAAUUUAUGAAUUAUUCAAAUUUGAAUUUGUUUUUUGGUUCAGUUUUCAGGUGUGGGAUUAUUAGUUAAUAUUAUUGUUAUGUGAAGUUCUUGAAUCCGAUGAAGAAGAAGAACAAUAAUUUUAAUAGAAGAAGAAUUAUUAUUAUUGUUGUUAUUAUGUGAUAUGGGAAUCGCAAAAGGUCCAUUAAUUUUGUCCAAUAAGGCAACUAGUUGUGCCAAUUCUUCUAUGUCCCACGAUUAUCAUCAUCAAGGAAUCUUCACCUUCUCUAAUGCCACCAGCUUCGACAAAUCCAAUCCAUCCUCCCUCCCCGCCCAACACAUCCGCCCCGACAAGCUCCGUCUUGAAUCUUUCUCCGACUCCAUCCCUCCACCACCAUCCCACCUCGUCGGAAUAGACGAACACCAUCACCAACAACAACUUCAUCAUGUCUAUGCCUCCCCAUCUAGUGGGGGAACCAUGUUAUCUGACAUGUUCAAUUUCCCUCCCACUACUCCCUCCGCCGCGGCUACUACGGUCGAAUUCUCCGACAAUUUUCGAACUUUACGCCCCCCUAACUCGGCCUCGGCCAUGCAACUUUUCUUGAUGAACCCUCCUCCACCACCACAACCCCAACCACGAUCCCCUUCGCCACCCUCGACUUCCUCCACUCUCCACAUGCUCCUCCCGAACCCACCUGCGAACCCUCUCCAGGGUUUCGAAGGUGGGGUUGGCGUCGGAGACCAAACGACGGCUUUUGGACAAUUCGCUGUCGUGGAAAGUCAAGGUCUUUCACUCUCACUUCACUCUUCUUCCUUACAACACUUGGAGGACGCUGCUGUUGCGAAAGCGGGUGAAUUACGAAUUAGGGAUGGUGGGAUUUUGUAUAAUUAUAACAGCAACAACAAUCAAGUCCAUGGUGAUGGAGGAAGUGGAUCAACAUCCUCAAUUUUGCAAUAUUCUUUUAGGAAUAAUGAGAAUUCUCCUCAUAGCUUUCAAGCUAAUUCACAAAUAAUCAAUAAUCCCAACAACCAUCAAGUUCAAAUUGGAUUUGGGUCAUCUUUAGGAGUUGUCAAUGUGUUGAGGAAUUCAAAAUAUGUCAAACCUGCACAAGAAUUGCUUGAAGAGUUUUGCAGUGUUGGGAAAGUUCAAUUGAAGAAGAACAAGUUCAAUACUAAACCAAACCCCAAUACUGAAUCCGCUACCAACGCCACGGCCACCACUUCCGCCGCAGCUACCGGUGGUUCAACAUCUAAAGAUCAACCUCCCUUAUCGGCUGCUGACAGAAUUGAACAUCAACGGAGAAAGGUCAAACUAUUGUCCAUGCUUGAUGAGGUAAGAAUCUGAUCUCUCUCUUUCUCUCUCUCCCUAUAUAUAUAUAUAUUUAUAUUUCUUCUUCUAAAUUUCACCUAUUUCUUUAUCUCAAAAGUCAAGAACGACACAUAAAAAUUUCAUCUUUUUAUCAAUUAAUUUCUGGGUAUUUGUUAAUUUUAAUUUUUAAUCACUUGAAAAGCCGGCUGAUCAUCGAUUAAUGAUUUUCUCAAAAGAAAAUAAUAAGCUAAGAAAUCCAACCAGGUUUUGUAGGGCUACAUUUCAUAAGAAAUUCUUUUUUUUUAAUCUUUUUCUACAAGAUUUAAUUGGUAUCCACUUUGUAAUCAAGAUAUAUAUGCAGUUGAAACCUACAAUUUUUGGCUUAUGAACCAACAAACAUAAAUAGUAUAUAUAUAUAUAUAUAUUUGUUUAUAAAAUUAAAUAUAUUUAUAUAGUUGACCCAAAUAUAGCAAGCUAGAGAAGCAAUUGAUUUCAUUAAUACAUUAUUAUUAAUCCUUUGUUUUUGGAUUUUUUUUUUGUUAAGGAAAUUCAAACAAAAAGUCUGUCAAUUUGGCUGUAUUUGGAGAAGAAAUUAAACAAUGGCGAGAAACACUAAGGAGAUUAUGUUAAUAAUUAUCCUAUUUCAUCACUCCUUAAUAUUAAUUAAUUAAUGAAUUAAUUACCAUCCAUUGUUUUCGUUUUGUAGCUUGUUUAAGGAGUUCACCAUACUUUAUACAACUAACAUAAAAUAAUUAAUUAAAAACUAAAUCAAACCCAAAUCCAACUCUCCCUAUUUCACUCUACCAAUUCAAACUCAAACCUCCUCCAUUUUAUUCUUUUUUGGUGCAAAUGGAAAGAGACCACACAACAAACAUUAUAUUAAAAUUUUAAAAAUUGAUCUUUAAACCAUUGUCGCACUCAAUAAUCAUUUUUUAUGUGUCUAAUGUAUAAAGAUGAGUAUUGUUCAAAAUAUAUACACCUAUGUAUUAUCAAUUUUGAUCUUUUAUUCAUUUCUUUAACCAUGUAUCCAGGUGGAACGUAGAUAUAACCUAUAUCGUGAGCAAAUGCAGAUGGUAGUGAACUCAUUCGACCUAGUGAUGGGGUUCGGGGCAGCAGCACCAUACACGACGUUGACACAAAAGGCAAUGUCGAGGCACUUUCGGUGCUUGAAAGAUGCAAUAGCUGAGCAGUUAAAGCAGAGCUAUGAGGCGUUAGGGGAGAAAGGAGGGAAUGGAGGGUCAGGAAUAACAAAAGGUGAGACACCAAGAUUGAAACUUCUUGAACAAAGCCUUAGGCAACAAAGGGCUUUCCAUCAAAUGGGGAUGAUGGAACAAGAAGCUUGGAGACCACAGCGUGGCCUUCCUGAACGAUCUGUCAACAUUCUCAGAGCUUGGCUUUUCGAGCAUUUUCUUCAUCCGUACGUAACAUUAUGAUCUAUAAUUACUCUUUUUUCCUUCUUUUUUUUUAAAAUCUGAAAUAACUGCAUGCCCUCCCUUUUUCAUGAUUUCCUAAUUAUUCUUCAAAGUUUGCAUCUUUUCAUGGGUUCAUCAUUGAUUACACCGUAAAGUUGGGGGUUUUAAUGACUGUCAAUUAUAAGUUUUCCAUUAAAAAAAACUACUUUUGUGCAUUUCGGACUACCCUAAUUUUUUUACUUUUUUUUUCUUAUAAACAUUUUUUAGUUUCUUUUGUUUUGUUAUUGUUUGAGCAAGUUGAAAAAGGAUUAGUACAUUUCAGUAUGCACUUAAAUACAUAUUCUUUCUUUAAGUUAUGUCUUGACAAGCUUUAAGAAAAAAAAAUUGGGUGUGGUUUUAUUUUUGGAUUGAUGUGAGUACAUUGGAUGUUGUAUUCAAACUUUAAAAAUUUCACAUCCCUAGAGUCGGUGAUUUUUAUUUCACAUCCCUAGAGUUGGUGAUUUUAAUUUAGCAAAAAAGAAAUAAGUUUUAUAUAGUUGUUACUAAGAAUCAACAAUCUCACAAUAUGUGAAAUUUAAGGAAUCGAACUUUGGUAUGUUUAUAAGAUGAAUGGAUGACUCUUUUCAUCACUAAUAGAUUUUAAAAUGAAAGUUGUAUAAUAUUAUCUAAAUAUAUGAUAUAGAGUCCAUGAAAUUCAAAACAUUCAUUUACUUACCAAUUGAUCUUGAGAUAAGAAUGCAUGCAUAUAUUUUCUAAAAGAUAAGGUAGGUGGUAAGGGUAUAUGGAAAGUGUGAAAUGAUCGAAGAGAAAAAGGUACAAAAAAAAUGGUGAGUGUUAAAUCACAUCCCAAAGAAAUUAAAAAAAAUAGAAAUGAUAAGAUUGAUGUUUGAGAGAAAAAGGACUUUGAUUGUGAUUUUUUAUGGUCUUUUUCUUCAGGUACCCCAGCGACGCAGACAAGCUUCUGUUAGCUCGACAGACUGGUUUGUCCAGAAAUCAGGUUUUUCCUUUUUCUCUUCUCUUCUCUUUCCCUCUACCUUUUUUUAAACCCUCCAUUUUUCUACUUAAUUCACACACCUAUCUAUUCUAUUACAUACCUAAGUUUAAAAAAUUAUUAAUUUCUUGUAUGAAUCUUGAUCUCCACUCAUCUUUGUGCAAGUUUAUGAUAAAAGGAUGAAAUGCAUAAAUAUGAGUAUUUUUAUUUUUACAUGAAAGAAUGAAACAAAACAAGUUCCUUAUGGUAAUAAUGUGAAUGAAAAUGGAAAGUUUCAAACUUUGUUUUUUCCCAUCUGUCUCUUUACCAUAUUAUUCUUUUAUGACAUCAUUGUGUGUGAAAAUGGCCAAAGUGUGAAGGAAGAUCAUAAUAAAAUCCCCAGAUGAAUUGUCCCCUUCGUUUUACGUUUUUGUGUUUUUUUUCCUUCUCUAUUAUCUCAUCUCUUUUAAUGAUACAUAACAUAAUAGUACUGCUAGAUAUGUAGGAGAUUCUUUAAUAAAUUAUUGAGUAUGACAGUCACAUUUCUUCGUAUUACUCCUGUAUAUCUAGGAGUGGCUUGAUUUUUUAUUGCUUUUUUAUAUGAUUGAAAAAUUAUUAAAUGAGAUCGUCAUUUUGACUGCUCCUUAAUAACAAUUGAAUGUAUUGUUUUUCAAUAACCACUAAAUAUAAAUUUAAAGUCUUAAAAUUCAAAAUUGACUGUUAAGACGUCGUUCUCUCUUGAGUUUUUGCUAUAUAUGUGCACAUGAAAAAGCCAAAUUCGUAUGCCAUUAAUGUGUCUCUAUCAACAGAAUUAUUACUCACUGCAUCCCCUUUAUUAAUUUAAUUUUAGAAUUAAAAAGGGAAGAAAAACAUUUGACAUAAUAAUAAGUAAUGUGUUUUGUUUGGUUAUUGAAAAAAAAUUGGCAGGUUUCAAAUUGGUUCAUUAAUGCAAGAGUUCGGUUGUGGAAACCAAUGGUGGAAGAAAUGUACCAACUUGAAGGCAAAGUUGAUACAGAUCAACAAUCACAAGAGGAUACCCCACAAAAUAAUAAUAACAAUAACAGUAAUAAAACACAAAAUAAUGCCAUAAAUCAACAAAAUCCAACCAGCGGCGCCGUGGAAGAAGUAGGGGCGGAGUACACGGCCGGGCACGACUACUCCGAUUUGCAUGAUGUGUGGCGACACGGAAGUAGUGGAUCAGAUCAUCAACAACAUUACGGGACCAUGCCUGAGGAUGUUACUGCGGCGGCUGACAUGAGUCCUGGACCAACACUUAUACGAUUUGGGACCACGAACACUGCCACUGGUGACGUUUCCCUCACGUUAGGCCUCCGCCACGCCGGAAACACCUCCGCCGCCGCCGCCGCUGCCGCUGCCGCUGCCGUGGAUAAUCCUUCUUUCUCUCUCAGAGACUUUGGUCAGUCUUAAGGAGAGGAAGACGGAAGUUAAUUAUUAUUAUUAAAAAUUUCCCACAUUAUUAUAAAAUCACCCCUUUUUUUCUUUUUUUGGUUUCUAUAGAAAAUUAAUUAAUGUAUCAUGGUUGAAUCUCAAUGUACGUAUGUAGCUGCAUUUCGUGUAAUUAGGGCUUUGCAAUUUCUGGGGUUGAUUAAAUUAUUGUUAAUUGUAUAGUAGGUUUUUUUUUUCUUCUUCUUUUCUUAAAUAUCCUUUUUUCCCCUUUUUCUCUGAUCUCUCUUUCUAGGGCUGGUAAAAUGUGAGUGUAAUUUUGUGGAAUAUGAUUUGUUUUGAUAAUCAUUUUGCUAAGUAAGAAAGAUAUGUACUAAGAUAUAAGAUAUUCUAUGAAUGUGUCUGCCUAUUACACUAUCCUUUUGAGCUCUAUGAAUGGCGAAAUUAUAUUAAAUAUAAUUUCUUAAUUUCUAGUCUCCACCUGUAAUUAUUGAACUUGAUUAUAAUUUUCUUUUCUUUUCUUUUUUGAAACAAAAACGUUUUAUUGAUGAAUGAAAUAGAUAAUAAGAAAUCUCUCUCCAAUCGAAUGGGAAGAAAGAUAAAGCUAUGAGAAUUGAAGGAGACCUGAAAAGAAAAAUGCAUGAAGAAGCACAUCAUCAAAAAAUUCUAUAUCGAAGAUAGAAGAUAUAUCACGGAAGAUUCAUCCAUUUCGAAUACUUAAAAGAGUUCAAAAGAAGCUUCGCACAAUAGCCAACAAAAAAAGAUGCUCUACAAAUAUAUAGAGAAGUCAAAUGAUAAAAAACAGAAAAAUAGCAUCUAAAGACAACAUGUAGAUCUUAAGAAAACGAAAUGCAUGUCAAUUACCAUUAAAUUAAUCUCACUUUGGAACCAAUAUUUGUUGGUUAAAAUGAAUAUUAUAAAUAUGUCUACAUGUUGCAUCUAUAUAUAUCAAUAAUGUGUACAAAUCAAUGUCACAUCAAAUCAAUACAUAUUAUACGAUAAAAACUUAUCGCUAAAUGUAUACAUCAUCAUUCUUUAAUGAUUAGAAUAAUUAACCACGUAGAAUAUAUAUAGUUAUAAGGACCAAAAAUAAAAGUAAAAUGUAAAAAGAGAAGAGAUAAAAGUACAUGAAUCAUAGUAUAACCAUAAAUAUAUUACAAACUAGAUAGUUGUCACACUCACAAGAUAAAACAUAUAAAGAGAUAUCAACAACACUUGCAACAGUUUUAUUUUUCCCUUUCAAAGUUUCAAAGAGGUUCUCCAAAUUGGUAGUUUUCUUUUCCAUGAAAGCUACAUUCGUUAUGUUUUUUGGUAUUCCAAUCUUCAUCCACACACAUAUAAUAACAACCAAACACUAUAUAUAUAUAUAUGUAUGUAUAUAUAUUACUGAGUUUUCAUUGACUGCCAUAUAUAUAUAUAUUAAUUUGUCACCAAACCCACCAUAUAUGUUUCCUUAAAUCACAAAACAAUCAUAUGCAAAGCAACAAUAACUUAUUACCUAAUCUAUAUAUAUAUAUGUCUUUGUGUUGCCACUUACUUUUGCUUUUUUUUAUUUCCUCAAAACUUCAAUUAUUUUUAUUUAAUCACUACCUAAACACUAAGCAACCCCCUUUUUUUUCUUUGUUUGGUAGGAUAAUGGAUGUUUAUUGAAGUUAGCUAUCAUUAAUUAAAAAGAUUGAGCUGCUAAUUUAACGAUGGGUAAUUGUAUGCAAUAAGAAAAUGUGUAUUUUUAUAUUUUAUAUUUAAAAAUGUUUUAAUUCAUGGUUACAAUGUUUUGGUUAUAAUACAAAACUUUCUAUUUUGAGAAAAAAAUUAAAAUUGUUUACAGUUAUUAUUAUUAUUAUUAUUCUAAAAAGAGUAUCCUAUAGAGUUUGGUACAACAAAUAGAAUAUGUAUUUAUCAUAUUCAUUUACGAAUGAAAAAUGUAAACUAAACAACUAGUUAGAACAAAGGUCAUCUCGAAGAAGAAGAUAUAAUUUGUAUCGAAACAUCACUAAAAAAACCUCAAUCAAAUUCAAUUUUGAACAUUUAAAGAUUAAAAAAAAAAAAAAAAAAAAGACAACUUAGAACAUUUAUUAUUAUUAAUUAAAAAGAAAUUGAAAAGUCUUAAAUUGGAGUAGUAGUACUGCAUAUGGUUUCCCAAAUGUCAUUUAUUGUGUAUAGGUUUUAUUGUUGUGUAUUUAUUACCAUGUUUUUCAUGUCCAAGAGUUAUAGUUUGGUGUCAUAAAUAAAUCAAUAGAUAAAACCCAAUUGAAAAAAAGAAGAAACAUCAUCUUAUAUUAUAUAGUUGGGAAGGUUAAAAAUAGAGAGUAUAGUACAAAUACUGUACAAAAACACAAAACCCUAGAUGCUGCUACAUUCAAUUUCACAAAAAAUUAAAAUUGAUUUAACCAUUCACUGCAAAAUAUAUUGUAUUCUCUUUUAUAUAAUUGGGAUUUUAUUUGUAUAUGAGUUUCUUACCCAAAUUCAUCUCUUUAAUACCACAGACACAUUGGAUAAAACCAUUCAGCCCUUUUCUCACACCACAAACAACCAAUUUUUCUGCCUCUCUCUCUUUCUUCUAGUAAAGAAUCUCAUCUCUUUUACCGAAAUGUAUUAAUUUUAAAUUUUAAAAUAUCAUCUUCAUUUAUACGAUUUAAAAUUAGUUUAAUUUUAAUUAAAUAACCUGAUUUCAGUAAACCUUAAAUAAAUUUAAGAUCGAUUGUAUAGAGAAUAAAAUUUAAUCAUUAUAUAAUUUAAUCUACUUUUGAUAGCAUUGGAUUUCAUCUCUAUGAUAUAUCAUAUAAAAUUUAAUUUUAAACUUUCAUUUCUCAUCCAUUUAAACUUUAAAGAAAUUAUAGGUAGUCAAAAUUGAAAUUAAAAUGGAUUAAAUUUAAAAUAUAGAUAUAUAUUGCAAUAUUAAUGAAUGAGAUUAAAAACUUGAAAUUAAAAAUGAUAUUACUGUCAAAUAUAAGGUGAAAAUAUGUCUUAAACUUUCUCACCUUUUCAUCUCUACAAUUAUUUAUUUUUUUGAAAAUUCAAGUAGAUGUGACACUGAAUUCAAUAUUUUUGGUGAAAAUUCAUGGAAUUUUGUUUUGGAUUAUAAUUAUUUAUUCAAUGAAUGCAGGUCAGUAGUGUAGUCUUUCUUUGUUUUUAUUUUUACUUUUGAAAAUUUCGUUUUGAAGUUGGGUUGGUCAGAAAUUUAGCUUUUCAUUGAAUGUGAAAUAAAUACCGAGAGAAGUGAGGAGUAAUUAAAAAUGAAUUGAAAUAGAAGAUGAAGGAGAAAUAACAAAAACUGAUGAGUUGUUUAUAUAAAUAUAAUUAGAUAAGGAUUGAAAAGUGAAGGGAUUUGUGUCUGAAUGUGCAAAAAUCAAAUGGUUUAUUUGUCUUGUUCACAAACGUAGCCAUAGGCACGCACCUGGCACGUGGCACAUGCGAAAUGAUUCCAUAUGAUUCCAAACCCAACUAACAAGCCAACAUCUUUUUCCUCUAUUUAAAAUUUUCAUAAUUAUUAUGUUGCUAUUUAUUGUCAUCAUGUUUUGGGCCCGACAUGGGCUGUAUAACCUGGGCUGGGCCGAUAUGGGCCCUCCAUCUCUGACGUAGUCGUCUUCUUCUGGGCCCAAACUUAAUUAGGGCUCUUUAUUAUUCAAUUCUCAACCAGAAACCCACCAUUCUCCAUUGUUUUUCUUUUUCCUACAAAUAUCUAUUUCCACUCUACAUAAAAACAUUUUCUUAAGAUUCUUUUUGCUGUUUUUCUUUUCUUUUUUUUUUUUUUAAUUAUUUCGUCGUGUAAGAUUCAAAUAUCAUUUUGGUUUAGUAAUUCAAAAGGAUGCCCCUUAUGUUUUUGGGGUAAAUAUGGAUGGAAAUGAGAAUAGAAUUAAUUGCUCAUGAGUUGGGUUUUUACAUUGGUGAGGUUUAAACUUCUCUUUUCCUUUUUGCUUUUUUCAUACUUCAGUCUUCCUUUUGUUCAAACUUCCUUUUGUGCCUUUACUUUGAUUUCAAGUAACCUGCUUUCGUGUUUGUUCUUUACUCCCUCCCUCCAAAAACAAAAAAAGGACACUCUAAGAACAACUAUUUUGUAGUCAUGUGUAAGACCCAAGUUAAGAAAAUAGUAAGAUUGUUGGUAUGGUUAUUUGGAGGGGCAUAGUAGAAAGUAGUUAGUAAGAUUGAUCACAAUUUUAGUUAUAAAUACUAAAUAGAGUCCAGGUUGAGAGAAAUGUGUGAAAUAAAUCCCUAGUUGGAAAUAUUGGCACAGACUAGCUGGCUAUGUUAUAUUAUAGUUUCUUCAUUAAUAUUGCAAUAUAUAUCUGUAGUUUAGGGGGCUAUUCUUAUUAGGUGGUAUUCUAACAGAUCGUGUUUAACCUUCUUUCUUUUCUUUUUAUUAUUGAAAUUUGACUAAGAAUUUAACUAUUUUACUUGAAAAAAAUAAAAAAUAAAAUAGAAAACUGAGAAACAAGCCUAAUUUUAAAAAAUCAAAGGGUUAUCAAAUUAGACCUAAAGUUUGUCCAUAACAAAUAUACAGAAAACAAACCGAAAUGUCGAAAUGCCUCAAUCUUGAUGUUACAAAGUAAAUUUCAAUAGCAUAACCUUCCUUUAAAGAAGCAAAAGCAAAAGCAUACAACACUUUGAUUUUCACUUCAAUAAAAGGUGCAUUCAGAGUAUCAAUGCACAUCCACCUUAUACUACUACGUACAAAUUUAACUCACAACAGAGCAGCGAUUCACUUCAUCAACAGCGUUCUCGACUGACCUCGAAAUUCAUUCAACAUAAAUCAUAACUAAGCAAUAAACUCAGCAGCUACCUACAAUGCCCAACAAAUGGUCAGUUUUGUUCACCUUUUGCUCACUGAGAAAUGCAUAUGCUUCAGCAUUACUUUUCUCUAUUUAUAUUCCAUUAUGUAAGUAUCGUGGUGGCAGUGGCAUAUACUCAAGGCUCCAAAUGGGAUGUGAUUGAGGAAUCUUGCUGGUGAAUGCUUCCUUGUGUCUCAACGUAAGGUCGAACAAAUGUCCGACGCCACCAAACCUCAAAUGCUCUUUGGAGGUUUGGGCAACUAUCCCCGACCUUUAGAAAACUGCCUAACCAUGUCAGCAAAAUGCUUUGCUGAUCCUCCAGUGGGAGAGUGAGAAUUGUCCGACCAAUUCCUUCUUCCACAACCUUUCGAUCAAAUGACCCGCAACCGUGUUUUAACCAGCUAUAAUCAUUGAUCAAUGGCUCUAACCAUGUAUGUAACAACAAUUUUCGUGUAUCCUUUGCUGGUAGCAGCUCUCCUUUGCCAAUGCCAACAAAUAGCCUAGCUGUUAUGCAGCUAAUAUGAUAGCGAGAGACGAUAGGCAACUUCGCAUGGAGGGUUGCUAGUUCCUGAUGCUUUGACCACAUUACUGCAAACUCAUCGGCUGCUUGCCUGUCAGCUAAUAUCUCAAGCAACCACGAGAGAUUAUCGGCCUCUAGAGUAAUUUGCUUCAGCACUGGUUCUUUCCUGUCCACUGAUCUGUCAGUAAAAUCUGUUUCAGCUGCCUGCUGGAACAGGAACAAUAGCGACGCCAAGCAGCUUCUACAAGAAGAGUAAAUGAUUUCAUUGCAGAUGUCAGUUGAACUCGCAUUGCUCGAUACACUCUGGUUUUCCCUGAGAAGCCUUAGUACUACCAGUUUCAUUUCACGUCGGCCUCUCUCCUCAUUGCUUCUGAGAACAAGUUCGAUGAUAUGAGAAAGAGUAUCUUUAUGGGGCUUAGACACAUCUGCAGACACUCGUUUCAAUACUGGGCUCACCCCAAUGCCUUCACUUUGAAGUCGUAAGAUGGACGUGACAACCUUUUCUUCUUCUUCGUCACCAACCCAAGGGGCUGCUUCCAAAUAUUCUAGACAUGAAUGCAUGCAUGACUUAAAACCAAGAAAUUCAGCAACCUACAAAACAAGCAUUUUAGGGUAAGUUUUAUGCCAUUACACAUACUUAAAAAAAUUCAUGAUAAUCACAAACGCAAGAUCUUCAAUAUGGCACGGCAGAUGAAUAAGCAAUGACAUACAAUACGCCACAGCUAUGACCUAAACAAUUAAAUAUAACACUACAUGAUAAAACGUUUGUGAGGAUCCUUAAAUUUGAUUCAAAAUUAAAACCACCCCGUUAAAUCUUUCAAUAGAUUUAAGUGUCUUGGAAGUAGCAAGGUACUUCUAGAUGGACCCAUAUCAGCCCCAAUACUGUUCGUCGUCUUCCUCAAGGCUUUUCCUGCAACCCUUGUAUUUUCCAAACUUCAAUUUACAUGCUUUAACAAUUAGAACUGAUUUCUUACUAUAUUUUUCCAACAUUGUUUGAAUACUUGAAAACAGUGUUGAAAUAUUACGUAAACCUACCAACAAAUGCAACUUUGAAGUGGAAUGGAGUAGAAAGUAAGAACAUGUACACAUCACGUAGUGGAUAGGAAAGUCAUUAGGGCAUAAUUCAGGCAUCAAUAAGGAUGUAUUAGUAAUAAGUUAGGAAGAUGGUAACGAAUUUUGGUUAUACACAGCAAGGCAAAAGAGGAAACUAGAUGUUGUUUCAAUGAGUGAUUUGGGGUUUUAGAGAGAUGAAAGAUCAUAAGAAAGGAGGGUUCAUAUACCUCAAAACACUUGGUUUAUCUCGUAAGAUUUCAUCUUUUCUAUUUCAAUAUAGUUUGGUUCUAAUUCUAUAACUAGCUUCUUCAAGGAUUUUAAGAAACAUAUCAGAAGAAGAAAAAAGAAAAAAAGAGAUGACAACGCUUCUCCAUUCCACUAGCCAGACUAAAUGGCAUUCUUUCAACUAUAGCCACUCAACAUCACUUAGCCAUUUUUUUUUCUCCAAAUACUAAAGUUUGAAAAAUUGAGCUAAACAGCAUUCAAGAGAAACACAAUCAUAAUUGUAGUACUUUGAAGGUCUUAAAACUACUUAUCUAAGCUUGCAAGAGGCUCAAUUAAGUGAUUGAUACCCAAGGGUCUAAAGAGUAACGGGUGUACUUCACUUUAAAAAAGAAGCAAGUCACCCACAGAAUCUUAUACUUGCCAACGUUUUCAAUUUGUGAUGGUAUACCUCAAUGAUUCCAUUGAAAAUCUAGCAAGAACUUUCCGUUAACUUCCGCUAUUCAAUAACCAGGAUCGCAACAGGUAACAAACAUCUCAUGCCUUCCUAGACGACAAGAUUCUAUUUAUCAAAAUGUGAUCUAUAAUUUCAAAUCAGGAUUCAGGAAUCAGCAAAAACAAUCAAAUGAAAUAUCAAAAACAUCAUAAGGACAUGAAUCCACAGAAAGACAGAUGGUAUUAUUAAUUUUGUGAUGUUGAAUAUAAGAAUUUGUUUCUUACCUUAAGAAUUCGCAGAACACGAGAAACAUUUUGCUUCAUCAGCCAUUGUUUCAUUUCUUUGCAGUACAUCAAUCCCACGGUUUCAACAUAUAUUUCAACAUCUUCACAAUCACCAAUUUCCAUAGAAGGACCUUCUUGAUCAGCGAGCUUAUUGGCAAAGAAAGAACUAUUAUCUAUCAAAACGUUUUUAUGAACACUCAACUUCACUGAAAAUCCUUGCUUCCCAAGUAAAACGACCUUUAUAUUACUUGUCCCUGGCUCACCGAACUCAAUUGCUAUUUUCCUUGGCAUAUUUUCAACCUUAGGCCGUGAUGUCCUGUGUACAACCUCUGGGGCACUAUAGCCAGAAGCAUCAGCAUUGCCUUUUCGGUCAUCAUCAGAAACAGCAGCCGACCUUGAUCUUGAAAGCGGUGGCUUUCUAUCAGUCACCGGGGUCGAUUUCUUCUCAACAGGAAUCUUUGAGGGAGGGGAGGCAGGUUUGGGCUUGUUUAGGGGAUUUUGACUUUUGAGUGUCUUUUGGAAAACAACAGGAGAAGGACAGCACCAAAAACCUUCUGGGGUUACAGCAAUUGGCACAUUUUUAAUCUUGGUUUGGCCUUGUUCUAAUCUAGCUAACCUUAUUUCAGCCAUUUUUAUUGCUUUAUAGCAGCUUGUUUAACAAUGGGAAAAUGGAUCAUUAAGAACAAAAGAUCCAAAUCACUUCAGGACAGCCACAGAAUUUAUCUAGAUAAGAAAAAGUUGUCUCGAAGAUAAAAGAGAAAAGCAAGUUAUUGGAAACUUACAGCAUCCAACUUUCUGAAUCAAAGACUCCAACCUUUGAACUGAACAACCCCCAUGCACAAAUGGCAGCUCAAACUAAAAUUGAAGCACCCAAUUCAUAAUUUUCUGAUAUAAGAAGAUCAGAUCAGACGAGAGACGAUCUGUAUUCCGGAAAAAGAUGAAACGGAAGAAGAAAUGUAUCUCCAGCCAAUAGCACUUCGUAUUCGUUUCGCCACUUCUCCACAAAUUUGCUUCAGAAUUCUUAGCAUUCAAGCCAUCACCAAGAGAUGCGCAACCUCAUAUGAAAAAAACCUAAAAACUCGAACACAAACGCACUGAAUUUCAUUCGCUAACUUACAGAGUAGAGAAUCUGAAAGCUCCCCAAGACCCAAAACAUCAUCACCAUCUGUCGUAAUACUAUAAUAACAUCAGUGUCAAAGUGAAGAGCUGAGAAUUCUGAGAAAAAACCCACCUCUUAUUCGAAACCAAGAUAGCGUAAUAUGAUUAAAAAGAGAGCUCCAGUGUCGAGCAUCAAGGGAACCAACGAACAAAGCCUUGUAAGUGAAAUAAUUAGCGAAGAGAUGCUUUAACUUUGUGAAUUAAAGAAAAAAUCAGAAGACCCACAAAAGAAAAAAGAAUUGAAAAAGAAGAAAAAGUGAAAUGAAGAGGUGGGUAUGGAUUAUUACUUUAUCUCAAUACCGAUUUGCCUUCAUCUCACUUUUUGAUGAUUGUAUCACCAUGUGGGUCUCUCUGCAAAGCUUUCUCAGUAAUCCAACAGGCACGCCCUUCCUCAUCAUUUCCAAUUCUCAUUUAAAAUUUUCAUUGGGUUUCCAAAUGGCUCUGUUUGUUUGUUGCAUCUGUGGAUAUUCUAGGAAUGCCCCAAAAUGAGAAUGCUCUUUUCUUUCAUUUUUAUUUUGGUGGGUACGGUGGCAGUGACUGAAAUGCCCUUAAGACAUUGCUAAGUUUAAGAGCUCAAAGUGGGAGCAAUAAUGGAGAAGAAGGGUACGUCCAGAAACAGUUCAUUUUUCUUUGAUUUUCUCAGUGAAAGCUACGGAAUUUCACAAGUGUGGUGGGGGGAAGAUGAAGAAAUUUUUUGAGAAUUGAAAUGAAAUGAUGGAGAUUGUCAAAAAUUCCUAACAACAUGCAAAUGUCUUCUUCCGAGCUUCACUCCAUUUCUCUUGUUCUUACUUGGUUUGUUUGUUAACUCUAAUUUAAAAAAUAUAUAUUAAAAACUUGCAGAUCAAGUUCAACACUUUGAUCAAGAUUCAUGAUAGCUAUCAGCUAUGGUCAUAAAAACAGAACCUAUAGGAUCAAUAUAAAUGACUUUGGUGGGCCAAAUUGAAUUAUAUGGAACUUAGAUUAAAGUGUGUAAUGGGUUAGAGAUAUAAAAAUAGUGGCAAAACAUAUAAUCAAAAACACUUUUUAUAAGACAAUAAUGAUGGAUACAUUCUCUCAUUUUUUAUAUAUCUAACAAAAAAUUGUGAUAGGUAUUGUGAGUCGUACUUCUAAGUAUUUUUCUUUUUUAAAACAUCAAGAAUAAAACAAGUUACUAACAUCAUCUUCAAAAGACUAAAAACAUACUUUGUAAAUUUGAAAUUCAAACUUUGGGGAAAAUCUUGUAGGUUGGAAUUUAAAAUAAUUGGGAAGAAACAGCCUUAUCUCCCCCAAAGCAAGCUGAUUUGUGAAAGCUCAAAUUUCAUAAUGCUUUCCUCCAAUCAAAACUUGCUUCUUCUUCUUUUCUUUUCUUUUCUCUAAUUCCAUUUUGGGGCCCAUACUUCUAAGUUAUAAUUAAAAUUCAAAGCUUCUUGAAGAUAUUUGCUAUCUUGAUUUGUUCCUUUUCCUUUCUCUUUCAUUCUUUUUUGAAAUAUAGUUUUUGCAAAUAGAGAUAAAGAGGAAAAACAGAGUAGACAACAUCACCAUCAUGCAAACAGAUCAGAUGACAAAAUAUGAAACAUCGUCUUAGCAAAAGCUUUUUGACUUGUUUUUGCUUUUGAUUUUUAUUUCUCCUUUUAAUUUCUAGGUUUUGUGGUUGAUGAAUUAUAAUGGGACUUUGAGUGCAAUUAUUGAGAGUACUAUUAUUUCUGUUUUUCAUGGAUGUAAGAAAUAAUGAAAUGGGUUUUAAUUAAAUGAAUAUAAUCAUCACAUGCUAUUAUUUCCAUGCCCAUCUUCAACCCACUCUCAUCUUCAACUUUUAUUUUCAUGAAAAUGGGAUCUUUACUUUUAAUAGAUUAUUCUAUAAAUACACGUUUAUAUACUAACUUACCAAGUUAUCCAUAGACCCACUACUACUCCCGAGUCAUCAAAAAAACAAUUAUAGCAUUCAAAAUCAAACUAUCAACUUUGUAAAUGAUAAUUGACGUAUUUACCAUUAAAUUGUAUUUAGAUCGAUGAUAACAAAUUAAAAAGACACUAAUUUCACAAACUUGCUUUAAUUGAAGGUCAAAAAGAGUAAAGGUAAGAUGGGAUCUUUUCUUACCUAGAACGUACUUAUGCUAAAAUUACAAAAAAAAUAGAAAACAAAUGAAAUAUUUUUGUUACUGUGAUCAAAAUUCUACCUUGAAUAAAUCAUACAACAAAUUCUCAAUAUCACAGCAUAUGACACGUUUUAAGUGAAACAAGAAAAAAAGUCACGAGGAUUUAUGUUCAAAAUAGACAAUAUCAUAUUUUUGUGGUGAUAUUUGAACGGGUCGUUAUCUCCUACCAACAUAGACUAGAGAAAGAUCUCUAAUCUUGUAGGGAAAAAAGAACAAAUAUUUGUUCAUUCAAAAUGGUUGGACAAAAUCUCCAUAACUAGUAGUACUAAAAAAGAGGAAUACAAAAUUGAAGCAACUUUGUGUCAUAAUUUAAUUAUGAAGGCAGUUCAUUUAAUGUGUUUAGAAAGAAUAGAAAUAGCAAAAGAGGGUAUUGUGAUUAAUAAAUGGGGUAGGAGAGGGAAAUAAUUGAGUAGUGAUUUGGUGUAAAAAUGGGCCAAUGGUGACUACUCCAAAUGUUACAUAGGUCGUGGCCUCGUUGGCAAACAUUUCCUUUCAACACACUCUUAUUUAAUUUCUAACCUAUGAACCUAAUUACAAACACACCUUUUCACCUUCUUUUUUUCUUCUUCAACUAUAUUUACAUUAACAACAAACCAAGAUUGAAGCGCAAUAUUUAAACAUCUAAUAUUUAGAUGUUUAACAUAUGUCUUAACUAGUUGAGUUAUGUUCAAGUUGUCUUUUCAUUAAAUAAUAUCUUUUCUUGUCAAGAUAAAUUUAGCUAAUUAGAAUACAUCUUUAACAACAUCAAUCGUCACUUUCUAAAGUCUUCCAUCUAGGUCGGCUCAUAAAUGUCAAACCAUUCCAACAUCAUCUAUAGCCAUCCAAUUUUGGUGACCUACUAAGUGUGUUCAUUAGGGCGGGUCUUUACUUGAAAAGUGGUGUCUCCUUCAGUAACAUUAGUAUAUUGUCUUUCCACUUAAUUCUCCUCAUCAUAAAAGACUACAUGACUAGAAGGGGCCACAUCAUGGGGGAAGAAAGGUUGUGAAAGUUGCCUUACUCCAAAAAUAAUGUCUUUCCCUCCCAACCCAUUUGAUGGUAUUAAUAACUACUUUGUUAGCAUGGUUGCAUAGUGUACAUAUGUAUUAUUAUUGUACUCUUAGGACCAUUCAAUUAUUUUCAAAUAUCUUAUCUGUUAUGGUAAUGUAUCUUCAUUUAGUAAUUAAAUGCAUGGUUAUCAUUUAUUUAUGUACACUCCCAAUCGUUAACCUUCAACCGAAACCAUACAAGUGUCUACUUCUUUACGGUUAGUCCUAUCACUAUCUACAUAUAUCAAUAAUUAUGUCAUCUCAAUUCAAUUUAUAUAUUAAAGUGACUAUUGGUUGAUGUGUUAUCCAACCAUUGAAAAAUUCUGGUUUCUAAUUUCCACAGUUAAAGAAUGAUAAACAACAUUCUUUUUUUUUUUUUUUUUGCCAAAGAACUAACGUAGACAACACAUAAGUAAAGGAGUGAAAAGCACUUCAAUACUCUCAAUUUUAAUAGCUUUUAGUUACAUAUAAUUACAGAAUCCCAUAGAAAGCUUUUGGUUUGGUAAAACUACUACAAUUACUGCAAUUUUCAACUGCCUUCUUUCUUUCUUUCUUACUUCCAAUUGAUACAAGUUUUUAACUUUUCUAUUGUUUGAUUCACCUGCCAUUUAUAAGCAAAUGUCACAAACCAUUUGAUAAAAGAAUCUUUUACACUCAAACAAAAACAGAGCAAGGACCAUGCAAAAAGAAUAAUAAUGCUUUUGUUUCCAAAUCAUAGGGCAUUGCAUGCCCAUUCAUGUACCCUUCUAUUUCCAUAUAUAUUCCUUUCUCACUCAUCUUCAUCAUUUUUUAUUAUAUUCUCACUCCUCGAUUUAGUGAAAACUCAUCAUUAUUUGACUACUCAAGAAAUUGAACAAUUUUGUGAAAUCUAAUCGAUCUUAAUUCAAUUGGGAUACCUUACAUUACAAACUUGUUUUAAUUGUCAUACACCCUGAUUAACUGAAGCCCUUUUCAAGUUUUUAAGAUCUGCAUCAAAUUUUCAUUACACUUUGAUUAACAAAACCUUAGAGAUGAUUAGUUAUCAUCUUUCCACCAAACCCAUGUGAGCAAUAUUAAUUUUCAACUGACAAAAGAAACUUUAAGCUACAACUAACACUUAUGGUUUACUUAACCAUAUUUAGACCAAUUUCAAAAGGGCAAGGCGUUGACUAAAAAGGGUUUUUGCUGUUCGAUCGUAUAAGCUUUGGAAAAAGAAGAGAAAAUGGCAACACCCUCCAAAUUAUACAGCAGCUGCUCUGUGUUAAUGGGGUUUUUGUUUGCUUAUUCCACAGCUGUUCAGUUUAACGAUCCUGGUAUUCCAAACCCUUCUCUUCUUUUCUUUCAAUUAACAAACUUGUGAAUCGAAGAUCCGAACUUUUCAAAAUCUCAGGCUGCUUUCUGUUGGUGAUGAUCUGACAACAGAAAAUUUGAUGAAGUUGAAAUUGUGUGUUUGAAUAAUGUAAUUUAGAAAACAAAAGCUUAUUGGAGGGGUUAAACAAUGCAGCAGCUACUUUUAUACUGUUUAAUAAAAGAAUUUAUGAAAUGUAUUUCGAACUCAAAAACAUCACAUGUGGAUUAGUGGAUUUUUCCUGUUACAUGUGCAACCGUUUUCACAGUAAGAGACUAUGAUCCAACUACUCGCUACAGCUUUCAAUUAGAGUAAGUAUUUAGGCAUCAUGAUACAAUCAUAUCACAACUUAACAGAAGUGUAUCAGAGGAGUAUAUACUUUUAGACUUCUACCGUUUAUGUUAGUAUAUUUAUGAUAAUACUAUAAUUGUUAAGGCAUUUCCAAGACAUGUUCCCUGAUACCGCUAUAUAAUUACAAUCUAUCUUUUAUUUAAUGGAUACGGAGCACCAAUGCUUUAGGAAUACGUAUAUUUCAAACGUGUGUCUGACCCGUUAUUCUAAAUUACUGAAGAAAUGUACAUCUUGUAAAAGCCAUUCAAUUACUUUUCCUAAUUCUGAUAUUGACUUGAGCAGAUUGGUAUUUAUGGGUUCCACUUUAUGGCUGUGCUUGUGCUGUGAAUCUUCUCAAAUGGAACGUCUCUUUAGAAGCCAUGAAUAAUGUUGCCAAGGCAGCAAUGGGAGUUGGAAUAUGUUUGUGGGUGAAGGUUGUAGCAGAGGAUUAUAUGAAUGGAAUUGCAGGUUUUCUCUCUCUAGAUUUAAGUGAGAGAGUGGUGAGGGAGAAAACAGGAAGUGGAUUGGUUGUGUGUUCCAUGAUUUUGCAUCUGAUAGCUGCAUCUUCAUCAUCCCCAAAACUUCGUAGAACAAGUAAAAGUAAAAGUAAAAGGGUGUUUCCAAGACAUCUCACAUAUGGUAAGGCUAUAAGCUCAUUCUUCUCUCUUUGGUUACAAAUGGAAAUUAGAGAGGCUAAAAUUAAACCAACAUCAAGGUACGGGAAACAAAAAUCGAAUUUGAAAAAACUAUUUUAAUCUUUGGUAUAAGUUAUGAUUAAUUAGGUAUCGAUAUACUGUUUUAUAAGCCUAAAGAAUAUUUUCAAUUGAUUGCAGGAAUAGCAUGUUUGGUGGCAUUUAGUUAUGGACUUCCCAUUUUCUUCUUCUUGGUGAAAAAGGGCAAAAUGAAAUUCUGAAACAUGUUGCACAAAUCUCACUCUACAAACUUCAAAGGAAUGGAAAGAGUUCUUGAGUUCAACAUUGGUCGAUUUAGUUCAUGUAUUUUUCCAAUUUAUAAUGCAAACUCUCCAUAAAAUUGAUCUGUUCUGAUAUAACAAUUGAAUGAUCUGCCACAAUUGUAAACUAUGAUACACUUUCAAAACAACCCAUCACAACAACCAAAUGAAAAAAGAAAAGAAAAGAAAAGGGGAACAUAUUUAUUCCUAAAACUUCCUUGAAACUUUGGAAAAAAGCAUAUACAAUUUGCUAAACUAAGUUGGUCCAGUAGUAAAAGUAAGAUAAAUCCAUAGCUACAAACUAGAGAAGGUUAGAGGGCAUUGACAUCUUUUCAACCGGAAACAAAUUCCUACGUACAGAAAAUUUGUUUUGCCAUUUUCCUCCGACCUCCAGGGUGAGGGAGUUGUUUGGCUAGACGAGGGAAUAAACCUUAAAACAGUGCAGGAUGUGUGCUCUCAGAACCUCUCCUGCUCGUUGUUCCAAAAUUUAAGGCUCCAGGUCUUUUUCCCUCGAAUGAUAGGUUGAACAUGUUCAUCAAAUAUGACCUCAGCAACUUGAAGAUUCACAGCCACUUCCUACGGGCAGUAGCUCACGUCGGUAAUUGAAUGUCAACUCUUCACCUGUAGCUAUCUGCAGGAAUACAUGUACAGGAGUCUUAAUAUGAGAUUGUGAUUGCUUGUACAGAAUGUUUCUUGGUUAUAUAAAAAGAAGUCGAAAAUCAAACGAAGGUCCUAAACUUGGUUGGUACUAUUAAACCAAGCACUUACAUUCCGGUUAGCAUACAAUCCAAUGUGUGAGCGUUGAUAUUCCAUGCUUUCGACAAGGACUUGGUAAGUUACAAGAUUUGGUGAGCAACUGCAAACGAGAAAGAAAUUCAAUUGUAAAAAAGUAAAUCAGUAGAUCUCUUGAAAAAUACAUGAUACAGCAUUAACUGUCUCUCGAAACUUCACAUUGAAAAGUAACAAGAUGUAUAAUUAAUAUUAGUGUUACCAAUCAGUUAAAUGCAAUUUAGAUAAAUCAAGAAUCUUAUUAUUAAAAAGUUAACGGGUAAAGAACACCACAUGCCUAUUCCAUACAUAAUGUAGCUUGCAUAAAAUAAUAUGUGGUGAAAGUGGUUUUAACGGAACUGAUUAGCAACUUUCUGGAAAUUCAAAAGAAACGAUCCCCAAGCAGAUAAUAAAUAAGCCAGCAAGUUGAUUGGUCUUAAAAUGAUCAUAAAAGUUUCAGAAAUAAACACAGUAAAAUUACCAAAUUUCUGAACGAGUGGAAAGUAUACGUGGAACACAAAUCUCUGCUCACCUGUGAUUUAUAAAUCUCGAAACAUUUCCAUAAUGUGUGGCAUCAAUAAUAUAUCUGGCUGAUCCGUCAACCAAUCUGCUAAUGUCAUUAAUAUGAGCAUCCACAUCCAAGAAAUAGCAGUUGCCUUCGCUGUUAUACCUAAUAAAAGAUAUAUUGGAUCAUAUAUAGAAGAAAAUAUAAAAAAAAUGAUUUUAAAGAGAACUUCAAAAAAAAUGAUACAGACUUGUCACGUCUCCUGUUUGCUUCCUGCUCAUCCAACACCUCCCCAACAUACUCGCAAACAAAUGUACCACGCAUGAUUGCUUCACCAGCCCUCACCGCCCAUCCCUGUUUUGUUUUUACAACUUCAUAUAAGAAACUACUGAAAACAACAGCUGGGAAACUAGAGGCAAUAUACAAGUUAGCAGGAAAAGAAAUAUCAUUGAGAUACAAAAGCGAGAAAUUGCCUUUGUCUCUGUCAUGAAGACUUCAAGUUUCACGUGAACUCCAUUUUGCAACACUCUAUUUGGACAGGCCCUACUACAGCUACACCUUUCAUUACACUCAUAGACAAGGUAACCUUCCUGCAGAAACAAAAAACCCAAUCUGAGACAAAUGAUACAUUAAACGGUAGGAACAAAAUGAAACAUGGUUUUAAAAUUUGAGGAUUUUAAGAACCAAGGACAACAUGUUGCAAUGGUUCAGAGAAGAUGAUUCAACAGCAGAUGAAUUAACAAAAUCAAAACAGACGGCAAGUUUAUUUAGGGUACUUAGACCCAUUCAUAUUCCAUAUAAGGAUGGAAAAAACAAAUCUGUAAUCUUCAAAGUAACAAAUAAGCAUGAGUAAAUUGAAGGGAAAUUAUUCCAAGUGACAAAACUGUAGAAAAUAUUUACAAAUAUGGCAAAAUUUAAAAUAUUUACAAAUAUGGCAAAAUUUUAUAAUCUAUCAAUGAUAGGAUUCUCCCAUUGAUAGAUUAUGAAAUUUUGUUAUAUUUGUAAAUAUUUUGGCUCAUUUUGCUAUAUUUAAAAGAAGCCCUAAAAUUAAGUUAACUUCAUAUGAAAUAUGAAUGUGUCCAUGUACCUUAAAGAAAAAGUUAAACUCAACAAACUAGCAAUUAAAUAAAAAUAAAGUAAGAGAAAGGAGGUAAGAAUAAACAAUAUAAAGAGUGUUGGCAGUAGAUCAAAAACAUUGUUGCAUCAAGAAACGUGACUGUGUUGGCUGGAAAGUAAUGUAAAACAUACCUCCAGAAUAAUUUGACCAUUCUCGUCAUAUGGGAACCUGCGACGCAUGGGAUUCCCAUAAAUGUCCUUUGGGUCUUCGUAAUCACUAUUAAAGAGGUAUACAUGAUCACAUGUUUCGGAAGAACAGAGUAAAUGGGGGCAGGCACAUCCGAACUGCAGACUCUGGACAUGAUGCAAACAUAAAAAUAACUUUACAUUGUGUACGUUGAAAAUUUAUAAUCAUAGUUAGGUUUAGUCAAAAACAAUUCUGGGAAGUAAUAUAAAGGCAUUUAAAACCCUGCCAAAGCCAGAACAAUACAGAUAAUCCUAGAUGGUAUGAAUGGAUAAUGUUGGCCUCUCAACUAAGGAUGCAUAUGCAGAUUGUGCAAGAAAAUUUACACGAGCCCAUUUGGUAGUUAAAUCAUAAUGUGAUAAACAUUAGAAAGAGGUAUAGAAACAUUAAUGAACAAAAACACAAUAGGGAGAACUCGCAUAUAAUCAACACAAUCUUUCAUGUUGAAGAAAGAAAAAAGUUCUUUGACAUCAAGAAUUUAUAUCAGUUUAGCGUUAGCCUUGAGAUAAAAAGUAAUUCAUAGAUAACUACCUCUGUGUCAAUGGCGAGGGAUUUAUCAAGCAACGGUUUCUUAAUGUAGAUAAAAUCCUCCCAAGGCACCGAGUGUCCAACAUUUUGACCAUCAUCAGCUACACAGACCACAGGAACUAAUUCCUGGCCAAAGCUUAUAUCUUCACACAAAACAACAGUCUUUUCCCUAAACUGCUGGCUUGAAAGAUGAUCUUUCCAUUUGCUAUUCACAGGAUCAGGAGUGCAUGCAUUCUUGUUGUCUCCAAAACCAUUUGGAUGAGGCAUCAAAAGAGGAUAUGUCUCACAUCCUUUAGGACAAACAAAUCCCUUCAUAUUCCAGUUAACUUCGCCUUUUUCCCUGCAUAAUUCAACUGCCUUAAGGUAAAAAUACUCUGGUAAUACUCCAAACUUCUGUUCCAGAAGGACUUUAAAUUUGACCUUGCAACAGGCAGAGUGAGCAAUAGACAAAAUGUCAAUAUUGGUAGGAGAUAGUUUUCUUUUCUGAAUCUCAGAAACAAAUGCCUUGGCAACAAUUGAACCUUGGGUUAAUUUACGAGAACUUGCUAACUGGGACACAUGAGGUUGAAGAUCUACACUUCCUGUGCUUAGUAAUUUUGAAGCUUGGAUAUGUUUUUUCAUGCUAGCUUUUGUUCUGUUUCUGAUCCUAUUUGACACACCUGCCUUAGUCUUCUUAAAUCUAGGAUGACCAAGUUUCCCAGACUUUGAUUUAUAAGCAUAAUAAUUAAAUCCCCUCUUUGCAGGUCGAGAGUUAACUAAACCUGGCCCCAUAUGCGCAGCUUGAUGGUGACGACCGAGAUCAGGCAGUAAAUCAAACUUCAAACCACAGAACCUACAGUUAAACUUUCGUAAACCUCCUACAUUCUUGUUGUCAUUUUCCUUAGAAACUAUAUUACGCUGCUUGGGUUUGACUGGGGAAUCCUCACCGGAAGAAGAAUUCUGCCGCCUACUAGAAUUUGACAAUCUAAAAUCAUUCGGAUGAACAGCAACUACAUGUAACCAUAAUUGUUCGGAAUUCCCAAAAUGGCUGCCACAAGGAAUACACUGCAGAAGCAUGCAUUGCUCAACAAAUGGUGCAUGGUGUCUCUCCUGCACAUGAGUUUCUAAAACUUUCUUAUUGGUGAACGAAUCUAGGCAGAUGGCACAAGCAUAACCUCUGAACAACCACUGUGCUUCCUUUUUAUGGCCAUCCAUGAAGUGAGUACUGAGUGCUUGAUCAUCAAGAAAUUCUUCUGAGCAAAUUUUGCAUCUGAUACUCAUAUCAUCACCGCAAUUACCUGAAGUUAAUAAUGCCCCUGAAGUUGCUGCUCCCAUUGAAGGUGAGGAAAGUUGUGCGUCUUCAGCAUCAAAUCCCCAUAUCCUUUUUAAUCUUUCCUUUUCACGACAAACCAAUUUCAAAAAUUGUUCUCCAACUCCCAAAUUUUUAGAAGCUUCAGAAAGUGCCCAUUGAAAUUGAACCUCCAUAGGAACUGGAUUCCUCAGUGAUAAAAUACUUUUAAAAAGCCUGUAAAAUAGCUCACAAGCUUGAUGCAAAUGUAUUUUUGGCUCUUGUGAGUCACAGUCUCUUAAAAGAUCCAUGAAUACUUCCUUUGAUAUUACUCUACUCUUACCAUUUCUCGCCCGUUUAAGCCAGCUAGGUAGGUGUUUUUCACAAUAAAGGGAAUGGCGUUUUGGGCUUUCUAAACAUGGAUUACUGUCAAUAUGUUCGCAAGACCCAAUACAAUGUCGAAGUUCCGAGGCAAUAGAAUCUUUUCCAUGAUGUUCAAGCUUGUCAGACGAGCUGUUUCCAUUAUUGGUCACAUCACCCUCGUCCACCCCAAGGGGAUUUUCUUUAUUACUGGCAUCUUCUACACUAUAAAUGUCUUGUUGCUUCUCAAUAAGCUUAUUUCCAACGGAAGUGGACUCUGUUUUUGUUUCACCCCUUGGCCUGUGCUUCUUACAGAACGAGGAGCCAAACAAGGAUCGAUGCUUGCACCUACUUCCAAGAACAGUAGUACCUUGGCACAUUGGCGAUUCGACAGAACGAGUCUGUUCUUUCUUAUCGGAGUUGCCAGUGAAACGAGAGGACAAAUGAACACAACAGUAAACAUCACCCUCAUUAGCCCACCUAACACACUGCCGUCCCUUGGAUUCAAUAAAAGCUAUGCAUUGUCUGUUCUUAUUGCCAUAAGUUAAGGAUUUUUCUGCAGCAACUUCAGCUCGGGGCAUCAGUUCCACAUCCUUGCAAGAGGCUAGAUCCAAAUUUCCAGUUUGAGCUACAAUCCCAGUCAUUCGGCCAGAUAUAGUAUUGAGUGAACCGGCUGAUGUAGCAAUCUCUCUUGCCUCUCCUUUGUGAGAUUCAGAUGAUAAUUUAGCAUUUAAACUGUUUUGGUUAUUGAAAAAACCAGAAUCAAUAUCAAGAGCCAUAGCUUGAUCUGAGCACUUUGAUUCCAUCAGUGAAGGAUGUGCCUCUGCCCGACGAACUUCAAGCUUGGGUCUCUUCCUGCUAACUUGGAGAGCUGUAGCUAAGAAAGCUUCAACAGUCUGCUGCUCUUUGUCUUUCGUAAUGGGAAGGGUGGGAGAUAUUGAAAACCAUUUUGUAACUUCAUGCUUCCAGGUUUUCCACACAGAACUAAAAGUAGGCUGCACUGGUGCAUCACCGUGAGACUUCACUUUGUCCCACAAAAUAGCAUCAGCCAAUUCCUAAAAAAAUAUAAGGAAAAAGAGAGAGAGAAAGCUAGAUCACUGAAAUGUUUGAUAUAGCAAUAGCUUUUGGUCAUCAAAAUUGGAUAAUUUAAGCUUAUUUAUCAAUACAACAAUUCUCUAUUUCCUAAUUAAGAAAAAAGUUGGGCAGAUCAUACCGUCUCUACAAAAUUACAUGGCACUUGUUGAGAAAUUAUCAGAAAGUUACCACAAAAAAAUUAUCAAAGAGAAUUGGAAGAAGAAGGGGUUCCAUCAAGCUAUUUGAGCUGCUUCAUCAAUAAACACGAUGGAAUAAAAAUAAUCAGUGCGUAAGCAUUACCUCCUUGAGCAUUUCAAUAAUUUCUGCAGUUUGAGCAUUUUGGCAUCGAUGUAUCCAAGAAUGCAAAGAAUUUUGAAGCCAAUCUGAAUUUAUGAAGCACUGCACUAUCAUCUGCAAAGGGAAGAACAUUAGUUUAUCACUAUCCAAAAAAGAAAUCAUUCACGGGAAUACAGGAGCCUACGAGAAGGUGAACCAUAGGGUUCAAACAAUGUUGAAAGAUCUUAAAAAGAAAAACUUUCCCCACUCCCUGAGCAUAGUUGGGACAAACCCUAGAAUAUAAACCUGAACCUUUCAAUCAACUAUGGGUGAUAGAGAAAAAAUGUGGAAUUGAGCCAAACAAAAAGCCUAGAAUCAGAUUUUUGAAAUAUAAUGAGGCUUGGGGGGAUCUGGUUCAUUUUCAUUUCCAUGUUUUUGGAAACAAGGGAUGUUUUAAAUACUUAGAACCCAUGAUACACAAUUAUUGAGUUCACAUUUGAGUAUUAUUUCACAAAUGGUAAUAUUCUUCUACUGUUUUCAGGUUCAAGAUUUCAAAAUUAUGAAAACACAUAAUGAGUUUUCUGAAAAAUGAAACUUCAUAUAUAGAACAUCUGCAAACCCUAGAACAGAUAGACAUAGACCUUGAAUCAAUUUUAUAACUUUAGAACAUUGGGUUAUGCUAAACAAAACUAUUAUUUAUGUUUCCAGAGUUCAACACCACAAUUUUUCAAAGUUCAAAUUCAAAAAUCAGUUUUCAAUUAAUGCUGUUAUAUGCAUUUUCAAAUUUAAGAAAUACAAUAAAUACAAGUCUUUUUCCUGUUGUAUCUAUACACACACACACACACUAAAAUAAAAUUGUUACGAAUCAUGUCCUAAAUAGGACCUAAACAGUCUGACAUGCAUUGCACAAGUCACGUAUGUGAUAUUCACAAGUCAUAUAUGCUAUCCAAAGCUAGAAACAAUUGUUUUCAGAGUCAAACUAAAUAUUUGAAUUAGGCCCAAAACCAGAAAUCAAAAUCAAUUCAGUUUUAACCAGUUUGUACAAAAAGAAGAAGAUGAUUAUUUGGGAGACUAACUGAAUAGCACGGUUUUGUUUUCCUUCUGAAGAAAACCAAGUUGAAGUGAACUGUAUACACUCUAAUUAUUUUGUCAUGUAAUUGCUGAAACUUGUCAGUCACAUCAUAUUUGCACUCAAGUUAUUAGAUGGAAAUGCAUGCCUCUCCAUUAACUUUCCUGUGAAUAACCUAUGCUAGCCUUUUUUAUUUAUUCAUGACCAAUGGAUGCCACAACAAGAGGUAUUUAAGGGCUAGAAAUAUACAGGUGCAUCUGAAUCAGUUUCAGUUUAAAAGACACUCAGAAGCAUAAACUCCCGAUCAGCAAAAAUGGGAAAUAACAAUUCAUGAAAUCAAAAUGAACUUCUUGUCAUUUCCAUCUCAUAUACCAUCAAGAAGAAUAGAAGUUUACAUUCUGCAGCUUUAUGAGCAUUCUACCAAGAUCAGAAUAACCAUUACAGCGUGAAGCUUCCAUGGCAAACUCCUUCCAAGUCACUACAUCACGUGCACUCUCUAUUAGAGCCUACAUCAAUCAAAUUGAACACAGCUCAUAAGUGAACAAGCAAGAAAAUAAAAGCUCAAGUAACUUCAUAACUCAUUGCAAUGAUAAACAGAAUACAGAAGUGUGGACCGCAUACAAACCUCAAGGUGAAAUUGGUCUAUGAUAUUCAGCAUGCCAACAGAAAGUUUUUUCAUUAUAAAUCUCCUUGCAACUUUUACAUCUUCAACCAAUUUUAAGCCAGCUUUGUGGCUCUUGUAAGCAAUAGGCUGAGGAAAUUCUUCAAUAGAACGAACAAGCAAUGCAUCUGCCCAGGAAUAGUUCCUUGUGUGCGGAAAAAAGACCACGAAGUACUUUUUCCUGUCAUGUGUUGGUUUGGCUUUUAGAGUAGAUAAUGGCCAGUCAGCCCUUGCACAUCUAAUUCCUGCCUGCCACUUCCCUCUCCACUAUACUUGGAGAGAAUUUCAAAAUGAAAAUAAAAUCAAAUUAUAAUCCAUUAGUUGCUACAAUACAACAGAAGACACUUUUAGGAACAUGACAAAACAUAUUAAAAUACCGGUAUGUUUGAUAUAAUUAUAAUUUAUAUCGACAAUAUGAACCCAGAGUGAAUGGGAAUGAAGAAACCAACACAAUCUAUGAAGUGAAAAUUGUCUGGAAUGUGGUCCUGUUCGGAACAAAAAUAGGCUGUUGAGAAAUAUCUUGAAAAACAUUUUUUUAGCAUAAUAUUAGUGUUCGUGUUUGAGUAACCAUCCUUUAAAAAUUGUUUUCUGGUUUCAGUUUAGUUUGCCACAUCUAAUGACAUAUUGUUAACUGAUUGAAGUUUUCCUUCCUCGCAAAAUCAUGGUUGUAACAGCGCUUAUUGACUGUUUCCCUCACUUCUCUACUUCAGUGCUAUGUUCUUUUCAUUGAUAAAAAACAUGACGACCAUCAGUAUAGUUAAAUCAAGGAUGGAUUCUGCUUCUACUUCCAACGACAGCAGGAUUUAACCUAACUCAUUCAGGAAUUCCAUCAGCUCCUACAUAGGAGUUACAUCUCUAGUUUUUUCAAUCAUAACCAAUUAUGGUGUACUUGUUUCCCUGAAUUGCUUCCUAAAAAAUAACAUAGGAGCCCUCCAAGAAAUUUUAUGUAUGAACGAACAUCCAAAAAGAAAUCCAAUAAGAUGACUGAUCAAGAGUGUGCAUGAUAAUGCAUCAAAACACAAAUUGCCAAGCAGGAGAGGAUGACUUGAAAAUUGGUAGCUGCUAAAAUGGCUGGAAGUCUAGGAGGACAACUGAACAUAUAAACCACAAACAAGAAGGUGGCCCGUCUUAUACCAAGUUCACUUAAACUUCAAAAGAAGCAUAUGUCCAUUGCCUAACAAUCAUCAUCUGUCAGCAUGUCAUGUUAAUUAUAUUUAUGUUGGAUGUCAUGAGUAAGACUCAAACAAGAACUGAAUAAAUUGAAGUAAUUAGAGUACAUUUGAUUUGAUUUGACAGCAUCAUAGUAACUUUACAAUUUGGAUUAGCAUAGCACAGUAACACUAUGAGUUUGUUGAAUUAGCAGCAUCCCAACAAGAAGAAUAAAAAAAAGAGAUUAAACAUACAUGCAUACUGGAUAAACCCCUAAACUCCCAGAAGAAAUAUUUUUUUUUAAAAAAAAAGUAUUAAUGAAGGAAAAAAUUAUGAACUUUGAGAUUAGGGUAGGGAGAUACCUUCACCCAAAGCGCCACAGAUUCAUCCCCUUCCAACCACAUUGGCUGUGGCCCAGAAACAGACAACUCCUCCGGCUUGCUAUUGGUAGGCAAAUCAUCCUCAAUAGUAUCCACAACUAUACGAGAGUUUUCAGAUGCUAAACAAGAUUCAGUAGAGUAAUUAUCGGUGUUAGCAUCAUCAAAUUCAGAGUCAGGAGAAGCACAAGAUGGCUUUUGGGCAUCCAUGAGAUAGUUAGAAUAUGAAUCCGAACUACAGUGGGUGGAAGCAGGCAAAAAUUGAGGAGGGGGUUGAAAAUCACAUUGGGUGUUAAUUUGAGGGUCCCCAAGAUUCAGCGGUAAGUGAUUGAGUUCAACAUUUGGCAUCGGGGGUUGAAGAUCGAUGCAGUUGUUAGAAGAUUGUCCAUCGUAGAACAAAGAAAUUUUGGUUGCAGAAUCAGAGUGGUGUUGUUGUUCUUCAUCAACAUGUUGAACAUCAGACAAAGGAACCACUUCCAUAAUCGUAACUUAAGCUUCUAAUUUAAUUACCAUUUAUCUUUACUUUACUCCCUUUUCAUCAUUCUUCUUCCCAAAAUACAACCAAAGAAAGAAAAAAAAACUCUAUUUUCCCAUAACCCAAUUUCCCUCAACAGUCUCACGAUUAUGUCUCUAAUUUCUUAUUUCCACUUUUACCCUUUCUUUCUCUUUUUCCUUUCUAAUUUUACCUAUCUCUAACAAGUUCUAUUUAUCCCUUCUUUUUUCUUUUUUCUUUUUUCUUUUUUCUUUUUUCUUUUUUCUUCUCGGUUAUAACUUAUAAAUCACCUUUUCACUCAACCUUAUUUCUUAAUUUUUUUCUUAAUAUAAGUGAGUGUCUCCCUUCAUUUUUUUAAUUAGAUAUUGAGAUUACGUCUCUUUUCCACCGUUAGAUCAAUUCAUGAUGUUAACCUUGUUUAGUUAAGUUUUAUUUUUAUAAUAAAUUAUUUUACAAUCUAAAAUGAUUUAGUUUCUACCUCAAACUAUAUUUUAAUAAAAAAUUUAUAUCUAUAAAUAGAAUAAAUAAAUAAAAUGGAUUAAAAAUUAUAAAAUAUAGUUUAGAUUGUAAUUUUUUUUGCUAUAUUUUAUAAUAGUUAUUAAUUUAUUUUGUUAUAUUUGGUAAUUCUCUAGUAAGAUUUUUUACAUAUUUAAAAAUAUAUGAUUAAAUAUUUUUUUAAUAAAAUAAACUAAAUCUUAUUAUAUUGAUAAAAGAAACUCGAACAAGUGAGAUAAAAUAUGAUUUUUAACUUUGUAUUUGAAUUAUGAGAGAGAAAUUUAAUACUUUUAUUUUCUUAGAAAAAUAUACAUUUAAAAAGGGGGGAAAAUGGAGGUGUAAAAUUUAAGGAACAAAGUGAAAGCCAACUCAAAUAUCAAUGAUGACUUUUUCAAGUAAAUGAACUCUAUUUCCAAUGAUUUUUGUUUUAGGGUUUUUGUUUGAGUUUUUCUACCAUAUUGGAUUUUAAAUUAAGAUACUCGCAUUUUACCCAUCCAUAUCUAACUGCUCCACUUUUAUUUUCUUUUUCUUUUCUACUAUAUUACAUUUUUUUAAUUCUAAUGUUAGAAUAUUGUUAGUAGAGGAAAAUACUUUUUCGGAAGUAAUUUCUAAUUAACAUGAUUUAGAUUAGAGUUUCAAUCUUACUACUUAAAACUUGUCGAAAAUAAAUAAUGAUAAUAAAAUCAAAGAGGGAUUCUAUGUUUUUCUAACUAAGUUAUGCUAGCAUUGUACAUUGAAAAGGAAAGUUCAUUAAUCAUAAAGAUUCCUGGACUAAAAAAACACUGUAGAAAUUAGGGUUUACUAUGACUACAUAAUCCUACUUUAUUUCACACUCAUAGAAUAAUAGGGUGGAAAUUGGUUAAAGUCAGUGAUUUGAAUAAAACCAAAUAACUCAAUCUUAUGCAUGCAUGGUAUAUAAUUUUAAUGAAAUCAUGUCUUAAUAGGGUUCCCAAUCUGAAUGAAAAAGUAUGACUUUAGGCCAACAAUUUCAAAGUCAAAUUAGGGAGAAAAGGUAGGAAUUGGUUAUCUCUCUUAUUCAAUCCUCUAACAUAAACCUCUUAAUGAUAUGUAUAUAAUAGUGGUUGGAGAUCGAUCGACAAUUUUAUAUAUCCUAACAAAAUUUUUAGUAGAAUAUUGUGAAGAAAUGAUCAAAUCUAUCAAUUCUUAGAUAUAAAAAGCCAUGUCAAUUAUCGAUUAACUAAUUAAACUUAUUUUAACCUACAUAAAGAUUAAAGAGUCGAAAAGGUGGAGAAGAAUAUGCAUCUAGAUGAAUGCAAAAAGAUAGCAUGAUUCAACUUGACUUUACAACUAGCAAAAAAAGGAAAAGAAAUGAUUAAAAUGUCAAGCAAAAGUCACAAGAGUGGUAAUUCAUGUACCUUUAUGUAGAGAAAAGUGGGUUUUCCAUUCUUUCUUUUAUUUAGGAAAAGCAUAUUGGUCCAUUGAGGAUAGUAAGUUUGGAUCCAUCCUUUCAUAUAAUUCUAAGGUUUUGUUCCCAAUCUUAUAAGUUGUUUUCAUUGCUGGUAUAAUUUAAAAUAUAAGAUUUAAGUUUUUUUUAUCGGUUAAGUAAUUUAAUCGUGAUUUAAGAGAUUUUGUCUUCAACUCGUUACGUUGUUUUCACGGUAUCCUUUGCAAGUGAAAAGGAGUGUUACUUUAGAUGAUAUAAUAUUAAAUUUAUCUUCACUCAUCAACUUAAGCUUGUUGAUCACAAAUCAAUGAUACAAUAUAGUGCAAGUGAUUUGAAAGGUCAUAUGUUUAAACUCACAAUGUUAUUUUUUUCAAAUUAAAAUUGAUUUUCACUUGUUGAAUCUUCUACGUAUUCCAAUCCGACAGAACAAUAAAAAGUGUACGUUAGAUAAUAUUAUAAUAUUAAAUUUGCUUUCUUUCCUCUUAAAGUUUGUGUCAAAUCGAUAAACCAAUAUUUGAAACGUCAAAUAUUGAUUAGAAGAAGCCCUUGACAUUUCAACAAAUUCAUAAAGAUGAAAGAAAAUCAAAGGAUGUGGUUUUAAAUAAAAGCACCAAUUGAUAACAUCCAAAUAUUUAUAUGUUAGGAGUUUAAGUGUCCUUGUGAUAUCAAUGUUAGGUGUAGCCAUUUAAAACAAUGAAUAAUAUUUUAUCUCUACUAGGUAUGGUGCAUUAUUCUAAUACCAAAAAUAUAAGACACCUAUGUUUCCAUAUAGUACUCUACAAAUAAAACUAACCUAGAGGUCCCUAUGUCAAUAAAUAUAUAUUAUCAUUCACAUUAUGUUGAAUUUAACCAAGAAAAAUCAAUAACCAUUCAUACCAUAUAUAUAUAUAAGGUGUAUAUGUGUAUCAAAAUUGCAUAAUUUCUGGAGAGACUUUCAAAGCCCAAUUGAGUGUGUAAAACGUAAGGAGAAAAUUGUAUGGAUCAUAAUUUUUUUAAAAUUUUGUCCGGGUCGUUAUUCUAUUCAAAUAAAUUAAUAUCGUACACUUGAUAGAUAUUUAAACUUUGAAUUAUAUGUCUAAUAAAUCUUUAAAUUUUUAAAUAUGUUUUUUUAACGUGAAACCAAUUUAACAUUGUCUAAAACUUUUAGAAUUCAUACCACACGAAAUUUAUAAAAGUUUAAUUGAGUUAGUAACAAAACUGCCCAUAAAAUAAAUUAACAAAAUCACAAUUCCAAAAUUAAUACUACAACAAAAUACUUGCAUUAUUGACAAUUUCCAAGAAUGAAACACUCGUUUAAAGUAGGCGUAGCCUGACCGAAACACCCACAAAUAUAAAAAAUUAUUUUCAUUAUCGAUAAAUCAAAGGAUGAAAUACGCUACCGAUUGCCUCCUUAAAUCGAGUGAAGCAAAAGGGAAGGAAUGCUCCAAGUUUGGACCUAAUUCAAUAAAUAAUAUUUUGAAUUUUGUAGUUUUCUCUAAUUUGUCCACAGAGUUUCAUAAUUGAGUUAUACAAAUGUUCACAUGUAAAUUUUUCCCCUUCUUAAGAAAUUAUUUCGUUCCACUCUUUCUACGAAAAGUCAAUUCACCUUUAUUUUAAUUACAACAUAUAUUAUAACUAUAAAAUAAAAAACACAUUCAUAACCAAGUUUAACUUCAGUAGUUUCUAUUUCUAAAAUUAAGUUGCCGAAAUUAUACUUCAUUGGUAUAUACACUACAUUUUAAUACUUUUAAAUAAUCUUAAUCAUAACUGUUUUACAUACACUUAGUCUCCCUCGUUGAGAUGUAAUAUUUAUUUAUUUAGAUGUGAUAUUUAUUUAUUUAUAUCAUUAGUGGUUAUAAUACGAAACUCUUCCAUUAUUAUAUACUUUAGUAGUUGUUAUACACAAGAAAAUGAUGGAGGGAAAGAAAAUAUGAAUUGAAUGUGCUUAAUGAUCUGUCUUCACUGUGAAGACUUUUUAAGAGGAGAAAAAAAAAAAAAAACAAAGUUGAUUUGCAAAACUUCAAUAAAGCCAUUCAUCACUUUUUACCCAUUUUAGUUCGGAAAAUAUUCUUACCCACAUGUGUGAAUAUUCUUUUUCUUUUCAUUAUUGUUUCUUAUGUCCAUAUUUUCUUUAAAUUAACUAGUCAACAAUGAAAAAUUAUUCAUAGAAACCAUAAAAAGAAAGUAGUAAAAUAACAAAAUAUUUAUAAAUAUAACAAAAAAAAAUUAUAGUUAGAAUUAAUAGAGUAUUAAACAAAAGUAUUAUGGGUCAAAUUUUACUUGUAAAUAUUUGUAAGGUAUUAUAUAGAAAUAUUUUUAAAAAUAAUAAAAUAAAUUAAAAUAUUUAUAACCUAUAACAAAAUUUUGGAUUCUACCACGGUAACAUAUCAAAUAGAAUUUGUUAUAAGUUGUAAAUAUGUUGUAAAAUCUACAAUUUUUAAAGAUUUUUCUAUUAUAUAUGUAAUUUUUUUAAAUAUAUGUCUAUAUCUCAAUCUCUUUUUAAUUACAAGUUAAAUUUUAAAUCAUAUCGUUUAACAAUAUUCAAUUUAUUCUAUAUUAUUUGGGCUUUUAACAUAAACAAUUUGUGAAUAACUUGACUAAAACAAACUAUUUUGAAUUUAUAAAUUUGGAAGAAAAUUAAAAUUGAGUGGUAAAUGAAACCUUAUGAAAUUAGUGAAACUAAGUUUAUCGUUUAACCCUUCGAAUUCUCAUUUGAAAUUAAGAUAAAUAUGAGACUUAAAUAGUUUGUUUUUAAUUUUGUAAACUUUUUAUACAUUUGAACUAAAAGAUUUUGAAAGGUAUAUAAAAGAAGCAGACUAAAAUUUUGAUAGAUAUUCAAAAUUUUAGGCUUUUUUUUGUCUUUAAAGAAAAUGGUAUGAGGGUUUGAAUCUAAAGAAUGAUAAAAUAGCAAAAAAUGAUAUAGGAAAGAAGAGAGAAGAAAUAGAGAUAAAUGAAAAAGAGAAAGAGGAUAUGGUAAGAAGAGACAUGUCUUAUUAUAUAGUCAUUUUCUGACAUUAACAUAUGCUGUUGGAGCCAUUAAAAUCCAUUUCUUGUAGAGAGAUAAAGAGAUGCCUUUUGCUGGAUAUGAUUGGCAUUGACUUCAUUGUCCAAAUGCAUUUGGAAAAAGUUUUCAACUUUUCUUUAAUAUUUUUUAUCAUUUAUGUUGGGACUCUAUAACCAUACUUUUCCUCUUUUUAUUUUUUCCACUUUCCCUCACCAACACUCUUCUACCCUCUUUUUCUCCCAUUUUCUUUACUUUUUUCUCUCUAUAACCAAUUCAUUUUCCCCUUAACUUUCUCUUUUAACUUACUUCACUCCAACCUCCCAUCCUUUACAACUAAACCCGAUAUAAUUUAACUUUGACAUGCAAAAAUGUUAUUAACAAUCAAAUUUAUAGUUUGAAUCUCUAUGUCUUUCAGAAAAAGACAAACGAAUGUGUCACCAAAAGCUUUAUAUUAAACUUAGGUAAAUUGUGAAAAAAAGUUGUUAUUUAUUUAAAACAUAUCGUUAUAUUAUAUUUUCACACAUUAUAAACAUUUAAAAACAUACCUAGUAAAAAAAAAAUCGAAAUAUGAAAUGGAGUGGUAAUGACCUAAAACAAAAAUUUAAAUCACCACAUUAUUUUUAUUUUAAGCAAUUACUACAUGAUUCUAAGUGUAAGUUGUGCAUAGAUGUUUCACAAGAUUUCUAUUUAAACAGUGUAAGUUGAGAGUAAUAUGACAACUUUUAAAAGCAUAGGAGUGUUAUGUAAACUAAAGUCAGUUUAGAGUUUAUGUUAUAGUUUAUGGUUAUGUACAUGUGAAAAUGACGAAAUGUUUAUAUUUGAAGUGGAUAAUAUGACAAUAUCGAAAAAAAAAAAAAACUUUUGAAUGAUUGGUUAUCUUAAACUGUUCCAAAUAUUUUUCAUAUGAAUGAACUGUAAAUUAUGUGAAAAUUUAUCACGUGGAGUUGGAGUAAUAACUAUACAAAACCAACGAUUUAAUCAGAUUUUGAAUGUAAAUGAUCAGCAAUUAACCAAUCAGAUUAAUACCCACUUGAUGCCACUACUCAGUUCCCUAGAUUUUGACUUUGAUUUCAACAUUAAACAAUUAAGGACCUAAGACAGAGAUCAGAUUCUUACUUCCCCAUAUCAAUUUCUUCUCUGUUCAUACUCUUUAUCUUUAUAUCUCUCUCUCUCUCUCUAUCUUUAAGAAGUAAAAGGAAAAAAAAAAAAGUCUUCCUUUUAGCCAAACAAGUGAGUGUGACGACAAAAAGAGAGACCUUACCACUCUAACACACGCACAAGCUCCUUCUUUUUCUUUUGUGUAUCGAUGUAAGAGAAGGUCAAUUCUCAGAAAUCACAUUAGUUUUUAUUUUAAAAAUAUAUAAUCAAAUCUCUUUCUUUCUUCCUUUAUUUAAUACUUGAGGAUUCUGUGACAAAAGUUAGUUUCUUGGAUGCUGAAAGACAAUUGUGGGUAUCUCUCCAAAUUUUUCUAAAAUUAAAGGGUAUUUAGACAAAGUGAAACCCCACAAAUCCCUCAUCCCCUUUCUAAGCAUCCAAUGUCUCCUUUAUCCACCCCUUUCAUUCCUUUUGAGGUCACCCCCUACUUUUCUUUUACCUCAACCAUCUGUUUGUUUGCUAGCUUUUACCUCUCAUAUCACCUAAAAUUUUAUAUAUUUUUUUUAAUGGGGUUAUUCUCAAAUCUAUUCUUCUUUUUUUUCUUGAGAAAUGACAAGUUUUUGCAUUUGUAGAUCCAAAAGGGUGUGGAAAUUGCAACCUUUGUCCCAAUGGAUGAAUCUCAAAAUUUCACCAAUGAUGUUUCCUGAGUUUUGAAAAUGAUAUCCACCCACGUGGCCAGUAACAUGUUUUGAUUUCAGUUUUAUUUAGUUUUUUGGUGUUUUUUUUCUUCAUCAGAUCACGAAGCCAAGAAUGAAUUAUUGAAAGAGUAGGUAUUAGGGUACAGAGAAGUUGUGUAAAUUAAGAAUGAAUAAAAUUGUUUAAAAAAUAUAUGGUACAAAAGAGACAAAUGUAAAUGAAACAAAUUACUAUAUAAAGUCAGCAAAGAGACAAAGAAGGAGAGAUCGGUGACCAACUCCCACUGACUUGCCAACAAGAGAAGAGAAUGUGGAAUUUGGGGUCUAAUGUGAGGGAUUCUAUUCCUAACAAUGGCAAAAAAUUGGAAUUAUUGUUAUUUGUUUGUCUGUUUAUUGUAUUUUAUUUGCUUAUAAACAGUCAAAUUAAGCUUAAUUUUCUCCUUGUAAUUGCAUCUUCGGUUUGCGGGUCAUGAAAAGUUGUCCACUUUCUCACCAUUUUGACAUUUAAGGGGUCUACUGAGCAUGAAUGUUUUUGUUAACUUUCUUUUUCUUCUUCAACUUAAAGCUCUCCUCCUAGCCAGCUGCUUUCUUCCCUUUUAAUGCAAAAGCCCUUCAUUUACAAAAGCCAUACUACAUUUUUCAGAGAGUGAAAUCAUCUUCAUUGUCAAGUUCAUUGGUCAAAAAGCUUGGUUUACAUAGCUGCAUUUGUGGGUUUUGUGUAACCCCAUUUCAGCUCUUUUGUUACUAGCUUUCUUCAGUCGCUCGUGUUGUGAACUCGCCCGUAUCAUCAUCGCUUUCUGGUCACUUGCAAAAGCUCUGUGUUCUGCUUAAAUAUUGGGAAUGAAUGAACAAAGAUUUGGAGUUUAGCUUGUGAUUUCUGAAUGCCCUUUUGCUUCAACUUCCUGCUCUGAAUCUGACCGCCUGUGAUCAACUUGUUUGUUUAUGGUAAUGUACCAUUCUUCUUCUUCUUCUUCUUCUUCUUCCCACCCAACUUGUGAUUUACUGUUGGAGCUGAUUCUCAGAUAUGCUGUUUCAAGAGACUGAAAACGGUGCAAAAAUGUUGCAAAAUAGAGAAAUGCCACUGCACAAGCGUUCUAAGAGGUUAGCUUCUGAUGCUGUUCUGGUUUUCUUUUCUUUUAUCCUUGUUUCAUUGAGUGUUUUUGUUAGUUAGUAAUGGUUAUUCCUUUUGUUCUGAAUACUCGAUAUGUGCUCGAACUAGAAUGAGUCCUCAGUUGGUUAAAUAGUAAAAAAGUCUAAGAGUUUGUUUCUGUCGGCUUACCAAACUUUGAAACCAGAGGUCUAAAGAAAACUGCUGUUGGUUCUCUGCUUAUAGAGCUGUAUCUUUUCUUCUUUCUUCUUGUUACUCAAGCUCUGUUUUCUUGAGAUGGGUUUUGGAAACUUUUGACAAUUAGCUUAACUGUUAACUUCGUUCUCUUGUUCUACUUCUUCAGAUCUGAAAUCUCUACACUGUUUCAGUCGUUCUACCUUUUCUGUUAUUGGGUGAGAAUGGUAGAAUAUGUGGACGCAUUGGUUUACUGUUUCAAUUUGGAUUUUGUGGAAUCAUAAUUCAUGACUUAUCUAGAGACUGUAGAAGGGAAAUUAGGUACCUUCCUUUUAUUUUUGCUGAAAAGAUGUAGAUCAUCACAGAUGAAUCUUGGGAUCAUACGGUUUUUGUAGCUCUUGCUUGGUGCAAAUACCGAAUCGUGGCUCAGUUGGGGGUUCAACACCUGAUAUAUUCUGUAUCUUUCUGAUAUGCAUCUUUGUUGCACCAUUUUUUCUAGUUGAUAGAUAUAAUGAUUGGGGGGUUAUGGGUGCUAGAUAGUGGAAUAUUUGCUUUUCCUUUUUGUGUUAAGAGAAUUCACGGAACAUAGUAUCAUUACAUAUUUUUAUAUUAAGUGUAUCCAAAUGGAAUUAAAAGGUUAAUGUCUUGUUUUCUCCAUUUCUAUAUUUUAAUUCUUCUUUUCUCUUUUUGUAUUGUCAGUUUUCUAGACAUGGUCAAGGAUACUGUUGAGGAAGAAGGGUUGGAUAAGUCCUUUGAAGCUUCAAAUCGUAUGAAACUGGUCAGAUUAACUUCUAUGAGCCUUCUACUUCAAAAGAAAUUACAGUUAUUAUUUUCGCCAAAAAAAGAGUUCGUUAGUAUUAACUCACAAGACUAGCCUGCUGCUGAACCUGAACGUAUUCUCAUAUUUUAUGUUUGUUUUUCGGGUUUGAUCUGGUCCUAGGACACGAGCUACUUCAAGGAAUCCAUGAAGACAACGAAGAAAAGCUUCCCAAAAACAAACAUACACUCUUCUCUUAAACAAGAGGUAUAAAAGAAGAUAAACUUUAUAUUCUUCUAACCUUCUUUUGAUAAUUGAUUUUCCAAAUUUCAACACCAAAAACACAAUAAUGUUCACUACAAGGUAAAUUUUAUAGUCCAACACCUUAAAUGAUCACCAUUGUCUUUGUAAACUAUGUAAUGUAGAUUCUUCAGCUUGAAAAGAGAUUGCAAGACCAGUUCAAAGUUCGCACAACGCUCGAAAAUGCAUUAGGAUAUAGAUCCUCUUCUCAAGACAAUACAACCGACAUUGAAGUACCUAAGGUAACUCCUUAAAAUUUUUGGUUCAGCAAAGCUAAUUACGGGGUUCUAUAAAUAAGGUUACUACACAUUGAUGCACAUUAAAAUUUGAAUACAAUCUACUGCAACCUGCUACCAUCUACAUACAUUAUGGGUACAUAUUAAAAGCCACUUUAAUGAUUACAGCCAGCCACCGAGUUGAUCAAAGAGAUCGCAGUAUUGGAACUGGAAGUUUCACAUUUAGAACAAUAUCUUCUCUCUUUGUAUCGAAAAGCAUUUGAUGGACAAAUAUCCUCCACGUCUCCAUCCACCACUGACGAAAAGCUGAAAUCGCCUGUGAACUCCCCAAAAGCCAAAUAUACUGUAAAUUGUGUACCUGACGUUACAUUGAAAAAGGAAGACAAAGCUGUUCAGUCUGGCUACGAUUCUUUUGGAAAUCCUAUAAGGGAAUAUAGCGGAAUUUGUGAAGACAAGCUGUUGGACUCAAGCGUUCGCCGUUGUCAGUCAUCACUAUCACAUUAUUCAGUUUGUUCAAAGAGAAUUUCUCUUCCUGAGGAUUCUUUGGGCCAAGCUGUACGGCCUUGUCUAUCUCAACCGAUGUCCAUGAUGGAGGUAACUGUCCAGUUCAACUUCUGUUUCAUCUCAAUCUUGCUCAGCUGUACUUAUGACAUUCAUCAAAAAAUGAGAACCUCUUCUCUUAACUUAAUGUGGAGCCACAAAAGACAUUUAUCUUAUUGGUGAUAAGCUUAUAUCAUUAUUAAUUGAUUUAUGGUUCCUCUUUUGCAGUUUGCUCAGAAUGCUUCAUCCAAUUUAACCAGUCUAGCAGAGUACCUUGGUACUCAAAUACUGGACCAUGUUCCUGAGAGUGCCAAUCGUCUUUCUGAAGAUAUGGUUAAAUGCAUUUCAGCCAUAUACUGCAAACUUUCAGAUCCUCCUUCAACACAUCAUGGUCUUUCCUCUCCAGUUUCAUCGUCUUCGCCAAUCAGCGCAUUCUCUCCUCAAGAUCAGUUUGACAUGUUGAGCCCCGGGUUCAAGAACAAUCCAUCAUUUGAUAUACGGUUGGAUAAUCCUUUUCAUGUGGAAGGUCUUAAAGAGUUCAGUGGCCCGUACAGCACAAUGGUUGAAGUGCCAUGGAUUUAUAGGGAUAGUCAGAAACUGAUCGAAAUCGAACACUUGUUACAAGAUUUCAGGUAAGCAACAUGUGGAUGGAUGUUCAUUUGUCAUAUUACUAGAAGAUUUUGUUUGUAUGGAAUGUGAUUGCUUAGGCAUCUUAUGUCUACUGGUUAUACUUAUACGUUGUCAGGUCACUUAUAUCCAAGUUAGAGGAAGUCGAUCCGAGGAAGUUAAAUCAUGAGGAAAAGCUAGCAUUCUGGACCAACGUACAUAAUUCCCUGAUGAUGCAUGUAAUGAUUUUUCAUAACUGUAAACGGUUGGAAUUCUUUGUCUCUUUAGUUCUUCUAAGACAAGCAGACUAAUGAUAUGUACUUUGCUUUUCUGAAAGGCAUACUUGGCUUAUGGUAUACCACAAAACAAUAUGAAGAAGGUGUUUGUUCUCUUGAAGGUACUACAAAUCUUGUUGAUACAGUACAAUUUGUAAAUUCUGUAUGAUUAUCAUGAUCUUACUUCUGCCUCCAUUCAGGCUGCAUAUAACAUAGGAGGUCAAACAAUCAGUGUUGACACCAUACAAAGUUCAAUACUUGGGUGCCGAGUGCCUCGGCCUGGACAGGUAUGCCAUAGGGGAAAAAUAAGAGUCGUCACGAACAAAGAUGCAGAUAUAGUUUCUUAGUCUCUAUGAUCAAUAUAAAGAGAUUAGUUUCUUCUGUUUGCAGUGGCUCUCUCUUCUUAUUCCCUCGAAGUCGAAACUGAAAAACGGAGAUAAACGACUAGCCUACAAAAUCCACCAGUCAGAACCCCUUUUACAUUUUGCACUUUGUACAGGCUGCCACUCGGAUCCUGCGGUAUUGAAAAACAUCUUUGAAAAGUUUGUUGUUUUGUUUCUUACACGAACGAACCAUACGUGGUCUUGUAUUCUAACUAAACUUUCCCAUCUUCCAGGUUCGUGUUUACACUCCCAAAACAGUUCUGCAGGAGCUAGAGACAGCAAAAGAAGAAUACAUUCGAGCCACAUUCGGCAUACGCAAGGACAAAAAAGUUGUUUUACCGAAGAUCGUUGAGUCAUUUGCAAAAGAAUCAAGAUUGUGCACAGCUGGUAUGAUGGAAAUGAUCCAAAAGUCUUUGCCUGAAUCUCUAAGAAGAAGUGUUUUGAAAUGUCAAAACGGGAAGUCCCGUAAGAACAUUGAGUGGAUAUCGCACAACUUCACUUUUCGGUAUUUAAUAUCUAGGGAAAUGGUGAAGUGAAACAGCUGCUGCCCAAAUGCAACUCUCCUCGAAUGGUGUAGAAAAAAUGGAAGGGUUACAUAUUUUCUUCCUUCUGUACAUAGAAGUUCACUAAACCAGGUUGGGCGAAGAGCAGCAUAAGGCAGCAUCCUGAGGCAUUCCACCUUUUGGAUUUUGUUAUCUUAAAGUUGUGUAUGUGAUUGUUGUUACCAUCUACAUUUCAAAUUUUUUGUUGUAAAUAAAUUUAAGUUUGAAGAUCAGUUCAUUUCUGAUAAAAUCCUUAGUAUAGAUCAGUUCAUUGGUUCAGAUGUUCAAUUUCAAUUCCAAAAGACCCAUGUCAAGGAAGAAAGUACGGCGCAGAAAAUGAACAAACCAUGUUACCACCGUAUCAAUCUGUUUCCUUAUCAAAUCUCGAAUCUUUUCACAAUAUCAAACUAAAAACCUGCUUCAAAAUGCUUAAUACAAUAAUUACUUAAUCAACUUCUAAUUGUGUCUUUACCAUAGUUAUUGUGAUUAAUGUCAUAAUCAAUUUUUUUAAAAAAAAGUUCAAGACAGGAUGUGGGAAAAAGUGAACUAAUAAAAUGUCUUAACUAAGCCCAAAUUUGUUAACAUGGUUUGGUUUAGCUUGUGUAUGUAUUGAGAAGUUUAUCGGACCUGCAGUCCUAGUUGAACCCAAUUCCGAUCCAUAUUUGUAAAUCGGAGCCCAAUUUCUCUCUAUAUUGGGCCUGCCAUCCGGUUAAGCCCAAAUUUGAGUCAGUAGUGGGCCUUGGAAACAUGAUUUUGGGGUUGAAUUUGCAAGUGAAUGGCACUCCAUUAUUUGAGAGGAUUUAUUUAAAAUUAAGAAAGUAGAAGUUUUGUGAAAAAAAUUAUUUGUUUUGGUUUAAAAUACAAGUGUUUAGUUUUUUUUUUAAAAGCAUAAUUUAUAAAAUAUAAAAUAAAAGAUUAUUAAACGACUUUUAAAUUUUAAUUUUCCUUAAUCCACUUGCAAAUUUCAAUAAUUGAUUUAUUCAAUUUAGAUACAUUAUGUUAACUAUAGUUACUAUAUAUAAUGUAGUUUUUAGCUACUUUCUUUCUUAAUGUUCACUACUUCAAUAUAACUAAUACUAAACCUCUAGCUAUUUGGUUGUUUCUUUUACUCAAAAGCAAUAUACAAGAUUGAAAUUUAUUAAACAUUUUCUUUGGUAGAAUAAAUAAAGAGGAGAAAAAGGGUAUAUUGUAAAUGUAUAUUCAUAUUUGGGGUUUGUUCAAUAAUAAAAUAGCAUAGGAUUCCAAUUGGAUAAGGAUAUUAUCAUCUUCAUUUCUUCCUUGAGAUUCAAUUUAGAUAAACAUUACAACCAUCAACAAAGGUUGUUGUUACUCAAGUAAAAUAUUUGACUUACAACUUUUGUUCUUGGCCAAAAUAACAAUAAUAAUAAUCCAAACUCCUAAUUUGGCAACCAAUUUUAAUAAUUGGAUUCAACAAUAAACAAAGUUUUGUUUUACAAGCAACUAUUCUACCAAAAAAAUAAUUGGAUAAACCAUAACUUUUUUACUAUAUCUUUCUUUCUAACUAAGUAAUGAUGAUAGAAAUUAGAAGUUUGUAUCUCUCUUACUCUAAAUGGAUUAGAUAAGUAAAUUUUAAGAAUAAUACAAAUUGGGAAAAUAGUUUAUUUUUUAAUAGAAAAAGUAAAACAACGAUUGGAAAUAAUAUGCCUAUUAUUUUGUGUUAAUAAUACAAAACUUGAUAUUGCUUUUCAAAGCACAUCCCAUCAACAUGGGACUAUAUUCUUUUAUUCUCUCUCUCUUUUUCUUCUUCUUUUUUUGUUCUUUUCCAAAUUAAAUCUUGAAAUUUAAGUAGCAUACUUUUAAUAAAAAAAUUGUAAAAAAUAGUCAAUUGGAUAAAAUAUUACAAACAAAGUAUAAUGAAUUUUUGUGUUCGAGAAAGGGUGAAUAAUUUGUUUUCUUAUUAUUGUUAUUUAAAAAAAAACCCUUUUAAUAUUUGUAAUUCAUCUUAAAUUUUAUUUAUUAAUUAAGAUUUAACUAGUGGAUGAUUAUGAUUGAAUGAGACUAAUUUAUACUUAUGAAUAUUGUUUUUCUUUUCUUUUGAUAAUUUCAUUUCUCUCUCUCGUUAAGAGUACAUAUGAGUGAUUUUCAUAGUUAAAUUUGAAUAUGUAUAUGUGAUUUAAUUUUGUUGGUUUUAUCCGUUUAGUGUCAUUCAAUAUAGAAAUAUUGAAAGGGUAAUUUUUAAAUCUAAAAGUGAUUUUAGUGAAUCACUCCAAAAAUGUCUUAUAUAAACCUCAAUUUUUUUAAUUCUAUACAUAUAAGAAAAAAAGGUUUGUGUUGGUGAAAAUAACAUAAAUUCAUAUUUCGCUAAUUAAAACGAUCCUUUCAGGUGUCUCAAAUUCAACAUUAUUCAGUACAAAAUUACAAAAGAAAGUAGAAAUUAGAUUCAAGUUUAUCAAUUAAGUAUGGUUUGAUUUUCCUAUCUAUUUGAGUAUAAAUUGUUGCAAUUUUUUUCUUCAAAAAAGAACUAUCAAAAGUAACCCAGUAAUUACUUUUUCUUGGAAGAUUUUGUUUUUCUUUAAUUUUCUUUUUAAAGACAGAAACAAAAACAUAAACUUCUCGUAUAAAUAAUUAAUAUUUACUUAAAAUUAUUGUGAGAAUAAAACAAAAAAGAAGAAAAGGAAGCAGUAAUUUAGGUGAGGCAUAGGUGAAUAGAUUUCAUAUAAUUUUUUUUUUAAUCGAUGGGAGAUAUUAUAAAAUUAGUAAAGGGAAUCUUAGAAAUGAAGAAUGAUUUGUUAGAUAGAUUAAAAUGAUGUAUGAAAUGGAAGGGUACAAUUAGUGUUAGAGGAAAGAAGAAAAAUUGCUAAAAUUGGGAAUAAUAUAAGCUGGAUCAUUGCCUUUUUUUUUCUUCUUUCUUUAUUAUUGUUAUUUUAUAAAACUUUUGUUCCUUUUUCCUUUAUUUCAUAAAAUUCCAAAGAACAGUGCUGCAAUACCCAUUUAAUUGCAAAACACACAGAUGAAUGUAAUAUAUAUAUAUUAUUAUAGAUCCAUCCAAAAUUGAAUUUGGGUGGUGGGAAAUGUUUGCAUCCAAUGUGUGAGGUAUGAGCACUGCCAUCCACAAACCAUUGCUUUAAUUGUUUAUAGUGAAUUAAUAUGGGAUCAUUUUAUAUUUUGUAUUUGUUUCUUUGUUUUAUUAUAAAGGAAAAAAAUAAAUUACUGAAAAGAAAAACAAAUUGGACAAUAUACAUAGACUUCAUAAUUGAUUUCUUUUUUUGAAUGGUAAAUAGUUUUUUUAUUAUUAUUUUUGAAAAAAUUCCUAAAAAGUGUUAUUGGAAAUAUUAUUUAAAGAAAACUAUUGGUAUACAGACUACUAAAAAUAUUUUUCUAUCAAAUAUAUUAAAAUUAACUUUUAUAGUUAAAAUAUAAAAUAAAACGAUUUUAAAAUAAAUUGCAAAUCUAAGUAUUACAUUCAAAAUAUUUUCAUUAUAUAACAAUAUUUUAAAAAUAUUAUUUUGCUACUUUUUAAAAGAAGGGUAAGGCUUCAUCAAAUAAUCAUUUCAAAAUUUAUAGUAGCUCCAUUUUAUUUAUUUUACAUUGGAUUUAAUAUAAAUGAAAAAAGGUAGCAUUUUAGUGAAAAAAAUGCAUAUAAAUUAAGGGUAACAUUUGAUGCAUUAUAUACUUUCAAUUAAUUAUUGUAACUGUACAUCAUUUUUCUAAUAUUAGCCGGAAUUUGAAACUAAAUAACUUACAAGGAUAAUUUGAAUGUAGAAAAAAAAUGUAUAUAAUUAUAAAGGAAAACAUAGAUUAUGUAGAAAUAAAAGAGUAUAUAAUAAAAUUUAAUGAAUGUAUUCCCCAUGCCAUGCCAAAGCACACCAAAACAAACAAUGGUACAAUGCCACUGUUUCACCAACGCAUAACCCACUCUGAAUCAUUACAUUUCCACCCAUCCUCAAAUUCCCAAAUAUUCAAUAAAUGUUUUUCUUCCUUUUUAUUAAUUUAAAUAUUACCAUCAUUUUAUUUACCAAUCAUUAAAUCAAAUUCUCAUAUUACACACCUACAUUUUAUAUCAUAUCGUUGAUUAUGAUGCCUUUUUCUUUAAAAUUUAUAAAAUAAAUUUUAUUAUAUUUUCGUAAAUUUUUAUACAAUAUAACAAAAAAUUUGAUAUAUAUUGAAGUAAGGACAAUGAAAAAACAAAAAACACAUUUUUUUUUAUAUCAUAUUUACGGGAGCAAAGCCAAUAAGCCUAAAUAAUUUAAAAGAAAAUUUUAAAAAACAUAAAAAAUAUAAAUAUAUUAAAUUGAUUGAAAAUAAAGCACGUGGAAAUGCUUAGGAGACAAGCAUCACCAACUUGCACAUAAUUAAUGAUAGGUCAAGUCAAUGUCAAGUUGACCGUAUAUUCAUUUUUCCCUUCCUAAUUAUUAUCAUUAUUAUUGUUUUCGUUAUAUAACAUAUAUAGUCUUUCCUAUUAUUAUAUAUUAUAUCUAUAUUCUUUCAACACAUAGAGAAUCCUAGGAAUUAAUUAUUAAACCAAAAUUUAACUCCUCCUUCAAUUAUUCCUUACUUUAUUACGUUUAAAAUUUUGUGGUUUUUUUCAACAAUAAUAAAAAAAUACAAUUUGAUCAAAUUUUGUUUUAGAGUUUGGAAUGAAUUUUCAAGUAGCAACGGACAAAAAAGAAAAAAGAAAAAGCUAAUUGGUUUUCUUUUUCUAAAAAAGCAGAGUUUACAAGUUUACGGUAAAAAUCAAUUAAGUUGAAAAUUUUGAAAUCGUUGGAUGAUAAAAAAUUAUAUUAAAUAAUUGAUAUUUUAAGUUGAAUAUUAGGAGCGUAACGUACCUUUUAACAUUGUUUUUAUUAAUUGGGGGUACGAAAACCCAGAUUUAGUAAAAUUUUAGUUGGAGUAAUCACCAAUUUAAUUUUGAAAACAUAAAUUAGGAAAGAUUUUUUGGUUAAAUAAAUGUGUAUGUAUGUAUAUAAUAAUAAAGAAUAUUGAAUACUAAAUGAAGGGAUUUUGUGAUAUAGGAAACUACUGAUUUACCCUUAUGUAUGCCACAAAUAUUGGGUUCCACUUCCGUCUACAGCUGUCUUCUGACUGUACAUCAAUUCUGCCUAAUCUACCCAAUGUAUUAUUAAUUAACUUUUUACUUUUUCUUCAGAAAAAAAUAUUCCACCAGAUAAAUUUCUAAACAUCAAAAAGUGUUCUUUUUUCGUAUAAGUGGAAUCGAAAUGAUAUUAUCACUCAUUUGGUUGUUUUCGGGGAUGAUCAUGUAAACACAUAUGUAAUUUAAGAUGUACUCAAUUGUUGUUUUAUAGUUUGAUAAAGUUUGCUUAUACAUAUUAUCUUAUUUAAUCACUGUAGGCUUUUUUGUCACAUUCUACGAUUAUAGUCUUUGUUUUUAUGUAUAUACAUGUAAUAUUUUCAAAGUUUAACUUCUAUUUGGCUUCACUUUACAAUAUUCAUAAGGGGAGGCAUAGUUAGAUGUAGACUAUAAUGUGAUUAAUAUAUAUUACCUUUUUAUAUGUAUAGAUAGCAUGAUGUGAUAUAUUUUUUAAGUGCAGUGAAAGGGAAUUGUUCAAAUGGGUUUUAUAUAUUCCUUAACCAUUAUAUAUGGUAGCUAUAUAGUUGAAGUAAACCAUAUAUAUUCCUUAAGGCUUAAACCAUAAAACCCCAAUUCUUCCAAUCACCCUCAAUCUCAAUCCACCAUAAAGACAAAACCUUUUAGAAAAAAACCCAUAAUUUAAUGAGAAUGGUUGUGAAUAUAAAUAUGAAUACAAAUAUCCAAGUUGAGUUCCAUGACUGGUCCACAGCCAUCUCUUCUUCCCACAAGAUCACAAAUCAUUUGUGUCCAAAAUGGCAAAAUUUUCAAGAAAGUUCAAAAGGUAAUUUUAUGAGAGAGCCAUGACCUUAGUUAAAACCCUAUAUAAAUUACAUAAAGAAGAGGGAAGCAAAUGGACCCAAAUUCCCAAAUCCCAACAAAUAAGCCAACCAUGUAAAGAUAAUAUUGCCAACUCGCAUAUUCUUAAUAUUAAUGAACCAAUUGUGUCCUUUCACUUUCUUCUUCCAAUAAUAUAUAUCCUUCACUCCUCAUUACCCUUCUUCCUUUAUCCAUUCCAAACCUUUCUUUCUUUUCUCAAACAUUAAUCAAAUUGUUGUCAAACUUUGUUUCAGCUUGUAUUUAGUUUUAGAGAGUUUAAUUCUAACUUGGAGGUUGAAAGAGGUUAAUGGAAUAUUUAACGACACAUGCAAAUUAGAGAUGAAGUGAUAUUUUUAGUGACGGUUACAUGAAUAAUGCAUUAGAAUCGUCUACCAUUAAAGUGCGAAACACUAUCUUAAAACAAUUGCCACGUAAUUCACAUGUUAAACAAGAAGAAGAGGAAUUUGUCUAACUUACCAAUGUGAUGAUCAAUACACGAUGAAAAACUCUCUUGAGAGACGCAUUUAAAACAUAUUUUUCUUAAAUUUAAGAAAAGAAACUAGAAAUGAACAAAACAUUUCAAGGAUAAAGUUAUUUUUGUUCAUAUUUAAUAGUCAAGACAAUUUAAGAUGAUGAGCUCGAACAAUCACAUGUUAUUUGUGGGUAAAAAAAAAAUACAACUUUACAAUCCUUACCUACCAAAUCAAAGAUUGUCUCCUUUUUCAAAAUGGAUACAAUUUUACAAUUACACCUAACGAAUUAUACAUAGAAUAAAUAAAAGCAAAGACCACUUUUCCAAAUUCCUUUUGUUUUCUGGAAGUUAGAAGAUUACCAAAAACGGGAUUCAAUAAUUCCUAAGCAUAAGACCUAAAUUAUUUUUUACGGAUUAUAGUAAAUGACAUGCUUAUUUUUCCAAUAAUAGUCUAUGAUAUAUAUGGAAAACAAUAAUCUACUCAAAUACAAUACCUAUUUCUGUUUAAAAAAUACAAUAAUGAAAUACUUGAGCUAAAUCUACUUUUGACAAUUUAGACAUAUAUUUAACCCUCCUUCAAAAAGACAGUGCUUUCUUUAUUUCUAAUUUCCGAAUUAGAAGACUUUCUAAAUGAUGUUUACAUUAAUUAAUUACUGUAAUUUUAUCUAAAAAGUGCACAUUAGAAGGAAGUUUCCCCGAAAUGACUGUGGAGUAAAUUACAAAAUUGCUUACUGUCUCCAAUAUAUGAGCAUGGUUGAGAAUUAAAACAGGAUAACUUUAAUUAAUUAUUCAACAUCGACUAAUCAGAUUAUUAUUAUUAUAAAUUACAUUUAGUUGCAAUUGUCAAAUAAUGCAAACAUCUUAUGCAUAACCCCACUUUCAUACAUUUUGCUUAGUUUGACUUUAUUAAUUUUGAUCUUAUAUUGUUAUUCAAGCAAAUUAUUAUUUUAUUAAUCGGAGUGCUUUGGAAAUGUUUAUGACUAAGAAAUUAUUUACUAAAUACAUAUUUAUAUAUUUUAUAUAAAGUAGGAAUGAUUAAACUACCAACGUGUGUUUAAGGUGGCAUAUUAGUUUGAUUAUAAUGUGAAAGUGAUAUAAUUAGUUAUUUUGAUUUGAUUUUUGUUACAGAUUAGUUUAUAGUGUAUAAAAAUAAAUAAACUAAUGAUUUUUCAAAAAAAAAUUGUAUAAAUUAGAACACAAAAUUUAGAGGAAUGGUAAUUAUAUUUAAAUGUAAACUAAUGAAGAUUUAAUAGUCGGUGCAAGUUGGUAUUUGUUGCCUAAAAAAGUCAAGACGUGAAUAUCAACAUCCAACUUCAUUCAUAUAUGUUUGUUAACACUUUUUAAUACACUAUACAAGAACUCUACUAUAAUAGUUCAAAUUUUAAAUAUUUUAUUAAAAACCAAAAAAACUUGUUUAGGAGAUUGAAACCUUAUGUUUUCAUCUCUUCACUUAAUAACAUAUUGAAUCUCUAAUUUUAAAAAAAUAUAAUUAAUUGUUUAGUGAACAUGAUUCAUAUGGUUAGACAUGUCAUGAAUCAAUAUUAAAAGAUUCUACCCAUGAAUUUUGUAGUCAAGGUAUCAAGUACUACAUCUUCCAAUAAGAUUGUGAAACUUUUUUUAGUGAAUAAAGAAAUACAUGGUAAAGUUCUAGGAACUGUUUGAGCAUAUAGUUGAAAAAAUGAUUUAGUAGACUUUCAUUCCUUUGUUAUCUUUUACUUAUAACUUAUUGACAUUUUUCUUCUUGUUAAUGUGAUGGUACUUCAUUUAAAUCCAUAAAGUAUUUAUUCCUACCACUAUAGAGUGACAAACACAUCAACUUUUUUGUUUUAGAUAGUAAUUUGGGUUUAUCUAUUGAGUCAAUUUUGGACAUAGAGUUUCCAUAAUGUAUAUAUAUUUUAUAAGAAAUGGGGGUAAAAUUGUAAGAUCAACCUCCAAAAGGUGUCAUCAAAAUAUGUGAAGUCUCAUCAAAGAUAAAUGAGAUGGACUAAUCUACAUUUAUCUUUUUCAUUUGUGGGAUGCCCUAUUCUGCUAGUGCUACUUUUAAAAUAAUAAUAAACAGGUCCAAAUGUCCAAUUGUUUUGUUUUUGUUUUUUGUCUUCUUUUUUUUUUUUUUAAAGAAAAAACAAAUAAAAAAACCUAAACCACGAAGCCCCUGUUUUCCGUUAUUUACACAACAAGCCCAUCACAUUUUCCAAAAAGGACCCUACUCGGGGAUCGCCAUCAAAUUCGCCGCGAACUUUUUUCUUCCACCGGCGCCACCACGGCCGGCCGCCACUCGUUUACGAGUCUUCAGUUCCUCAACCGUAAAAACCACCGGAGACACCGAUCUCCGUCGGUGGCCACAUUUAUCUCCCCCGCUACAUUUCAUUAGCGCAGAGUUGGCCUUGACAGCCAAUGCCGCCAUUUCUUCAGCCUGAAGCGGCUGCUUCAGCCUAUUCAAUGGCAGCGCAAAAUACAGCUGUCCAAGUUGAAGCUCCUCGUCGUCGUUAAUGGCUGACAAAGCAUCGUCGAAAUCCAUUUCGUCGGAGUUACAUAUGAAGCAGGACGGGUUCUUUUGAAGAACGUACGAAACUUUAACCGGAUACGAAAAUUCCUGCAGACUUCCGUCGUGAAGGAUCAAUUUAGCAGUGGCAACGGCAGUAGAUUCCGAAGAACUGCAAAUACCCAUUAACGGCGGCGAGGCACGGCAGAGGUAAUUAGAGAGAACACAACGGGUGGCGGAAUUGGAGGCGUUAGGGAUUAGAGGACGCGUUGGUGGUUCUUUAUAUAUAAGGAAGGUGGGGGCCUACACUUUUCUUUCCAAACAGCGUGUGCCACGUAGGAUUUGGAAAAUAGUGAUGUGGACCCGAUUUAUUUUUGUUUUUAAUUAAGAGUGGGGACUGCCAGGCUGUGAGUCGGUCGUGACAGGUUGGAAGGGAUUUGCGUUGUGUACUUUCAAUAAUGACCCUACUCAUCAUAUUUACUACCUACCCACGUCAAUUAUUCAUCUUCUCGAGGUAAAAUUUCUACGUUUUACUUGAAAGCUAACCGUUUAAAUUCUAUUUUAGUUUUCUUUUUUUACAAAAAAAAUUACUUUUACUUCAGUUAAAAGAGGUUUUUAAUUUCUACUUUCAUUUAAAUUUGUUAUGUACUUCAACAAGUAAGAGUUACUUUUUACUUAAUAUUUGUUUCACCUUUAUUUUGUACAAAUUAGUUUCUAUUUCUUUUAUACUCUGGUAUGAUUUGGUAAAAUAAUAACUAUGCAGAACUUAUUAGUUGAAAAUGUUUAUUAAUUUGAUUAUUAAUAGUUUAAAUUCAGCUUAAAAUUUUAUCAGUAACCAUAUAAUUAUCAACUAUAACACUUUCAUUAGUUUUGAACUGUUAUAUUUUAGCUAGUAGCUUGUUCCAUUAGUUAGUUUAGGUGAGUUAUGGUGCAAAUCAAAUAUAGAUGAUAAAACAAUAAUAAAAUUUAAAAAAGUGGACAUAAGUGAUAAUUUAUAUGUAUAUAUAGUUUUGCCCUUGAUAGUUCAUAUAUGUCAAAAGUUAAAACGUGGGAUAUUGAAAAAUGUUUAGAUAUAAAUACCUGUGAAAAUAAAUGCCAACCUGACUAUAAUAAUAAACUAUCUUCUAAAACAACAUGGUACAAUCCUAAUAUAAAAACAACUUGCAACCAUAAAUCUAAAGAGAAAUUAAAUUGAUCAAAGGAAACGUACUUCAACAAGCACAUAAUACUAUAUUAAAAUGUCUCCAGUUUUGAAUUUCUUCCACACUUCAUCAUACUAGAAAAAAAAAAAAAUAUUACUACACCUUACUUUAACUUUUGAAUCUCUACUCAUGAUUAAGAGUUCAUUUGGUAAUGUUUAAUAAAUUAUUUCAUUAAAUGUGUUUAGCAUCCAUUUUUUAAAUAACAUAAUUUUAGGAUAAUGAGAAACACAUGCAUUUUUAUUACUAAUUAAAAUAAAUGUGAACAUAUACCUACACCAUUUUUUAACCUAAAUAUUUAACUAUAACUAUAAGUUGACGCACAAAUAUAUAUAAUAUAUAUAUAUAUAUAUAUAUAUAUCAUGCCGUCUCAAAACGUUUGAAAGUUGAAUAUAUUAUAUUUGUAACAAUAUUUAGAAAUUUGACCAAUUUUCGAAAAAGGAUAGAAUAUUACCUUUUCUACUUUGAAAAAAGCAAUAUAGAGAAAUAUUUAUUACAUAAAGUUAUAAUUGAAUUUCAAACUUACAUGAAACCAAGGAAAACAAGAAAAAGAAGGAAGAAAACCACACACAAAAAUUUCAAAGAUUAAAAAAAAAAAAACCUAAGCACGAAUGUCAUUAAUAUUCCAUGAGAUACAGAAAUUAAAAAAGAAUAUACAUUCCUCAUUUUUCUUCUAUUAUUCUAAUUAAUUAUAUAGAAUGAGAAACUCCAAUAUAUGGUAUUUGAAAAAUUGGUCAAAACAUAAUUAAAAAAAAAAAAAAGGCCUUUAAACAGGUCAACUUAAAUACAAUUGAAAUAGUUAAAAUAAUGAAUACAUUCCAUAUUUGAAUUGGUUAUGUAUAUAAAGCAUAAAUGAAGGCAGAAAAAAGAAUCUUUAAUUUUUUUAAAAAAAAGAGAUGCUAAAUUGGUAAUUGAUUGAAUAAACCCCAGAUUAGGAAAAUCAUUAGAGUAGGGGUAGUGAUUGAAAAAAGAUUUAGAGCUUAAUCAAAUGAUUGACAUCAUGAAUAUCAAAGAGAAAAAAAAAGCACGUGAAAAAAAUGACCUCGGAAUCUACAAAACAAGGAGCUCCAACAAUCCGACAAACAAUGGCGAGACCUUAUCUGAUUUUGCUGGGCCGAACCCCAACUUUGCUCAGCCCACCGGCCCACCGGCCCCCUUUCUUUUUUCUUUUUUAAUAUAUCUAUAUAUAUUAUGAUUUAUUCAUCUUUUCAUAACUAUUUUUAUUAGAAUAUCAUCACCUUGACCACCAUUAGCUGGUAAAAUACCAAACAUCCAUAGAAAAUAAAAUUUGGUAGGCCUUUAAUUUCCAUUUUCCACCUACAACUUUGAUUGUUUAUAGAAUCUUAUUGUAUAUGAUUAGAUAAUUAUUCUUAGUUAAUAAUGUUUUUUGCAUACGUCAUGAAAUAGUUCAAAAUAGUUAAGAUUGCUAUUUUUGGCCUAAUUUUCUUUUUUAUCCAUACAAGGAACUUCUGAUCUAUUGCACAUAGAUCUCAAUUAUUUAGAUAUAUAUAUAUAUACAUUGUCUUUAAAAGUUGGGUUUGUUCCCUUUUGCUAAUUUUAACUAAUUAAAUAUUUAUUGAUGAACACUAAAUCAUAGUUAAAAUAUUAAAUAAUUGAAUGAAACAAACAAUUGGAUUUCCCUUCUUCAAACCAAUUCCUUCCUAGAAGCUUCUCUCAAAAUCCUCCCUCAAUAAAACCCCUAAAUCCCACUCAUCAAUAAUGAGAUACAUCAAACCCACCACAAUACAUUGCAAAAUUAUUACUUAUUUAUUUCAUUUUUGGUACCAAAUUAAUGACCCUACAAAAGAAAGAAAAGGAAAAAAAAGGUAUACUACUUUUUUUUUGGUUCUCUAAAUUUUCUUUUGUCACUUUCUUCCAACUUGGGGCUUCCAAACCUAAAAAAAGGAUUCAUUUAAAAGAAAACCCCCUUUUGUGUUUUAAAUAUAAAUCUCAAUUAUUAUAUAUGGUUGUGAAAAUGUUGAUAAAGGAUUUUAAUUAAGCCCUUCACAUGCUAUAUGUAUAUAUAAUUUUUAUUUUGAUGUGUUAUGAAUAUGAUAUGGAUAAAUGAUGAAAAGGGCAGAAAUUUGCUGGCAUAACAAAUGCUAUACCUCACCAACCAGGCACACACUAACUUUACAAUAUUACUAUAGUGGGGGGGGGGGGGGGGGGGGGGGGGGGGCUUAUUAGUCACUUCCAUAUUUCAUUUUUGAAGAUUGGUGUGCUUUCUUUCUAUAUAUAUUCUUAUAGUCACAUGAUAUGUUCCACAUAUAACCCAAACUUUGUGUUGGCCUUUUAAGCUGAUAAAUAUCAUAGACAUUAAUUAUAAUCACAUUCUGUACUCUAUACAACUUUUCCUGAUAAGCAUGAGAGAUUUUACUGCUAAGCUUUUUGGUUGCUAAUUAAUACAUUUUGGUUAGUAUCAAAUUAUGAGUAAAUUGGCUUUUGAAAAUGUGUUUUAGUUUUCAAGUUAGAAAGACAUGUGUUUGAUGAAUCCUUACAAUUUUAAAAGUCACCUCAAACCUAACCUUUUAAGUUUCCAUCUUCUAAAAAUUAAUGGAUUAAAAAGGUCAAUAAAUAUAUAUUUUAAAAGAAUAUUCAAAUGAUAUUUUAAAUUGAAAAUAAGAUAAAAAAUCUUAUCUUAUCUAAAAUCCAUGGACUAUCCAUAGAGAGGUAUACAUACAUAUAUACAAAGAGUUUGGUUUCAUGCAUAUGGUUUGGGUUUGGUUUUGUAUUAAAUUUGUUUAUUUGGUGGGCUAUAAAUUAAAAUACAAAUUAUGUAAGUAAAUGAAACAAUUAAAUUAAAAUGAGUAGAAAAGUGAAGGGGUCCAAGUUAGGGUUUAGGGUAGGGUGUCCCACCAAAGGGGAGUUCUCACCGUCACAAACGAAUACAAAGUACCAAAUAAUAAAGACAUUCCCCCUAAGUUAUGGACUUGAAUCAACAAUAUUUUAAAGACAUCACUGUCCCAUUUUUCUUAUUUUUUGUCCCCCCAUUUCAUUUAAUCUAAUCUAAUCUAAUCAAUCAUUUUAAUUGUUUUCUUUAAGCUUCUUUAAUUAUAAUAUUUAUUUAUAUGAGAUUUUAAUUAGCAUCUAAUUAUUUUAGCUUUUAUUCAAGAUUUUUGUCUCCUGAUAUAUAAUAAGUGAUGAAUGAUUUUGUCUUUAUGUUUUUAUAAUCUUUAAAUGUUUUGUAUAAAUAUCUCUUUAUUAGCAUAUCAAUCUAAAUCAUUUCAAUUUUUAUUUUGAUCUAGUUUAUACUUCUUUCAUUUUAUUUCAUCUAAUAUGGUUCAUUUGAUGCUACGUUUACAAUAUCAUACUCAAUUAAAAUUUAUCGGCCUACGUUCUAAUGUUCUCAAUAUCAUACUCAAUACGAGUCUAAUGUUCGAAUUUCUAUACUUCAAUCUUGUAUUUAAAAUAUUCAACGGUGACAUGAUAUAAAACCUCUUUCGUGAUUAAAAUUAAUUAAUUUAAUAUAUAAUAUUCAUUCUAGUCUCAUUGUUUCAUGGUUUUUUUUUAAUAUAACAGAAAUAUCAACUCAUUUCUAAAAUAAUUAAUACAUAUUUACCAUGACAAAAGAAACAUAAAAUCAAUAAAGUUUCAAAUAAAAAUUUGAUCUAAAUAUUUCAAAUAGCUAGUAAUUCAACUUUUAAAAAUGUCCUAAGGCAUUUUAAUACUAACCAAAAUCAUUUGGUUUGAAAAGUGUUUCUGAACGCAUAUGAGAAAAUUGGUUUUCCUCAUAAAAAAUGCUUAUACACUACUUGGUAAAUAAGGGACUAAGUUAAAUAAUGCAUUAGAUAGAAUAUAUCAUUUCAUAUUUUGAUAUAUUAUUUCACCUAUUAUACAUUAUAUAGUGUAUAUAUAGUUUUUUUUUUUUAAAAAAAAUAACAUGCCUAUAUAUAUAUAUAAAGAACCACAGAUGUGAAAAUUGAAAAUAACAUAAAUGAUUCAUCUUCAAUACUUGCAUAGCACUUCUGAUUAUUGAAUCGAAUUAAUUUUACAAUUAUCCAAUCCAAGUUUCCAGAAUUGGACAAAUUUUUGCAUCAAUGUCAUAUUUUAUUUUUAUUUUUAUUUUUACCUUUUGCAUUUACAGUUCUCAAAAAAUGACAUUAACAAGAUCAACUCUACAAAGAAGGAAGAAGCCAUAGAUUGAAGAGGGAAGAAACUAAAGAAAGAAACCAUGACAAGAAUGCCAUUCCUGCAGAAAGCCGAUAUCUACUGCAAAGCUUUGCUGAACAAUACGAAAUCCCGGCUUCGAGCAGUAUAUCAGCGACACUGGCUGUCGAGCAAGCAGCGCCCAAAGAGAGAAAUGAUAGAACCUAUGACACAGCAAAUGUUAUAUGUUUUUUUCUUUCAUUUUCUACUACAAGGAGAAAAAGAACAAAGAUGUUAAUUAUAUUUUGUCUCCCACACAAUAUAUCCCGUACCCAAUCUCCGGUGACGAUGAUUGACGUUACUCUUGUUUGAGGAGGUAAAUGCCUAACAAAAACUGAAUAUCCAUCUACUACUGCCAAUGUCAAACUCCAAGGAACCAUCAAUCCCAUGACUGUCACCAGAUAGCUGAGGGAAUCAACAUGAGCAAUGACAAAGUUUUCUUGAGAUUUUGGAUCUUCUAUAUUUUUUGAAGGUUUAUGUAUGAACAUGGCAAAAACAACAAAAAAUUAGCUCAAGUUUGCAUCACAUAUUAUAUUCUCCUGGAUGAUCAUCUUUCGCAAUUCCUCCUAAGAUGCAAACUUAUCCAACUAAUAGAUAAAUUUAAAUUAAACUUCUUGUCGUUAUCCUUAUGUUGAAAUAGCUGCCACUAGGGUAUAACAAUGACAACAAAAAACCAUGGCUUAACAUUUAGAAGAAGAUGAUGGAAGCAAGAAAUUUGCUCCUUACAGUAAGGAAAAUGUGAACUCUUAAUUACUCGUAAACAAAGCUAAUCUAACUAUAACAGAGAACUGUGUAAUUGACUUUAUGUUAUGUUAGAGUCCCUAAACACUUAUCCAGACUUGUGGGCUUGAAAACACGUAGAAAAACCAACCAGUGAGAAUCAAUCUUAAAUGGGAAGGAAGUAACAUUGUGGAGUUUGAACAUAUAAUCUCAUUGACCACUUCCGGUAAAUCACCAAUUGAAUCAAAAUAUUAAAAUUAAUUGAUGAAAGUAAAUUAAUAUUAUAUCAUCUAAUACUUUGAUCAUGGAAUGUGGUCUAUUGGAGUCCUUGGGUUACUGAUAGCAAAUCAUACUCAUUUUAGCUAAAACAAAGUUUAUCAUUUAGACACUUUUGCAUCUAGAGCUGUUGUUUCCAAUACAAAGUUCAUUACCAAAUCUCACUUCCGAAGAACAUAGUUCCUGUUGGAAUGAUUCCAGUAGUAUAAUAACACAUCUCAGAUCGGCUAAUCUUCGUUUAAAUACUUUUUACACAGUUAAAGAUAGCAAUAGAAAAGAAAUACUGCAAACAACCUAAUAUUUAAACUCUGACUAAUUUCAGGAGACAACUAUCUCACCUUGAUAAAAUCUAAUACGAAGACGCUCCUAGGUUAUUCCAUAAGUAGUAUGACUUCAAAAGUAUCUAAAUUCACAACAUGUAGGAAAAACACAUGGUUGUCAACAAUCCAUUAAUCAAUCCCAAUGGCAUAGAAUUCCGAAUAAGCAGUAACAAACAUUUGAUACACUAAUUUACAAAAUGCAUACAACACAAUUUGCUAACUACAGCAAGAUUAAGCCGAUACAAGGUCUGUUUCAAUCCAAUAACGAUCAGAAAACCAAAACAGAAACAACCCAAUGAGAGAAAUUAAGAACUCAAUGAACAGAGCCAAAAAAAAUUCUGAUUACCAGAAAGCCGUGUAGCUAUAGAACUCAAUUUCCAGACACAUAAAGAAGAGAGAAGCCGAGGCAAAGAUCGCCUGACCAAGACGGAGGGCCAAGCUUGCACUUGUGCCCAAUGCCCCCGGCAGCUCUUCCAUUUUCCUUCACAACUAUUCUACGCCGCCGCCGCCGCCAUCACUAUCCUCGAUCGUAAAUUCAUCGCUCAGAAAUGGUGGAGACUAGACAAUUUUCGAGUAAAAUUGGGUCUGAAGAACUUGAAAUGGAGAAAAUGGAAUUGGGUUUUUUGGGUUUGAUAAUUUAGUGGAUGGAAAGAAUGAAAUUGUCGAGAAAUGAAAAAUCAGAGAAGAAGGGAUGUAAUGGCGACGGCAGUGAUGCACCGCGAUCUUGUUCCAACCAGAUUGGCCGAUGUCUGUACAGAAUUCAGAAGAAUUUGGACAAAGAGUUUAUGGUGAAUUUAUGAUUUAAAUUAUUGGAUUAUUUUUCUUCUUUUUUUUAUAAAUUUAGUGCAUUGUAAUUGAGAGAUUAACUGUAUGAAUGUUGAUACAUUUGGGUCAUUAAAGACGAGUUUGUUGAAACGUCUUCCUUUCUUUAUUUCUUUAAUGCCGGAAAUUUUAAAAAGGAAAUAACAAAUAAAAUAAAAUAAAACCGUCAAAUCAAAUCUGUAUACUCUUCAAAUUGUUUUAUCAAUUUUCAUUUCACAACAAUCAUUUUAUUUUUAAAACUCGUAUCAACGAUUUAUAUAUAUAAUUUAAAGUCAAAGAAUAAAUUGUAAACCUUAGUUAGGCUAGAAAUUCAAAUAUUGUAAAAGAUAAAUUUCAUAGGUUUAUAAGUUUGAUAAGAUGUGUAGUAAAUUCCAUUAAAUAGUAUAUGUGGGCUUAACUUUCAAUAAAUUUUGAGAUUGGUUUAAUUAUUUUGUUUUAAGUAAUAAGAGUAUAGAAAAAAUAUUUAUUUGGAAGGAUGUUUGUUCAUUUACUAUUAUACCAACUAAAUCAAAAUUAAUUUUAAGGGAAAAUUAAUUAAUUGUUAUAUAGGUGGCACUUGUGAGAUAUAAUACCAUUCCAUGUUCAUGUUCACAUUAAAGAUCUUCAUAUCUUUAUGGUAUCAACCAUACAUUAAGGAUUCGCUAUCUUCUCCACUUAAAUACCAAUGUUCCCUUUUUGUGGCUCUGAUAUAAAGAUAUAUAUAUAUAUAUAUGUUAAAUUACACUUUCACGUUCUAUUUCAUUUUAUGGUAAAUCAUGGAUUGAUCUAAUGAAUUUAAGAUAGUAAAUAUUUGGAUAUAAAUUCAAUAUAUAUACCUAUCUAUUUGUUAUUUGGGCAACUGAAAUAUGUGGCUUGCUUUUUCUUAAUUCUAUAUCCAGAUUGUAUGAGAUUGUUCCAAGAGAAAGGAGUUGAGACAUUAAUGUCUUUAAUUAAGUGAUUAAAAAAAUAUUUUUAUGGGUUAAAAGUGUGUUAUUACGUGUGGAUUGGAAUGCCAAGUAAGCUCAUAGUUUAAACAAUCUUAGUAAUGAUUGUUUCAACUUAACCACAAAUUCUUCAUCUACUAAAUUACUGUCUAAAAUAAGAAUAGUCGAUUUGAUAUGGUUUAGUAGAUAAGUCACUAAUUAUCAUCUCAAAGAUUGAUGAUUCGAUCUCUUGUUCUCGUAGUUGUGAAAUCUAAAUCCAUCUCCACAAUUGUAUGAUAUUGUCUACUUUUGAACAUAAUUCUCAUAAAUUGCUUUAGAUUUCAUCUAAAAAGUUUUAUAUAUUCUAUUCAUUCCUCUAAAUCAUCUCAAAGAUUGAUGAUUCCAUCUCUUCCUCUAAAGUUAUGAAGUUAAGCAAAUGUAUGUUUGAGAAAGAGUGAAAAGGCACAAGAUUUUAUAUGCAAACUUGGAUAAAAAUAGAACCCCUGCUAGCGUCUCUCUCCAUAAGAAAGUUUAGCAACUCUCUCUUUUAACUUACAAGGAACAAUAUUACACAAUCAUAAAAGAAGAAAGGGGGGCCUAAGAGUCAAGCUGAGCAUACCAAACACCCUGGAUCUUCACAUCCUUGGGAGCUUUUGCUCCCAAAUCGGUAUCAGAAGGCUGAAUACUCUCAAACACACCAAUAACUUCACCAGUCUCAGGCUUGCUCUUGGUCACACUCAAAGUGAUUUUCCCUGUUGAAGAUGAAGCAUUCUUUAUGUUUUCUUUAGCAAGUUCUUCUUCAUCACCUCUCCCUCCAGCAGGCAAUGCAACAGCAUUAUCAUAUCCAGUUGAACCUCCUCUUCCCUUUGGGUCCAAGAAAGACGAGCCACGGUAAGAUGGGACUAAAAAGUCUCCACUAAAGCUCUCUGGUUUUCCAGAAGCCACCAAUUGUUUGAUGGUGAAGAGGAACGGGACACGCUCACCUCCCGGCAACUGGACAGUGACAGCAGCAUAGUCAAUUCCAUCUUUCUCCUCAAACUUGAUCGAACCAUCAGCACCAACUUCAAAGGGUCCUUCAAUCUCGUCUAGUGUGUAAGUUAGACGAGUCAUGAGCUUGGUGUUUUGGAAUUCUGGUGGGGCGUUCUUGCUCACUCCUUCAGCCUUCACAGUGAAAGAAGUUGGCUCAAGACAGAAUUUCUUGGCUUGAUAUUUGCCUGCCUUGAAGGCAAAUGAAUCAACUCCUCCAUCAAUGGUUGGGCACUGGUUAGCUGUUCCAGUUCCCUUAACUUCAAGGUAUGUCUUGCUCUGAAUUUCAUCAAAGGUGAGUCUCUUUGGUACUCCUUCAGCACCAGCUCCCUGGAAAUACAUGAAAAGUAUCGAACAAUUAAGAUGCUCACCAAGUUGUAGGAUUACACUUUGUAUAUAUCAAGUGUUAAUCAGUCUAGACAUUCUUAGAUCUCAUAUAUCAAGUGUACUCAGACUAAUUAAGUCCUUGAAGUGAGAUUUUCUUUAACGCUUUAAAACUUUAAAGUCUGUAUCUAAUAUUUAAGUCAUUUAAGACUUACCGUAACACACUAACCAUAUAUCAUCAGUGGACUAUGUGGUGGACUGAUUUUCAAAUAAUCCUUGAUUGAAUAGUAUAAUGAAAAUGUUAUGGGAUCAUUAAUGUAAAAAUGAAUUACAAGUUAAAUUAAGAACAACAGGUACUUUAUUAAGUCACAGAGAAUCAAAUGGAUUAUUCCACUUGGAUCUAAGUAGUUUGAUCCUUUAUUUGGCAAGAAAUUGCCACUAAGUUAAACAAAUUCGGAGAUUAUCAAUUACCCAUUCUAAGUCUGAACUAUAAUUAUUUUCUCCAAGAACUCAAUUCAAUAUCAGCAACUAAAACAAUACAGACAUUCACAUCCAAACGCAAAUAUAAAGCAUCGUGGAGAAUCAUAAGAAGAAAGUAAUCGUGGAAGGAAAGUACGAUAAGAACAUACCGAAACGACAAGAGCGGAAGUGGCAAGAGCGAAGCCGGCAAUCUUAGCAGCAUCGGCAAACUUGCGAGAAACGUCUUUGAGAUCGGAGUGAAGAGAGCAGGUGAGUCUAGGUCCGGAAGAUUCAAGGCCAAAGGCUUUAGAAAGGGAUUGAGAAGAUCUGAGGUGAGAGGUGGUAGUUCUUGAAGCCAACUUGGAGGGUUGCAUAAGGGUAGCCGCGGCCGCCUGAACUGAAGCCGCCAUUGUUGUAUCCGGAUUGAGUGUAAGAGAGGAGAAGUGAAAUUUUGUGCGGGGAAUGAUACUGAAACUAUAACGGAGAGUAGAGAGGAUUUAGGAAAUGAAUUAUGU
rnacentral:lncRNA from 1 species